CAAAAAUGGGAUUGAGAUCACAAGGCACAAUUGCUUCACCCCCGUUGGAAGGCUGGUAGGGGUCAAUGCAGUGCACAAGUCCAUGUCCACUAAAAUGGAAAAGCAGGACAUCUCCUUCUUUAGCCGCGACCACCAUCUUCUUGAGUUCAGCCAUAAUGUUUGCACGUGUAGGCUUAUACGUGGACUCUGGUUCAUCAGUUAGGAGCUCAACAUUUUCGGAAUCAAAGCCAAACCUGCUCACGAUCAUUUCUCUCAUGGCUUUCACAUCGUUUACGCAUCCGCUCAACUCGUUGAUGGUGUUGGGGUAGUUGCAUCCGACCAGAACGGCUCUCUUCUUACAUUCGGUGGCCAUCUUGCUUCUAUUUUGGGUCGCUUGUCUUGUCUUGUGCUUCGGACGUUGCACUAAACACCUAUAUAUAUACACCCAUACACACUGUAGUUUACACUAUGCUCACUGACCAUACUCUAAUAAAUAAGACAUCAUGUUGGUAGGUACAACUGUUUUAUUUUAUUAUUGUUUAUAAAAAUGCAUGGCAAAUCCAUAUACAUGCAAUUAGUUGUCUGUAUAAAAGUACCACUGUUAGAGUGUAUUUGGACUAAAAAUUUUAGAAUUAAUUUAAAAUAUUAAAAUUUGUAAUUGUUUUAUUUGGAUAAAUAAUUGAUUUAGGACAAAUUAAGUUAUUAGAAUUUUACAAAUUAAAAAUAGUUAUAAAAUAAAAAUUUUAUAUUACAAAAAAAAUUAAAAUUAACAUUAAAAUAAUUAUAAAAUAUUUUAUACACAAAAAUGAAUAAUUUGAAAAGCUUUCCAUAUUAUUAAGUCCAAAUUUGAUACCACACUUUUCCAAUUAAGCAAUUUUGAUAUAUUUGGCCUCUAAUAAGAAAUCAAGAAAUGGAAUGGGUGAUUAAUCCGAAUUGGGAGGAGGACAGGUGUUGUGAUGGACAAAGAGGAAGAUAAGGUAGGUAUUCCUUUUUGCAGACAAAUAAGAUAAAAGAUAGAAAAUAUACAGUGGUGGUCGAAGCUAGAGGAUUAUAACAGCACUGAUAUGAUCUGCUUCGCCUUCGUCCACCACCUCAUCUUUAUGUUUUUAUCUUGGUCGUGACUCACGUUGGCCUUCGUCUGCAAGUGCUGUCGGUCCUACUAUCGAGAUUCUGCUGCCUAGCUUUCGAUUUCUAUGGCCUUAUUUGGCAAUUGGCUCAUAAUGGGCAAAUUAUAAUUGUAUAAUGUUUAAGUUAUAAUUUUAUAGAUUUAAGAGAGAUCAAAAUAACAAUUUUUUAUUUUAUGGGUAUAAAGAGUAUUUUUCAUUUUAAGGGGGUCAUGGUUAGAUGUGAUUAUGGGUGGCGGUGUGCUCGAAAAGUGGGAGGGUUUAGGUAAAAAUAUAGGCAUGAAAAAUAGGUUUAGAUAAAAAAAAUACCCGUUUUCGAAACAGGUCGAGCCUUGAGUAAGAUUUUCUUUGUCCGGGCCCGGCCCGACCCAAAUUUGAUUAAAAAAAAAUUCUUGGUGUUGUUUAAUGUUGUUUUGCUACCAUUUUACUAUUAUAUUGCUACUAUUUUGUUGUUAUUAUUUGGAUGUUUUAUAACUUUGUUUUAUUAUUAAUUUUGCUACUAUUUUAGAAACAUUUGCUUGCUAAGUUGCUACUAUCUUAGUGUUAUUUAAAUAUAAAGAUUUUUUUUAAUGUAUUUUCAAUUUGUUGGGAAGUAUUUAUUUUAAUGUUUUUAGUUUAUUUGAUGCAUUAUAUAUUUACAUAAAAAAUUUUAAUACGGGUAGACCGGGUCAAGCUCAAGUUUAGCAUUUUUUAUCUGGUUUAAUCUUGGACAAAAUUUAGACCCAUUUUUCGGGUCGAUUUAGCCCAUGAUCAAGUCUAGCCACGACCCUUACCUGCUCUGGUCACUGCCUUUGGCAAUGAGAUUAAUUCCAGUGAGAUUGAAAAUAGCGAUGGCGGUGAGAUUAGUUACUAUAGUGAUGAGACUAAAAUUAAUACUAAAAUGUGUGUUAGGAUUCAAACACAACAGUGGUUUAUAGAUUUAUAGUAAGAAAGUAGAAUGACCAUUAUGGACAUUAAACUAAAGCAGUUUACACUCUUCAGUAUAUUUUUGUACAAUUAAUAUUUUAAUGAUAAUAACGUCAUAUUUCAUUUAUAUAACUCAUGUGUAUAAAAUUUAAUGUAAAUUUAAAAUGUUCAAACUAAUUGUUUUAUGUAAGAAUACUUUUAAUCGUUGAAUGAAUGUUAAUAUGUACAAUAUUUUAGAUUGUUAUGGUAGAAGUAUCGACUCAAUUUGAAAAUUUUUAUAUGCAUGAAAAGUACAAUAAUAUCAAUAAAUUCAAUGGUUGGAUUGUUAAAUUAAUAAUGAUACAAAUAUAUAUAUAUAUGAAAGCGUGUAAAAUUACUUUAGUUUCACUCUAGUGUAAGCAGAUCUCUCUCCUUUUAAUAUAUAAAAUUAAUUAUACAAUUUAAAUUUAUGUAUUGAAAUUAUUUAUAAAUAUAAGUAUAAAUAUAUUUCUUUAUACACCUAACUAAUGUAAAUAAAAUAUUAAAUGUUAUUUGCAAGUAAUGAAAUAAAACAAAUAUUAUAAAUAAACAACUCUCCGAAGGUUAAAUGGAAUUAAUGUAAACAUUUCCAAACACUUUGUGAAUGCCUCGAGCUUCUUGAAUCUGCACUCUAAACCUCCUCACCUAAUAAAUACACUAUGGACACUUUGUUGAUUGGCUCAGAGUGAUAGAUAGGAGUGAAUAAAACUCGAUUUGAUUUUUUAAAAAAAAUCAAAUUUUGAGUUAAUUGAAUUGAGUUAUUUAAGUUAUUUUUAUUUUUUUGGUCAACUCGAAUAAGUAAUUUGAGUUUCAAGUCGAGAUCGGGUUAAAUUUUACAAUUCGAAUAACUCAAAUAAUAAAUGUAACACCCUAUACCCAGCCUGGUCGUCGAGCCCGAAUAUCAGGAUGCCACACCAUCGUCUCAUGUCAUACACAACGAAUAAAAGCCCAUUUUAAAUGAAGACGUCUUCCACAAUAUCAUUCGUAAAGGUUUUAAGUCGAUCUUACUCUUUAGUUAUCAUCGUUACGUGCUAAUCAUACAUCAAAUAGUCUUACACUAAUAAUUAAACUUGCAUAGGGUUCAUUUAGCAAAAUUUUCCAAGCAAGUACGUAGGUAUCGAUAGUAGGACAAGGGUAUCAAUAUUUUCCUGGUACGGUAUUGAUGUCCUUUGUAAAAUUAGAACCAAAUCAGUAUUCUGUUUCUCAUCUAAAAUCAAAGUCUCAUAAAGUAUCAGUAACUUUGCAAAAGUAUAGAUGAAAUUACUUCGAGUAUCGAUACUCGUGAUAUGAUAUUGAUACCAAUCUACGAUUUUGACUUCCUACACAUUUCAAAAUCAUAGAUGUAUCAUUUUAAAAACAUGAAUAUCGAUACCUCUACUCCAAGCCAGAAAAAUACAACAUACUUGAGCACAAAAAAAUCAUUCUAACUUGUACUAAUUCAUCAUGCUAUCAUAUCACCAUCAAAUAAACAUCAAAAGGACAAUAUGAUAGUCUCAAACAUCGAAAGUAAGUCCGAGCAAUAAUCAACGUAAUACGAAAUGAAUCUCAUAAACUUAGGAACAAAUAAUCUAUGGAAGCAUCUAAAACAUCAUGGUAAAUACCAAUAGAAGUCUACCACAUUGCCUUUUUUCCAAAACAUAAACAAAUAACAAUAACACCUACUAAAUCACGGAAAUGAACUUACUUGGAUCACCCCUUGGAACCACACCGCUCACACCGGCACUUUAAGAAAGAAGUGGGUGAGCUUAACAAGCUCAGUGAAUGCCUAGAAUAACUACCAUGCAAACAAUUCAUCAAGCAUCAACGAAACAACCAUAUAGCACAACCUCAACAAUUCCAACACUAGUGUCAUAAUAUACUUACUCGUGCAUUAUUUUCUAUUUCUUUUACAUUGUAAACAUAUUCACUUUUAAACAUAUAUCUUGUUACACAUAUAAUCACCUAACAUCCAAACAUAUAUCACAAUACUCAUAUAAUCACAUAACAUUUAAGCAUAUAUCAAAAUAUUCAUAUAAUCACAUAACAUUUAAGCAUAUAUCACAAUACUCAUAUAAUCACAUAACAUUCAAGCAUAUAUCACAAUAUAUAUACAUAUAAUCACAUAACAUUCAAGCAUAUAUCACAAUAUACAUAUAAUCUCAUAACAUUUAAGCAUAUAUCACAAUACUCAAAACAUCUUUAUAGAUAAGUUAUGAAACGUAAAAGUGGGCACUAUCACCACUCAUCGGAUACACGGAUAUCCAGUACACCACAUAGACUCGUAGAGUCAAACAUGUCUCAAAAGUGAAGCAUAAAGCUAACACUCUCAUUAUUUCCCCUCACAUGCCCCAUUGAAUAGAGGCUAGCUCACAUUCCCUUAUCACUCCAACAUGUCCCAAGGCCUCAACGCCCAAAUCACUAUACAUAUAGAUGAGUACUCACAAUCCUAUGGCAUGCCUACUAUAUCCAACGGGUUCAAGAUCACAAGUCCAAAAUAUCCAAAAUUAAACACAUAUCACUUACCAACUAUCCGUGCACUAUCAUUGUAUAUUUGCUAUUUUUAGAAAAACAUUGUCACUAACAUUUAACAUAUACAUAACAUGUACACAUUUGCACUUUCACAACAGUUAUGAUAACCAUAUAUCACAUGUUAUAGCAUAUCAUCUCUGUUCACAUAUUCACAAACACAUAAGCACAUAGUUCACAAGAUAACAUAGGUAUGAGAAAGCUUACACUCGAAAUUUAGAGUAGGGGUUUAGGUCACAACUAAAUUCCAAAAUAACGCAUUGAAUCAUGUUCGCAAGUAAUUAUUCCAAGUCACCAAUUACACUUUCGUCGAAAAGCCAAACGCUCAAACUAGUUUUUCAUUGUCUUUAUAUCUACUCAAACUAGCUCAAACACUAAUCAAUUACUCAAUCUUUUUCCCUAAAAUCAGUUUCGUUCAUCUUAUAAUUUACCUACGACUAAUUCCCAACCUUUAAACUAGAAUAAAAUACUAAAUUCAUGGUAUUGACUUUUUCUACAUGUUUUAUGACUAUUUUCUGAAAAUUCAUUAAAACUCAAGAAUUUUUUAACGAAACUUCAAAGUAAGUUUAGAAACCUUCUAAUAAUGUUAAAACUAAUUGAAAAACACUUUAAAAUAUCGUUUUUAUGCAAAAUCUCAAAUUUCACCAUUAACGACCCAAUUUUCGAUUUUUAUUCAAAACAUGUGAUUUAAUGGCUAAAAACUUAGUUUUAAAGACUAAAUAACAUUUAAACAAAAAAAUCGAGCGUUUGAUGAAAAUCCCAAAAAAACCCACAAACUUGACAAUAGAGAAAUCUGUGGUGUUUUUGAGUGUUUUUCUUAGAUUUUAUGGAGAUAUUUGGCUUGGGUGAUGAUAGAAAUCAAGAGAAUUAAGGUUGAAGAUCAAAUAGUGGAAGAGAGGAGCUUUGAGAGCAAGGGGCGGCUAAAGCAUGAAAAUGGAGAAGACUAAGGUAAAAAUUAUAGGUGGGGAUGAUUUUAGGUUGAUUUUUAAAAUUUGUUUUAAUUGCCUCUUAAAAACUCACAAUUUUAACUCUUUUACAAAUCAAUCCUACUUUCAAAAUUAAAGAUAUUUAAAACUCAUUUUCAGAAAUUGAUUUAAUUUUAACCAUAGUAAAAAAAAUAUAUCGAUAAACCAAUUCAUAAAAUUCCGAACACUCUAAGGCUAAAAUUCCUAAAUUACCUCUAAACCCCUAGGUCCUAUUUUGGGAUGUUACAAUAAAUUGGUGUAAAUACACAUUUGGUCCCUGUCAAUUUUGAACAUGAGCAAAUUGAUCUUUCUCUCAACAAAAAUUACAAAAAAAAUUCAAAAUAUUUAUAAGAAUUUUAGAAUUUAAAACUUUUUUAAAUAUAUAUUAAAAAAUCUAAAGAAAUAUAAAAAAAUUAGAAAAAUCUAAUUAUCAUUUUUGGGACCUAAAUAAGUUAAUUAAUUAUUCAAGUUUAUCAUACUAUUUUUACUCUUUUUUUAAUGAAUUUUAAAAAAUAUAUGAUUUCAAAGAUAUGUGUUUUAGUAUAGAGUUAGUUAAAUUGUAAAAAUAUUUUAAUUUUUUCACUCGAUCCGAUCGAACGCUCACCUCUAGUGGUCGAUGUUCAUCGACAUAUAUCCUUUGUCUCCAACCGGAAAGGAUCUCUUCCAAAAUGAGAAUCUUAAAUUAGAGUGUGUCAUAUUUACCACAAGCCGUUUAUGAUAGAAUCAGACCCGUUUAAGCUUGAAAUCACUCACCUAAUGCAUGUUAUUUGGAAGGUUAUCGAUGAAGAUCGUUGCAACAACUAGAAGUUCGCCACUCCAUUUUUCUAUUGUCCGCCCUCCCUUGAUUAUAACAAUCCAGAACCUCCCUUACUCUAACUUAUAAAAUUAAAAAAACUCUAUAGGACAAAAUAAGACAAUAAAAGCUUUUAUUUAUUUAUUAAUACACUAGAAUUUCACACAUAGCAAAAGCACACUAUAUAAGGAGAUGCAUAGGAAAACAGCGGUAGGUAGAUAUAAGUCAACAGGCUGUCAAAUUUAUUCUAGUAAUAGUGUAAACAUAAGCACAUUAUUAUAGACGACACUGACAGCCUGAGCACCAGCAUUUUGAUCAGAAAUUUAAGCAAAGCCACCCAAGAAAAGUGUGUUUGUAUUCUCAUCACUGCAAUAAAGGCAAGGGUUCUGCUCAAAUCCAUUGUUCUUCAAAAUCUUGGCAGCCUCAACCAUAAGUUGUCUGUUGCUUAUUCCACCACCCAUGCACUGAUCGAGUACGCUAACCACUGCAUCGGUGAACGCCCCAAAGGCUCUAUUCCCCAAAACCAGGUCAUAUGAUGUCUCAUUGGCUUCACACCCACUUAAUAAUAUCCCUUCAUCCUCCUCCGGUGGAUCCAACACCAUUAACCCAUUUACGUAGUGAGGAUGGAAUUUGAGACUCACAUCUUUCCCGAAGAUUCCGAAAAUCUUUUGGCCAACAUUUGCUGCAUCGUGUAGGAUGCCUGCUGCUGUAUCUAUCGCACUGUGUAUGAUAUCAAAAGUAAGACUCUUAGCCUUAGCCUUAGACGGUUUAGGCUUGUUGGGAUUUACUGGAGUCAUCAUUUGCUGAGCACCAAAUUAUUCUUUCUCUUUUUCAAUGAGACCACCACUGUGGCACGAAUCUGAUAGGAUUGUGAAGCUUGCUCCUUCUGGUAGCCGGUUAACUAAAUGCCUGAAGUCCACAUCUGUAGAAACCAUGUAUAUAUAGGGUAUGAAUAUAUGUUGCUAAAAAAAUAUAUAAAUUCAAAUAAAAACCUACCGGUGACAAGAUUUAAAUCACAAGCCACGAUUGCUUUAUCUUGCUUGAAAGGCUGGCCAGGUUGAAAGAUUGGAAUGCGUGUUCCAUGUCCACUGAAGUAGAAAAAUAGGAUAUCUCCUGCUUUAGCCUUGUUCACCAUUCUAUUAAGUGCAUCCUUAAUGUUUGCACCCAUAGCCAGAACCGGCGACCCUGGUGCAUCGGUGAGAACAUUAACAUCGCUUUCCUUAAACCCAAAGUUCAGGAUCACACCUCUUAUGGCUUUCACAUCAUUGAUGCAUCCAUGCAAGUUGAAUUGGGUCUUGGGGUAGUUGCAUCCCACCAGAACUGCUCUCUUCGUACCCUUACUCAUCUUGCUUCGCUAAUUUGACUAUUUUGUGUUGCUUGUACCAUUGUAUUAAUGUGCUUCCACUAUCUCACUUAGAACCUAUAUAUAUACACACUAAUUUACAGCAUGUGUACUGACCAUAAAGAUGACGACAUGUAGGUAGGUAGGUAGGCAGGUACAACACUUUUGUUUGUCUUUCGUGUUUUGGAAAAUGCAUGCGAAAUCCCCUUUGGAGGGGUUUUUCCACGUUAAAUUUGUGUGUUCAUCUUCUCAAUUUCUUCUACUAGUUUUUACUUGUUCGUUGCUUAAUCGGGACAAUCCUAACAAAUGGUAUCAGAGCUAGUUCAAUUUUUAUAGAUCAGCCCGUUCAGAGAUGGCAACAACAAAGUUUGAAAUUGAGAAGUACGAUGGUGAGACAAAUUUCAAUCUAUGGCAAGUUCGGAUGAUGGCAAUUCUAGUUCAAAACGGCUUGAAAAGGUUGUUAUAGGGAAAAAGCCUGAGAAUCUAAAUCAAACAAAAUGGGAAGAGCUUGAUGAAAAGGCAUUGUCUGCAAUCCAUUUGUGCCUCGCGAAUACUGUAUUGUAGGAGGUAUUGAUGGAGAAGACCUCAUCUGUCUUAUGGAAAAGGUUAGAAACUCUUUAUGCGACUAAGUUUUUGGCUAACCGUUUAGUGUUGAAACAACGUCUAUUUACGUUUCGCAUGAAUGAAAGUAAGCUUCUUAGAGAUCACAUCAAUUAAUUCAUUACUCUUUUAAAUGAUUUAAGGAACGUUGAUAUUCAUAUUGACGAUGAAGAUCAAGCUAUGCUAUUAUUGUGCUCUUUACUACCUUCAUACAAGUCUUUCAGGGAGACCCUGAUUUAUGGUAGAGACAAACUCUCGUUCAAAGAUGUGAAGGGUCAUUUGUUGAGUAGAGACAAACUCGACAAUGAGUUUGGUUUGAAUAGCAAAGCAAAUAGGAAAGCUUCCGUUUUGGUAGUAUCAAAGAAACGAGACAAAAGGUGUCGCUAUUGUAAAAAGUUAGGUCAUGUCAAAGCAGAUUGUUAUAAACUGCGAAAUAAAAUAGUUGCUGAGAGUAACGAGGAAUAUGUAGCUGGUGCUAAUUUGGUCGAUGAAGGCGGUGAUGAUUUCUUGUUAGUGUCAACGAGAGAUAACUCUAAGCUUACGUCUGAGUGAAUCCUAGAUUCAGGAUGUUCUUUCCACAUGUGUCCCAAUAGAGAAUGGUUCUCCACAUACAGUUCAGUUGAAGGUGCAGUUGUGCACAUGGGAAACUAUUCAUCUAGUAAGAUAAUUGGUAUUGGUACUGUUAAAAUUAGGAUAGACGAUGGGACGAUUAGGACACUCUCAGAUGUCAGUUAUGUACGUAAUUUACGAAAAAAUCUCAUCUCCUCGAGUAUUUUAGACUUGAAAGGAUGUAGAAUCAACAUCGAGUCGAGUGACAUUAAAGUAUCUCGUGGAGCUCUCGUUUUGUUAAAAGGUAAAAGAACUGACAGUCUUUAUAUUUUGGAAGGUUCUACAGUGAUCGGUGAAAUCGGACAUCCCUCGUCCGUUACGGAGUCAAAGUUAACUCGUUUGGAGCGAAGGCAACCUGGUCAUAGGAGGGAAAAAGGUAUGACCGUUUCGUUGAAUAGAGGUUCUCUUUUGGAUGUAGGUUUUGAAAAGUUAGGGCACUAUGUUUGUGAAAAUCAGACUUGGGUUAGUUUUGAUUUGGCAGUGCACAAGUCGGAGGCUAGAAGUCUUCCAGCUUCUAAGUAUAGAUUUGACUCAGUUAAUUUCCUGCAUAGUUCAAGAUAGACCCGUGGCGGGUUUUGGCAAAGAUGGCGUUGAAAGAAUUCGUGUCAAGGUGGAGAUUGUUAAAGUUGUGUGACCCAAAUUCUAAGAGAUUGCUUGCAAGUCAAGUUAAACAAAAAUAAUUUUUUCUUUCUAGAAGAUUUAGUAUUUAUUUGUAUAAUAUAUUUAGCAUUUAUUAGCAUAGUUUAUUUUACUUACUAAUUUAGCCUAUAAAUAGGCUCUUUUACAAUCUUAGAAAAACACACCCAUUAGAUUAGAACUCAUAACAUAUUUAGAGAAUUUUGUGUUUAAGUUUUGAGAGUUCUUUAUUUUUCGAGUUUUCGGGGUUUAGUUUUUAUCUCCAUCUUUUAUACUCUUCGUUCUUUUGCCAUUAUAGUAAAAUUAUAUUUGCCCGUGGUUUUUUAUCCCCUUUGGAGGGGUUUUUCAACGUUAAAUUUGUGUGUUCAUCUUCUCAAUUUCUUCUACUAGUUUUUACUUGUUCGUUGCUUAAUCGGGACGAUCCUAACAGUUUAUUACGUACCAGCUUUGAAAAGCAACAUCAUCAGCCUUGGACAGCUUCUAGAAAAAUGAUAUAAAGUACAUAUGAAGGAUUGUAUGCUCGCCCUAAAAAAUAAGAGUGGUGAAUUAAUUAUCCAAGUUGAUAUUACGCCUAACCGUUUGCUUACUAUUGACAUUGAAUCUGGAGAGGUGAAAUGUAUGAAGAACGUAAUUAAAAAUGAUUCAUGGUUAUGGCAUUUAAGGUUCGGGCAUCUUGGAUUUUCUGGUCUGAAGCUAUUGUUAAAAGAAAAUAUGGUGAAUGGGCUGCCAUAAAUUAAUCUUUCUGAUCAACUGUGUGAAGCCUGCAUUAAAGGAAAACAACAUAGACAGAGUUUUGAAGUUGGAAAAACUCGACGAGCCAAGAGACCAUUGGAGAUCGUGCACUCUGACAUAGCAGGUCCUUUUAAUAUACCAUCACUUGGUGGAAACAAGUACUAUGUUACUUUUAUUAAUGAUUUUAGCAGAAAAAGUUGGAUAUAUCUUCUUAAAACAAAAUCAAAAGCAUUUGACAAGUUUAUCAAGUUCAAAGCCCUGGUAGAAAAACAGAGUGGACAUUUCAUUAAGAUACUUAGAAUUGAUAGAGACGGUUAGUAUACUUCAAAGCUAAUUGAAAGCUUCUGCAAGGAGCACGAAAUUAUUCACCAGUUGACAACUGCAUACACGCCACAACAAAAUGGAGUCAUUGAAAGAAAGAACCGCACUAUUCUUGAUAUGGCAAAAAGCAUGGUUAAAUGUAAGCAUUUACUAAGAGCUUUCUAGGCUGAAGCUGUUCAAUGUGCUGUUUAUUUGUUGAACCAGCAUCCAACAAAAAGUGUGAAAUACAAGAUGCCAAACGAAGCUUGGAACAAUUAGAAGCUAGGAGUCGAACAUUUCAAGAUUUUUGGAUGCAUCGUAUAUGCUUAUGUUACUGACCAGAUGAGAAAGAAGCUUGACGAUAAAUGAGUAAAAUGUAUUUUCAUUGGUUAUGAAAAGAGAAGCAAGACAUACAGGUUAUACAACACUCUCACCAAGAAAGUUAUUAUUUCAAGAGAUGUUGAAUUCGAUGAAGCUGAUUACUGGAGAUGGAACGAAAAAGAGAGGAAAAUUGAUGGAUUAUUUUUCAGUGAUCACAAAGACGACGACUUUAUUAAUCAAGAACAAGGCGACGAUGAAAGCCCUCCUGUAACACCCCUUACCCGAGACCAUCGUCGGAAUCGAGUACGAGAUGUUAUCCAAUUUAACCUACCAAUUUAGAGCAUAAAAAUUUGCUUUUAAAAUUAAAUUCACUGUUCACAACAAAACUGUCCACCUGCGCGACUGUCACUAAUUUACUUAUAACUCAAGUUACAAAACUCAAAAUUUAAAUCUGUAAAUUUUCCCUGAAACUAGACUCAUAUUCCUAAUUACCAUAUAAUUUUCAGAAUUUUUGACUUAGCCAAUUAGUACAUUUUAUUCAUUAAAGUAUCCCCUAUUUCACAGCUCGACAGAUCUGACCUCUUGCCACUAAAAAUCAAUUAUCUCAUUGUACAGAAUUCAUAUAAGGUUACCGUUUAUUUAUUUUGAAAAUAUACUCACUAAGGAAUCUAGAAAUAUAAAUUAUGACCCAUAAUUAUUCCUGUACAAUUUAUAAUGAUUUUCCAAAGUCAGAACAGGGGACUUCAAAAACCAUUCUGACCCUGUCUCACUAAAAUUCAAAUAUCUCAAAAUACAGAAUUCCUUUGCCUACACUGUUUCUUUCAUAUAAAAAUAGACUUGAUAAGCUUUAAUUCCAUAUAUAAUUAACUCUCUAAUUCCAUUUAUACUAUUUAUGGUGAUUUUUCACAUUCACGUCACUGCUGCUGUCAAAGAAACUGCUUCUUUGAAUUAGUUAACAUUUAACAUACAUAACACCCAAAACAUAAUUUUUACUAACCAUUUCAAUAGCUAAUCUUAGCCAUAUCAUAUGAACAUACUCAAAAUGAUUAACACUCUAUACAUGCCAUAGUUUUAAACAUUCUGAAAAGCACAUAAUACCGAGAUGAUUAUAAUAGUGUGAUACGAGCUCCGACGAUCCCCAAUUCGACCAAGUUCAAAUCACUAUAAAACAAAGGAAAAGAAGAAAGGUGUAAACUACUAAUAGCUUAGUAAGUUACAUGUAAAUAAUAAUUACUCAUUUAAUAAUUAACACUUUUAACAUAUAACUAAUCAAAACAUUUCUUAGCAAUUUCUAUCACUUAUACAUACACAAUCUUACCAAUUCACUUGCAUAUACAUUUUCACACUUAAUCUUUAUCACUAUGCUCAUUCUUUUCAAAUGUACCUGCAUACACACUUCAUUUCAUAUUCACUUUAACUCAUUAUUAAUCCCGUUGAACACUCGGAAUAUACACAGAUACGUAGAGAUUUAGCACAUAAGUGCAACACUGAUAUGUAGCCGAAGCUACCACUAUUAUAUAGCCAAAGCUACCACUGAAAUGUAGCCGAAGCUACCACUGUUAUGUAGCCGAAGCUACCACUGAAACGUAGCCGAAGCUACCACUGAUCAAUAACACUGGAAAUGUCCACAGGCCUGCUCACACAAGCUGUCAGGUGUCUGCAACACAUGCUAGAUCACCCAGCACCCGGGACUCACUGUAACACUGUAACACUGAUCUCUAGUGACAUGUCACUUGUAUCCACUUCUAUUCCUAAGUUCAACCGGGAAUUUACACUUAACACUUUAUUUUUAACACUUUAUUUUCAACACUUUAACACUUGAAUAAUUCAUGAAUAAUUUUCCUUCCACAUUGAAUAUUAAUUCACAUAUCAAAUAUAAUUCACAAUUUAUAAAAAUAUAACUAUUAUUUACACAUAACUUACCUCGGAUGCAAAACGACUAUUUUUGUAAUUUAGUCGAUAACUUUCUCUUUUCCCCGAUCACUUCCACUAUUUCUUCUUUCUUGAUCUAUAUUAACACAAUUUAAUACAUUUUAUCAACAUUUCAUUCAAAUAAAAUUCAUACACAACAUUUUGACAAAUUUACAUUUUUCCCCAAAACUUUUCAAAAAUUCCACUUUUGUCCCUAAGCUCGUAAAAAUAAAAUUCACUAAAUUUUUAAAUUUCAAACUUCACUAAAUCAUAUUUCAUGCUUAUAACAGCCCUCAAUUUCACCAAAUCACAACUUUAUGCACACUUUACCAUCUUUCACAAUUUAGCCCUUUUUCAAUAUUUUCAUCAAAAUUCAUCUAGUAAAACUUGUAAUUAACACUUCAAACAUUCAUUAUCUAACAUCACUAAUCAAUUUACAAUUAUAUCAUGAAUGGGUCAAUUUUUAAACUUUAAUUUCAUUUAAAUUAAAUAGUAGAAACAUGAAAUUCAAGCAUCAAUAAGCAUAAAAAUAUGAAAAUAGUUAAAAAUGGGGCAAGAAAUCACUUACAAUUGAGCUUAGAAAAAUCAAGAACCUUAGCUAUGGUAACAUGAAACUUUCGGCAGCAAGCUUCUGAUUUUGAAGAAGAUGGACACUUAUUUUCUCUUUAUUUUGUCUUUUUCUCAAUUUGGACAAAAAUGCCCUUGACCCAUUACUUAGAUAUUUUUCUAGAAUUACCCUUUUGUGUCCAUAACACUAAUUUAUGGUCUAAUUGUCACAUAAACACUUCCAAUUUCAUGCAAUAAUUCAAUUAAGUCAUUUAAUCACUAAUUAGACACACUUUGCAUUUUUUUCAAUUUAGUCCUAAAAAUUCAAUUAAGCACUAAAUCAUUAAAAUUUCCAAUCCAUAUUUUCACACAAUAUUUCAAUCAAUCAGUAACUUAUAAAAAUUUAUAAAAUAAAACUAUUUCACUUCGGAUUUGUGGUUACGAAACCACUAUUCCGAUUAGGCCCUAUUUCGGGCUAUCACACCUCCUUCAAGUCCUGUUGCAACAACUCUUACAGCAUCAUCAUCACCAACCAACAACAGUACCAGCAACUCAGAGGAAGCACCUGCAAUAAUGCGUAGUUUACGCGAUAUUUAUAAUGUUACAGAACCAUAGAAAUAACACUCGAUUAUUCAUUAUUCUAUAUAAUGACAGAAUGUGAUUCAAUAACAUAUAAAGAUGCAAUUGAAGAUGUUAGAUGGAAAAAGGCAAUGGAUGAAGAAAUUACAACAAUAAUAAGAAAUGACAUAUGAGAGCUAACAAGUCUACUAGAAGGACAUACUCCAAUUGGAAUCAAAUGGGUGUACAAGACGAAGACCAACAAAGAAGGAAAAAUAGAGAAAUCCAAAGCAAGACUAGUUGCAAAAGGCUACAAGCAAAGAUACGGUGUGGACUAUGAUGAAAUAUUUACUUCGGUCGCCAGAAUUGAUACUAUAAGACUUCUCAUGGCAAUUGCAGCACAAAAUAAAUGGAAAAUUUAUUAGAUGAACGUGAAGUCAGCAUUCCUUAAUGACUACCUGGAAGAAGAAGUCUAAAUUGAACAACCACCUGGAUAUAGGAAACAAGGACAAGAAGACAAAGUUUAUCACUUGAAGAAAGCUUUAAAUAGACUGAAGCAAGCCCUGAGAGCAUAGAACACAAGAAUAGAUGAAUACUUUUAGAAGAACGGGUUCAUGAAAAUCCCAUACGAGCAUGCUCUAUAUACAAAGAAAAAUAAAGUUGGUGACAUCAUGAUCGUGUGCUUAUAUGUGGAUGAUAUGAUUUUCAUGGGAAACAAUCCAGGUAUGUUCAAUGAAUUUAAGAAAGCUAUGACUAAAGAUUUUGAAGUGACAAAUAUUGGUGAAAUGUCAUACUUUCUUUGAGUCGAAGUGAACCAAAUGAAAGAUGGAAAAUUUGUGUCUCAAAAAAAAUAUGCAGAACAGAUUUUAAGAAAAUUCAGAAUGAAAGAUUGCAAGCAAGUAGCCACGCCCGUAGAACCAGGCAUGAAAUUAAGUGUUGGUUCAUCCGGAGAGUCGGUAAAUCCAAUGUUGAAUAAAAGUAUUGUUGGAAGUUUAAGGUACUUGACUAUCACAUGGCCAUACAUCAUGUACGUAGUGGGAACAGUUAGCAAAUACAUGGAGAAGCCAAAACAAGAUCACCUGAUUGCAGCAAAGAGAAUUUUGAGAUACAUCACAGGUACGAUGGAUCAUGGUUUAUUUUAUACACACUCACAGAGUUCAAAAUUGGUUGGUUAUUUAGAUAGUGAUUAUGGUAGUGGCUUUGAUGAUCGCAAAAACACAUCCAGAUAUUUAUUCCAUAUUGGCUUCGCGGCAUUUUCUUGGUCAUCGAAAAGUAACAAACAGUAGCUAUCUCAACAUGUGAGGCAAAAUUCAUGGAUGUUGCAACAUGCACGUCUCAAGCAAUUUGGUUGAAGAAUAUUUUAGGUGAAUUAACUAUUAUACAAGAAGGUCCAAUUAUAAUUUAUGUUGACAAGUCCACAAUAUCUCUUGUAAAGAAUUCAGUGUCUCAUAGUCGAAGCAAGCAUAUGGAUACAAUGUAUCAUUUUAUUCGAGAGCAAGUGAAAAAUAAAAAUGUAGAGUUAGUUUACUCCAAAUUAGAAGAUUAAUUGGCGAAUAUUUUUACGAAACCAUUGAAAACGGACAUAUUCUAUAAACUCAAAGAAAAGCUUGGAAUGAAAAGUUCAAGGGGAAGUGUUAAAAAACAAACCAACUUUCAAAGUCGGCAUAAAAAUUGCAGCCAAAGAAUUUCUAUCCAAAUUGGCUUGAAAUUGAAUUGCAAAAGUAGCUGCAACUUUGUAAAUUGGCCUGCACAAAUGAUAAAGGAUAAUGAUGACAGCAGCUUGAAUAGUCUUAGACGGCAAGGCUUGAUAAAGUUUAAGUCGGUUUACUAUGCUUAUAAAUAUGUAAGUAGAGUCUUAUGAAAUUAAAAUUAAAUGAGUGUGUGUGAAAACGUUAGUGAGCUUGAGAGGAAAAAAAGAAAGAAAGGUGUUGUGAGUUGUAUAAAAAGGAAAAACUAGCAGCAGCUAGUAGAGAGAGAAAAAAGAGUUUAUAUUUGUAUUGUGUUUAUUUGUGUGUAAUAAAAAAUUAGUACUUGAGUUAUUUUUAUUACCCUUCCAACAUAUUAUAUGUUCCAGUGUUGAUGGCAUUGGCAACUGAUGUUGUGUCCAAGAAGCUUGACGUCGUGCUCAUGACGUUGGCUGCUGUUUGCAGGCUCUAAUAUAAUGUUUCAAUGGAAAUGCCCCUAGUCCUGUAAUCAACAGAUGGUGCUAUACCACUUAGAGUACUAUGGGGUCCAAUUUGAGUAAACUCGAUUAAGUAAUUCUAGUUUCAGAUUGAAGUCGGGUUAAAUUUUACAAUUCGAAUAACUCAAAUAAUAGAUUGGUGUAAAUACACGUUUGGCCCCGGUCAAUUUUAAAAAUGAGCAGAUUGAUCUUUCUCUCAACAAAAAUUACAAAAAAAUUCUAAAUAUUUAUAAAAAUAAAAAAAAUCUAAAGAAUAUAUAAAAAAUUAAAAAAGAUUCUUAAAUAAUCAUUUUUGAGACCUAAAUAAGUAAAUUAAUUAUUCAAAAUUUUCAUACUAAAAUAUCUUUAUUUUCUCUUAUUUUUCUUUGAAUAAAUUUUCAAGAAUAUAUAAUUUUAAAUUUAUGUAAUCUAACAUAGAAUUGAUUAUAUUGUAAAAAAAAAUUUAAUGUUUUAGUCGAUUGGAACGGAUGCACAUCUCUACUGAUCAAAAUUGAUCCGCAUAUAUUUUUUUUCUCUAACUGAAAAGGAUCUCUUCCAAAUUAAUGAUCUUGGAUUGAAACAUGUCAAAUUUACCACAAAUCGUUUAUGAUAGAAUCGGACCCGUGUGACCUUGAAAUCACUCUCCUAAUACAUGUUAUUGAUGAAGAUUGUCGGACACCUUGAAUUUCUCCGCACCAUUUAAUGUUCGGCCCACUUGGCUAUAACAAUCCGAAACCUCCCUUAACCUAACUUAUAAGAUUAAAAAAACUCUAAAUAAGAGAAUAAAAACUUUUAUUUAUUUAUUUAUUUAUACACUAGAAUUUCACACUAUAUAAGAAGAUGCAUAAGAAAACAGCGGUAGGUAGAUAUAAGUCAACAGGCUGUCAAAUUUAUUCUAGUAGUAGUGCAAAACAUAAGCACAUUACUGACAGCCUGAGCACCAGCAUUUUGAUCAGAAAUUUAAGCAAAGCCACCCAAGAAAAGUGUGUUUGUAUUCUCAUCACUGCAAUAAAGGCAAGGGUUCUGCUCGAAUCCAUUGUUCUUCAAAAUCUUGGCAGCCUCAGCCACAAAGGCUUUAUUCUCCAAGACCAGGUCAUAUGAUGUCUCAUUGGCGGGUUUUUUACUAAAAUAUUAUAACAAAAAUAAAAAAUUAUCAAAAUGUUAUAACUUUUUUUUUAUUUACCAAAAUAUAUAUUUUUUUAUUUACUAAAAUAUAUAAAAAAACAAAAAAAACCUAAAAAAAAAUCUGACCGAUGUGACGGGUGUACCUUGGUCACGCCAAUGGGAUUGGCGGCACCGAAGGGGCCAAAGCCAUUGGCGGCACCAAUGGUGCCAAUACCAUUGGCGGCACCAAUGGUGCCGUAUUGAUUGGCGGCACUACUCGUAUUAUAAAAACGACCUUUGUCCAGCUGAAGAGAGAAAAAUCAAAAGAAAAAAAAAGAAGAAGAAGAGUUACUGCGUAAAAGAAGAGAAAAAGAGGAGAAAAAGAAUGUAUUUUUUAAAAAAUAAUUGAUUAUAUUGUUGUUAUUAUUUUGUAUAUUUUGUAAUAUUUUUUGUUUUACUUUAGUUAUUAAGAUUAAUAAAACUCAAAAUAAUAGUAUUAGUUAGUAUUAUUAUUAUUAUUAUUAUUAUUGUUGUUGUUGUUGUUGUUGUUGUUGUUGUUGUUGUUGUUGUUGUUAGUAUUAAGAUGUUAUUAAUGUAUUAAGAUGUAACUUAGUAAUAUUAUAGUUAGCAAAAAACUAGUAUUAUUAUUAUGGUUACUUAUUAUUUUUAUUUACGAAAAUAAACUAGUUAGUAAAAAACUAGUAUUAUUAUUAUAGUUAGUUAGUUAGUUAUUAUUUUUAGUAAAAUUAAUAAUUUUAGUGUGUAUCAUUUUGUAUAUUAUUUUGAGUAUAAAAUUUUUUUUAAGUAAUUUAGUUACCGUUCGAGAAUUUUUAUGAGAUUUUGUUUUUUUUGACAGAUUAAAUAUUGAAGAUGGAUGCUAAGUUUCUUGUAUGCGUUUAUUUCGAUUGAGUCAUCUUGACAACAAGUGUUGGAUGUGUAUUUGAAUGUCGGCAACAAAUAGCAAUGAGAUUUAAUAGAAAUGUAUCGUUCGAUGAAAUGAAGGUAAGGAUUAGUGCAAAAAUUCAUAGACGUUGUGGGAGAAGGAUAGCAAAAAUUUUCUACAAGUUUCCGGUUUCGACAAAUCCGGUCAAAUUCGUCGAGAUGGAACUUGUAGACGACGAAGACGUGGAGACAAUGGUCGAUCUCUACUGUGGGAAUGGGAGUGAGAAGAAUGCACCGAUUCACUUAUUUGCUGAGUUAGUCGGUAUGGAGCAAAAUGAAGAUGUUAAUGCAUCUGAUGAAGAAGACGGGGCUGAAGAACCGUGGAUGGUGACUCCAAUAUCAUACGUUGAUAGUGAAUCAACUAUGGGAGGGAUCGGUAUCAACCUGAAUAUUACACCCGAUGUUGACAUGGUUGGUGGUGAAGAAGAAGGUGCUGGCGAAGAAGAAGGUGGUGGCGAUCAUUGGGAUGAAGAGGUCGAUAGUGACGGUGAUCCCGAUGUUGACGAUGUACCUGAUGAUAUUGACGAUGAAGAUGUCAACAACGAUGAAGGCAUUAACGCUUCUUCGGUUGGGGAGCAGAUGCGGCGUAUUGUGAUACACAAUAAUCCUAAGCCACAUAUGUCGCUCAUAGACCCCGACGCAACGUAUGUAGCUGAGUUUCUGGAGUACCCUGAAAUAGUUCAUUCUCACGGGCUGCCCGUAACAUCUGAUGAUGAUGAGAUAUUCAUAGGCCAGAGAUUCAGCUGUAAAGAAGAGUGCGUAUAUGCCAUUAAACGGUACAGCAUGAAGAUAUCGGUGGAUUAUAAAGUAUCCGUGUCUACUCCGACAAUAUAUGUUGAGGCGUGUUGGAAGGCAGCGGAAGGCUGCAAUUGGCGGGUACGAGCUGCAUUCAUUAGAAGUUCUCAGCUGUGGGAGAUACGAAAAUUUGUUGGUCCUCAUACAUGCACAUCAACACGUAUGAUAGAAGAUCAUGGAAAACUUGAUUCAAAAACUAUUUGUGCGUGUAUCAUGCCAAUGGUGAAGGACAUGCCGACCAUUAAAGUUUCGAUACUCAUUGCGAAAAUCCAAGCACGAUUCCAGUAUCGAGUCUCAUAUCGGAAGGCAUGGAUAGCUAAACAGAUGGCGAUGGAGCAACUGUAUGGGGAUUACGAUUCGUCGUAUAACGAGCUUCAAGGUUCGAUAGCUGCUAUGUGGAAGUACGUACCGGGGACUGUGAUUGACUUGCAGAUAAGUCCAUAUUACGGCCCGGAUGACCAGUUACAGCCGGCAAAAAGGAUUUUCCAUCAGAUGUUCUAGACCUUCGAUCCAUGUGUGCGAGCAUUUUCCCACUGCAAGCCACUUGUGCAGGUGGAUGGGACAUGGCUAUUUGGAAAAUAUACACAGAUCCUACUUCUUGCAGUUGCUCAAGACGGUAACAGAAAUGUGCUCCCGAUAGCAUUUGCUAUCGUAGAUAAAGAGAACAUAGAGUCUUGGGAAUUCUUCCUCACAAAUCUGCGAAGGUAUGUUAUUAGGAACGAUAACAUUUGCAUCAUCUCCGAUAGAGGGAAGGGUUUAAUUGCAGCUAUUAGGCAUUCUGGUUUACCGUGGAGAUCCGUUUACUGCAUUCGUCACAUUGCGUCUAACUUCCAUAAAAAUUAUAAAAAUGCAGACUGGAAGAGACAAGUCGUGGCAAUGGGUAAAUGAUAACCUUAUCUUUUCACUAUAAGUUGUAAUGUUUGAUGUUAUCGACUUACUAGAACUUAUUUUUCGUUAAUAUGUAUGCAGCGUACGAGUUAAAGCCACAUAUUUUCCGGCAAAGAAUGAUCCGACUUGAGAGUGACAUGGAGGGGCAGACAAACACAUCUUUCCGAAAAUGGUUGCGCACAAUGGAGCCGUGGCAGUGGGCUCAAAGUUUUGACGAGGGCUUUCGUUACGGCCACAUGACCACAAACUUAGUCGAGUGGAUCAAUGCUGUCUUGUUGAAAACACGUCAUCUUCCGAUUGCAUCGGUAUUUCCUGCUACUUUCUACAGGCUGGCUACUUUGAUGCCAAGAAUGGGCUAGCAUUAAGUCGGCCAAAUUCAGGCGGGACAUGUGUUUGUCGAACAUGUAAGGGAUGCAAUGGUCGUAAACCGUCGGUUGGCGAGGUCAAUGAACAUGGAAAUAUAUUCACGACGACUGGAAACGUUUCGAGUUACUGAGAACAUCGGUCGUCGACCUAGGUCCUACGGAGUUGAUCUCCGGAACAGACAGUGCGAGUGCAGGAAGUUUGAAACAAUUCAUUAUCCCUGUGCACAUAUCGUGGCGGCGUGUGCUAAAGUCAACCUUGAUGUUGAACAAUAUGUCGAUGAUGUGUACACGCUGGAGCGCACAUUGCGUGUCUGGGAGAAUGAGUUCCCCGUCCUGCCGGACCUAUCUAUGUGGGAGGUGUCGCCGAUGACUUUCGAGCUGAUCCCAGACAGAGGGCUAAGGAGGAAUCCAAGGGGUCGUCUGCAGUCAAGCAGAAUCCGUAAUGAGAUGGACAUUAGGGAAAAAUUUGAUGGAAAGCGUUGUGGAAUAUACCGGUUAAGUGGUCAUAGCCGGAAUAAAUGUCUUAACCGAAACUUUCAUUUUGGUCAGUCGUCCGGAUCGGGGUGAAAUUGAUAUGCUUUGUAUUUUGUUAUAAACAUUAAUUUUAUUCAGCUUUGUACCAUGUGCGCACUUGGAAUUAUUAAGAUUAUAUCGAAAAUAGAGGCAUUCAUAAUUCGAUUGAGCUUUAAUAUAAUGAAAAAUAAUAAUAAUGGAUAUUUAUACAAAAAAAUCAGAAGUAAGGUCAAUUAAAAUACAAAUAUGGCUUUUUAUACAAAAAGUGCAUCAAAUCCCUAAAAUCAAUGUUUCGAUGGUGUUGUCCGGGGGGUAUACCUCUGCGGAGGUCGACGCUCACGGUCUGGGAGACGACCAACAUCCUCAUCGUCCGCAGGUGGGGGCGUGGAAAACAUAGAGGAAAGGUCCUGUGCCUCGUUCGCCGCCGACGAACUUGAACCAUAAUGCUGCGAAUACGUGUCGGACGGGCCGGGCAUGCCGUACUGCAGCCGGGGGAUCCAAACAGUUCAAACUCGUAGGCGUAUUCGCCGUCUGCGAAGCUCGGAUAAUAUUUAUCGCCCACCAAAUCCGGACGAUAGCCAUGUGAAUCCACAUUUGACUGUGAAUGUCCAGGAUCUGGCUGGGGGUCCUGCUCCGGCUCUGUCAGUUGCGGAGAACAAUAUGCCGUCGGAUCUGGAUCCAUCGGGCUCGGUUCGUCCGAUGCCCCAACUUGCUGUACGUACGGGGGGAUUAUAGUUCGAUUGUACUUCAAGUAAAUAUGGCUUCCUGCAACUAUGGUACCAUUGUGUAUACUCCAAUGAUGGUUGCAGGUCCGUAGCCAUAACCAUUUGAGGAAUUCGGCGAAAUCGAUCGUUCCACAGUGCGACGUAUUUUCGGUGCUUGAUUCCCAAGCCCAAUUGAACUCUUCCUCUCUUUGUCAAGCCGUGAUCAUCCUCCAACUGGGCCGGCGGAUCCGGGAUAGGUUGGAUGCACCCAAACUGUCGAAGCACGCGAUCGACGUGAUACCACUUGACGACGUUGAAAUUAAUAAUUGGUGUGUUAAUGCACCAUAUGUGGGAAUCAACGAGUGCGGACGAGGGUACGACAUUUGCAAUUUCCCGCCUCCGGUAUGGCAUCCAUAUAAACUGCAUGAGUAAUACCAUUGUAACGAGUUAGACCGAUAACAUGUGAUUAAGAUAUAGAAAUAGAAUAGAUGUCAUGAAUAUUAGAAUAGCAGCUUACCCCUUCCCGGGCAUGCUGUUCAAUCCUCAUGCGGUAUAUUGGGACAUCAGACGACUUCCUGAUGCCAGGACGGGUCAUCCACCUAUAAAAAAUAGUAUAGGGUAUAGGGUUGGUAACAUUACUCAAUAUAUUAUGACUACAAAUAAUGACAAUUUAGCGUCUUAUCACCUGAGUGGCAGUGGAUACAGAUAGGGUUGGUGACUAACGAGUGCCAAAAACGACAUCCGAUAAAGCGCCCACGACUGCAGCAGUAUGAGGCAUCCGCCGAUGUCUUUAACCUGCGGCUUUGUCGCCUGACAAAGCUCCCGGUAGAGCGUUGCUAGAACGGCGGAACCCUAGCUAUACCGCCUAGCAGUGGAGAAAUAAGCUAGCAGGGGCAGGUACGACAAAUGCACACUGUCGCCGUUUGCAUCAGGCAUGAGUACUGCCCCUAUCAUAUGCAUGAUGUACGCUCGGGCAACGCACAUCAACUCACCUUCAGUGGCGGUCACUGAUAAUUGUCUAAUUUUGGCUUUUAGCCAUGUAAAUUUGAUGCCGGAAAAAUAUUUGUCGCCGUCCUCUGGCGACUCUCCUAGGAGUUGAUAGCAAACUGCAACCGGAUCGGUGAAUGAUGAUACUCCCGUUACGGGAUUCCAGUCAAUUGGGAGCCCCAGCUGCACUGCAACAUCCUCCAAGGUCACUGUGCACUCCCCGCACGGAAAAUGGAAAGUAUGGGUCUCCGGACGCCACCGCUCCACUAGCGCAGAUAAUAAAUCAAAGCGCAAGUCGGACGACCGGAUGAAUGCUACUGACCCAAAUCUGGCUAGCUCCAGGUAUGGCAGCAAUCGAUCAUCCGGAGCUUUCUUUAAAACACUCACGCGGCCCCUUAAUACUCAGAACGAGUCCUGAUAGUGUUAAAUUACAGAAAAAUAUUACGAUAACAUAAUUUCUUUGUAUAUACUGCAUAUAUCCUUUUAAAAUAAAUAGAACUUCUGAUUAACAAAUAAUAAAUCAUACCGCGUUAUUAGUCGCAUCAGAUAUGUGUCUAAUAUUGCUUUGAAUCAAUCCAGCCAUUGCGAUGCCUGCAAGUUAGAAAAAAAAGUUAGAAAAAAAUUCUUACUUCAGCCAUUUAUUCGUAUUUUUUUUCUCCGCAUUUUAUUCCUUUAAAAAAUAUCAUAAUUUCUAAAUUUAUAAUUUUACAUUAUUCCAGUGCAUAAUGUUUGAAAUUUAUUAAUCUAGUGUGUUAUUUAAAUUAAUUUUCUGUAAAAAAUAACCCUUACCCCUGCCCUUUGCUCGUAUUAAUUUUCUGUAAAAAAAUAACCAUCACCCUUUUUUUUGCAGUUUUUUUUAUAUAUUUUGGUAAAUAAAUAUAUAUAUAUAUUUUGGUAAAUAAAAAAAACUUAUAACAUUUUGGUUAUUUUUAAUUUUUUUAAUAUAUUUGUAAAAACCCAUUAUUCUGGUAAAUAAAAAAAUUUUAUAAUAUUUUCGUAUUUUUUUCUAAUAUUUUGGUAAAAAACCCGAAAUAAACCCUUUCCCCUGCCCUUUGGUCGUAUUAUUAUUUUCCCGAUUUUUAUUACUUUCAAGAAAAAUAUAUUAUUUUCGUAUUUUAUUAUUUUAUAUUAUUUCAGUACAUUUUGUUUCAAUUAUUUGUAUAACUUAUUUCUGAAUUUUUAAAAAAAUUUACUAAUACACUCUUACUUCGGCCAUUUGUUCGUAUUUUUUUUCAGUAUUUUAUUAUUUUUAACAAUAUCGUAAUUUUUUAUUUUAUAAUUUUAUAUUAUUUCAAUUUAUUAUGUUUGAAAUUUAUUACAUGUACACUUUUUGCAUUUUUAUUCCCAUUUUAUUAUUUUCGAUAAAUAUACAAUUCCCAUUUUUUCUUUUCGUAUUUUAUGUUUUCUUAAACAUACUUCUUUGUCAUUUUUCUUUUAAUGCUAUUUUCCUAAAAUUUAAAUUUCAAAUUCCUAAAUAAAUUUCGUAAAAAAAAUCCUUAUUCAACAUACAAUGUACAUACCAUUAUUUUUUCAUUCUAAAUAUAUUUCAUAAAAUAUAUAUGCUAAACAAAAUAAUAAAAUAACUAUAAUGUACGUAACAUAAAUAUUAAAAAAAUUAAAUUUAUAAAAAAAAUACCUUUUCUUUUCUUUUCUUUUCUUUUUCCUUCCUUCCCUCUUCUUCUUCUUCUUUUUUUCUCUUCUCCUUUCUUUUUCUUUACUUCUUUCUUUCUUUUUUCUUAUCCUUUCCUUUUCUUCUUCUUUCUUUCUUUCUUUUUUUCUCUUCUCCUUUCCUUUUCUUUCCUUCUUUUUCUUUCUUUCAUCUCCUUUCUUUCUUUUUUUCUUUCUUUCUUUCUUUCCCUCUCCUUCUGGUCCCCCCACCACCGACCCCCCCCAUAAACAUUGGUGCCGCCAAUGGUAUUGGCACCAUUGGUGCCGCCAAUGGCUAUGGCACCUUUGGUGCCGCCAAUCCCAUUGGCGUGACCAAGGUACACCCGUCACAUCGGUUAGAUUUUUUUUUUCAUUGUUUUUUUUUUUGGUUUUUUAUAUAUUUUGGUAAAUAAAAAAUAUAUAAUUUGGUAAAUAAAAAAAAGUUAUAACAUUUUGGUAAUUUUUUAUUUUUGUUAUAAUAUUUUAGUAAAUAUCCCCUCAUUGGCUUCACACCCACUUAAUAAAAUCCCUUCAUCCUCCUCCGGUGGAUCCAACACCAUUAACCCAUCUACGUAGUGAGGUUGGAAUUUGAGACUCACAUCUUUCCCGAAGAUUCCGAAAAUCUUUUGGCCAACAUUUGCUGCGUCGUGUAGGAUGCCUGCUAAUGUAUCUAUCGCACUGUGUAUGAUAUCAAAAGUAAGACUCUUAGCCUUAGCCUUAGCCUUAGAUGGUUUAGGCUUGUUGGGUUUUACUGGAGUCAUCAUAUGCUCAGGACCAAAUUGUUCUUUCUCUUUUUCAAUGAGACCACCACUGUGGCACGAAUCUGAUAGGAUUGUGAAGCUUGCUCCUUCUGGUAGCCGGUUAACUAAACGGCUGAAGUCCACAUCUGCAGAAACCAUGUAUAUAUAGGGUAUGAAUAUAUGUUGCUAAAAAAAAUAUAUAAACUCAAACAAAAACCUACCGGUGACAAGAUUUAAAUCACAAGCCACGAUUGCUUCAUCUUGCUUGAAAGGCUGGCCAGGUUGAAAGAUUGGAAUGCGCGUUCCAUGUCUACUGAAGUAGAAAAAUAGGAUAUCUCCUGCUUUAGCCUUGUUCACCAUUCUAUUAAGUGCAUCCUUAAUGUUUGCACCCGUAGGCAGAACCGGCGACCCUGGCGCAUCGGUGAGGACAUUAACAUCGCUUUCCUUAAACCCAAUGUCCAGGAUCACACCUCUUAUGGCUUUCACAUCAUUGACGCAUCCAUGCACGCUGAAUUGGGUCUUGGGGUAGUUGCAUCCCACCAGAACUGCUCUCUUCGUACCCUUACUCAUCUUGCUUCGCUAAUUUGACUAUUUUGUGUAGCUUGUACCGUUGUAUUAAUGUGCUUCCACUGUCUCACUAAGAACCUAUAUAUAUACACAUUAAUUUACAGCAUGUGUACUGACCAUAAAGAUGACGGCAUGUAGGUAGGUAGGUAGGUAGGUAGGUAGGCAGGUACAACACUUUUGUUUGUCUUUUGUGUUUUUGAAAAUGCAUGCGAAAUCCAUGCAUAUGCAAACAUUUUGUGCAAGGAAUUUGCAUAUCAGUACUGCAUAAAAGAGUGACUCUGGAGUUAUGGAAUUAUUUGAUAAUAUCAAAUACGAAAUAAAUUAAAAAUAAAAGAGUGGGUGAUUAAUCCGAAUUGGGAGGAGGACAGGUGUUGUGAUGGACAAAGCGUAAGACAAGUUGGUUUCCGACUGAAGCAGGAAAGCUCUAGCAAAAGGCAGCUAGGUAUUCCUUUUUCAGACAAAAGACGAUAAAGGAUAGAAAAAUAUAGGGUGGUGGUCGAAGAUAAAUGAUUAGAUCUGCUUCGCCUUCGUCCAUCACCUCAUCUUUAGGUUUUUUUCUUGGUCGUGACUCACGUUGGCCGUCGUCUGCAAGUGCUGUCGGUCCUACUAUCGUCGUUGUGUUGUCUAGCUUCUGAUUUCUAUGUAUUAGGGUCUAUUUGAAUGUGAGGUUGGUGUAGGGGUGAGGUUACAAAAUGGAUUUUAAGGGUUAAAAGUUAAAUUAUGUAUCUAUAUAGAUUAAAGAAUUGUUAAAUCAAAAUUUUAUAUUUUUUUUGGGAAUAAAUUGUAAUUAUAUAAAGUUUAACUUAUAAUUUUAUUGAUUUGAGCGAGAUUUAAAUAAUAGCUUUCUAUUUCUAUAAAGAGUAAUUUUUAUUGUAAGGGGCACGAUUAGACUUGAUUAUGAGUUUGGUCACCCUCCAAGUCCGAUAGCCCUCCUGAAAAGUGAGAGUUUAGGCAAAAUAUAAGCUUGAAAAAUAGGCUUGGACAAAAAAUAAUGCCCAUUUUCUAAUACUAGUGACAAACUACAUAAUUCGUUUAUGUCGCAGUUUAUGUUUAUGUGGUGUGAAUGUGUGAUAUAGCUAAAAUGAAUCUCGCUAGGAUGAGUUUGUUAGUUAGAAUUUGGACUCCCUCGUUCUUAAUACUGCCGAUAAGUUAAAUCUAGGGCGUUGAGUUACAGGGUUAUUUAUCGAUUAGGAAAUAAUUUCAAACGAGUUUUCUCUUGGCUAUCGAACAAUGAGAGAUGGGUUGCCUUACACUGAGUCAACAACUAGAACUAAUUUAUUAAAGGUAUUGAAGUUAUUUUUGCAUUGAUGAUCGAAUCUUUGAAUCAAACAAAGAUUUUACUUCUAGCUAGAGUUUCUUCUCAUUAAUUUUCUUUUAUAAUUUAUUUUUACUUUGUUUUAAUUUUAAUUUUUAAUUUUAAAAUCUUUUUAUAUUUUUCAUGUAAGUUUUUGUUUUUAUAAAUCUCUACAUCCUUGCAUUACUUCAAUACAACACCAAAAGAACCAAAUGGCAAACACUAUAACUAAAAAUCUUGCAAAAGAGGCCGUUUUAUUUUAUCAUAAAAUUAUACAUGAAAUAGCCAUACAUGGCGAUUACAUAAGCUUGAAGGCCUUAAAACACAGACAUACGAUAGUAAUUAAUAAGCAAACACACACACAGACGCAGUAAUGAAGGCUAACUUCAACUUCGUAGUAGUGCACACCGAUGGAGCACAUUAUUAUUUAGUUUACAGUUUCGACCUCUAGUGAUCGAAAACCCUGGUUCAAAGCCGGCAGCUUAUGCACCCGUAGUGGUGUUGGGUUGGUGGCCAAGAAAAGCUGCAUCAGCAUUCUCAUCACUGCAAUAAAGGCAAGGGUGCUGCUGCCCAAUUCCUAGCUUUAUUAUUUCAUUCCUAGCCUUCACCACAAGCUGUCUAUUGGUUAAUGCACCUAAUUCGCUCUCCUUGAUGACCUUCAGAACUGAAUAGGUAAAGGCCCCAAACGCCUUUCCUCCGGUUUUCUCACUCGCUGGCAUAUCAAUUGAAAGCUCAUUGGCUUGGCACCCACUUAACAGAAUUCCCUCAUCCUCCGUCAGUGACCUCAAAUUCAAAAUAUCACGCUCAUAAUGGGGUAGGAAUUUGAGACUCACAUUGUUCCCAAAGAUUGUGGUCAAAAGAGAGCCAAUACCCGUCAUAUUAUCUGUUCCAGUGUUGAUGGCAUUCCCAAGUGCUCUUGUGGGAAAUAAGUCUUGUGUCGCGAUAAUGACGUUGGCCGCUGUUUGUAGGCACUGGAAUAAGGUUGCUAAGGAAAUGCCCCUAGUCUUGUAAUCAACAGGUGGUGCUAUACCCCUUAGAGUACUAUGGGGUCCAAUUUGUUCUUUACUUUUAUCAAUCAGACCACCACUGUGGCAGGAAUCCGAAACGAUUGUGAAGCUUGAUCCACUUGGUAGUAGCUGAAUCAAUUGCCCCAAGUCCACGUCUGCACACCCAUCGCAACCACAAUAUGAUAUAAAUAACAGUUUGCUUAGAUUGAGAGUAUUUUAAUAAUUUAAUUUACCGAGUUGAUUACGUACCAAAAAUGGGAUUGAGAUCACAAGGCACAAUUGCUUCACCCUCGUUGGGAGGCUGGUGGGGGUCAAUGCGGUGCACAAGUCCAUGUCCACUAAAGUGGAAAAGCAGGACAUCUCCUUCUUUAGCCGCGACCACCAUCUUCUUGAGUGCAGCCAUAAUGUUUGCACGUGUAGGCUUACACGUGGACUCUGGUUCAUCAGUUAGGAGCUCAACAUUUUCGGAAUCAAAGCCAAACCUGCUCACGAUCAUUUCUCUCAUGGCUUUCGCAUCGUUUACGCAUCCGCUCAACUUGUUGAUGGUGUUGGGGUAGUUGCAUCCGACCAGAACGGCUCUCUUCUUACAUUCGGUGGCCAUCUUGCUUCUGUUUUGGGUCGCUUGUCUUGUCUUGUGCUUCGGACGUUGCACUAAACACCUAUAUAUAUGCACACAUACACACUGUAGUUUACACUAUGCUCACUGACCAUACUCUAAUAAAUAAUACAUCAUGUUGGUAGGUACAACUGUUUUAUUUUAUUUUUUGUUUAGAAAAAAAAAGGGCUUUUUUUAUAAAAACAACCCAAAAAUAAUUAAUUACUUAAAUGACUUAUUUUUUUGAUAAAAUACGAAAAUAACCUGAAAUCUAUGGAAAAAGUUGGUGGAGCUAAAGUGUGCCACCAACAUGCCACGUCAGCAAUUUAUAUUAAAAAAUUAAUUUUUUAGUAGAGCCGCCACUUGUAUAAAUACUACGGAAAUAUUAUGAUUUUUUUCUUUUUAAGUUUUUUUUAUUUGUCCCUUAUAUAUUUUAUUUAUUUGUUUAUUAUUGAUUUUAUAAAAUCUCAAAUGUAUAUUUUAAAUGUUUUAUAAUAUUAUUUUUUAAAUAUUUUAAAUAUUUUUCUAAAUUUAAAUAUUAUUUUUUAAUUUUUAAAUAUUAUUUUUUAAUAUUAUAAAAUAUUUAAAAUAUAUUAUUUUUAGAAUUAUGAGCUUUCAAAUUUAUUAUUUGUUUUAUAAUAUUUUAAAUAUAUAUUUAAAAAUUUUUAAAUAUAUAUUUUUUAAAUUAUUUUUAAAGAUAUUCAAACAUUUUUUUUAAUUCUAUUUAAAAUUUAAAAAAUAAUAUGUGUUUUUAGAAUGGCUUCACCACUUUAUUACAAGUGUCAUUUUUUAAAAAUAUGUUUUUUAAAUAUAAAUAUUUAAUAUUUAAUAUUUUAUUUUGGUGGAGCCAUUCUUUAUGGCUCCACCUCUUGGUUCUCUAGCAUAUAUAGAAUGGUGAAAUUGUUGUGUUUAGUAGGAGAGUUCAAAAAUUCUGUUAAAGAUGAAUAAUGAGGUGUUUUGGUUUACGUUCUCUUUUAUGGCGAAAUUGUAGAAGGUGAUGUUGGUUGUAUAUUUCAAUGUCGGCAAAGAGUAGGGUUGCGAUUCAAAAAACUGUAAAGCUGGCAGAAAUGAAAAGGAAGAUUAGUGCAAAAAUAGCUAUUUGUUGUGGAAGGGCAAUGUCCAGAUUAUUUUACAAGUUUCCAAUCUCUACAGAUCUGUUCAAAUUUUGUGAGAUGCAACUGUUAGAUGAUGAUGACUUGGGCACUAUGAUGGAAAUAUGGUGGUCGACUGGAAGUGAGAAUCCCCAACCAGUUGAGUUAUUUACUGAGUUAGCAAACUCAGAGCCUGUUGAAAAUGUUAGUCCAAUAAGUCAACAUCGCGAAUUUGACUUUGGUCGUAAUGCCAGAUGGACAGACUAGUUAGAAUGCGGUGGGACAUUGCAGAUACCCGAAAAUCCAAAUUAUGGUGGGAGUUCGUAUAACAACCCUACCCCCGGUCCCCGUCUACAAAUACAUUCGGAGGUGAUAAUAAGCACAGAGGCAGAUAUCAAAGAAAUGACCAAUAAUGAUGAAGAUUCUGAUCAGGACGUUUACGAUUUUAGCGACCUCGAUGUUGAUAAGGUUCCGGACGAUAUCGUUGAUGAAGGCCCGGAGGAGGUGGAAGACGUUCACUGGCCUUCAUUCAAUAACCCGAGUCGUGGCAUUAUUUUACGAAAUGAACCUGGAGGUGACCUGUUGAAUCUAGAUCCAGAUGCAGUGCAUGCAUCCGAGUUCCCUGAGUACACUGAUAUAGUACAUGCUCAUAGAUUGACGUCAAUUUCGUAGUUGGAGGAGUUGUUCAUUGGGUAAUGGUUCGAGAACAAGGCGGGCUGUGUGUUUGCCAUCAAACAUUAAUUAUAGCAUGAAGUUAUCGAUUGAUUACAAGGUUGCCAAGUCUACACCGACAUUAUAUGUUAAGAAAUGCUGGAGAGCCGACGAUGGGUGUGCUUGACGGGUUCGGGUUGCAUUUAUACAGAAGACUCAAUAGUGGCAAAUACGAAAAUUAGAAUGGUGUCAUACAUGCACUGUCGUGCGUAUUCUCAAGAUCCCCAAAAAUUGGAUGCCAAAAUUAUUUGCAACUGCAUCAUGUCACUAAUGAAAGAUAGUCCAAUCAUUCUUGUGUCGACAUAUCAAAUGGAUCGGCACAUCAGGAGGAUCAGCAGCUGGAUCAAACAUGGAAUGAGGCGGAGUGUAUAAAUGUUAUUACCAAACAUAUCAAAUGAUAUCAGUGGUUGCUCUGGGUAAUAUGAACUCGAACCGCCCAUGUCCAGGUGAUAUGAACUGCUCUGUGACUCUUCACAAAAAGCAUCAACCUAUUGGUACGAUAUGUUUAAAGGUUGGUCCUCCGAGUCGGGCUCCGCCAUAUGUUGAUCCUCUAGCUCCCCCAUAGGUUGACUUACAUAUCUAUAGCUGUGUCCGGUACUAUUAUAUGUUGCCCACCAUAUAACUAAAUACGCCAUCGAGUCAUGUACCACUACAUGUAUUCAGUCAAAGGACUGAAGUCAAACAUGCAAAAGUGCAUCUCAGGCCGCUUGUUGUAUCGGGCAUUCCAUAGUACUACAUGUAUCUAUUCUGCUUAUCUGAUUAUGAUAAUUGCAUCUAAUAUGGACUUAGGUCUGAAUCUAUAUUUGACUGUAUAUGAGAUUUUGUGUAUGUACUGCAUGUCUAUUUAUGUUGGGUUAAACACUAAGUUUGCGAAAAUUCAGUUCUGCUUGUCUGUUAUGUUCAGGUAAUCCACAGUCUUAGGCAAAUCGGUGCGGCAGAGUUUCACGGUAACCACAAGUUUGUGAACUAAUUUUAAUUGGUGGUUUUUGUUUAGUUAUGGAUUAUUUCUGGGAGUUUUGUAAUUAAGGGACUCUCCGGACUGUUUGGUUUUAUUUUAGAUUUGGAUUUUCGAAUUAACUCUUCAUUUGCGACGGUUGGCUAAAACCGUGGUUUUUACUAAACAAAGGUUUUUUUGAAAAUGCAAACGGGAUUUUCAAAUAUAACGAUUUCUAAUAUUUCUGCUCAAAAUUAUGUUUUGGAAUAUGAAUUAAUUAAAUAAUGUUUUCAGUAUUAUUUAUAAAACUUGGUUGAUUUAUCGAAAUGGUUCUGAUUUCAAAACCCUUCAUCGCAGCAUUACCAAAUUUGGCGAUAAUGUCUAUGCUGGGUUUGAGGUGUUACACAAAUUGUCACAUAACUCGAUCGGUAUUAUACCACACAAUGGUUGAGAAGUUGAGCACUGGCAUGUUAAUACACCACACAUGGGCUUCUACGUGAACCCACUAAGGAAUAAGGGUUGCAAUGUUCGGUGCUGAAUACAACAUCCACAAGAACUGCACAAUAUAACAUAAUGAGUCAAGUCACAUCACAUACUGCAAGUGGAUAAGUUAAAUCAACGUUACUUAAACCAUGUUAAUAUGUAUUACUUUCUUUCCGACGGAUGCCUCUAUCAUUUGUUGGUAAAUGAUUAAUGUUUAGGUCGCACCAAUUCGCGGAGACGUGGCCCAUCUAAAACCGAAACAAACAUGUUAGCAAUUAAAUGUUAAGUAUAAUUUUGUUUUUACCUAUUUACAAGUGGCGACGAAUAUGGUUGGUGCCUAACAACCACUAGAAAUGGCAUCCUGUAUAGAGCCCAAGAUUGCAGCAGAUUUAGUCAACCAGCCAUGUUACUAACCCCAUGUUUUGUUGCUCGGCAAAGCUCAUGGUACAAUUUGGCCAACACUGCCGAUCCCCAGCUGUAAUUAUCGACACGAGAGAAGUCCUCACAUAGAGGCAAGUACUUUAAGUGGACCCUAUUAGACGUGUUGUUCGACAUAAGUACCCCCGAUUAGCUGCAUAAUAUAUGCUCAAGUGGCACACAUCACCUCGUGCUCAGUGGCAAUGCUUGAUAACUACUUAAAAUUUAGUUUCAACCAUGCCAAUGUCAAGCAUGUGAAAUUAUGUUCCCCACCACUAGGGGACCGUCCAAGCAAUCUGUGGCAUAGUAUUGAAGGUUCCAACACUUUUCUUUGGCCCGUGACCACAACAAUAUCAACUUAUAACCCAAGUUACAUAGCAACAUCUUCCAAUGUGAUAGUACACUCCCCGCACGGCAUAAUGAAGGUGUGGGUCUUCAUACACCACUGCUCAACCAAGACGGAUAUUAAGUUCACCCUCAGGCCAAACCUUCAGAUCAAUGCAACGUCCCCAAAUCCCGCCAAUUGUAAGUAUGGCAUGACUCGCUCGUCCGGAUUGUGCUUGGGAAAAUGAAACCGCAACCUCAGAACCCGAUACCCAUCCUGUAUGGUAAAUUUUUUAUAAAAAUAUGAUAACUCAAUUAUCUAAAGAGUUUUUCAUUUUAGAUUUUAGAGAGGCUUAAAUAAUAGUUUUUCAUUUUAGGAGGUCUAAAAAGUACUUUUCUUUUUAAAGGAGCCACGACCCCUGCCUAGUUUGGUCACCUUCUGUGGUGACGAGAUUCAUUCCAAUGAGAUUAAAAACAGCAGUGAUGAUGAGAUUAAUUACUAUAAUAAUGAGAUUAUUAAAAUCAGUGGUGAGAUGUGUUUUAGAAUUCGAACACAACAAUGGCAGUGAGAUAGAUUAUAGAUUUAUAGUAAAAAGGAAAAAUGACCAUUAUAGACACUAAACUAAAAUUAAACUAAGGAAGUUUACACCAUUCCGUAUAUUUUUGUACGAUUAAUAUUUUAGCGAUAAAAACACCAUAUUUCAUAUUUCAUGUUUUAUGUAAAAUACUUUUAAUCUUUGAAUGAAUGUUAAUACAUGCAAUAUUUUAGAUCGAUAGAUAAAAAUAUAGAAUCAAUUGAGAAUUUACAAUAAUAUCAACAAAUUCAAUGAUUGGAUUGUUAAGUUAAGAAUCAUGCAAAAAUAUAUGAAAUCGUGUAAAAUUACUUUAGUUUCGCACUAGUAUAAGCGAAUUCUUUUUUUUUUAAUAUAAAAAAUUAAUUAUAUAAUUUAAAUUUAUGUAUUUAACAUUAUUUAUAAAUAUAUUUCAUUAUUUAUAAAUAUAUUAUUUGAAAGUAAUGAAAUAAAAUAAAUAUUAUAAAUAAAAUUAUUGAAAUAUAGUAUCUAUUAUUGAAUUAAAUUAACCAUUCUUUAAAAAAAGAGUGAAAAUUAUUUUUUUAAAAUGCAUAGGGUUUUAUUUUUAAAAAAAUUUAAGAUUUAGGUGUAAAAGAUAAUCAAUCAUAAAGUGCAUAGGGCUUUAUUUUUUAUUUUUUAAAUAAUAUUGUUUUUGGCUCACAUGCAGUUUAUUGAGUUAGGUUAAGUAUACCUAACUCAAAAUUUAUAAAAAUGAUAAAAGGCAUGUGAUUUAGUAAUACAAAUAUUUUAUUCUUAAUUUUAAUUCAAUUUUUUUAUUUAAAACAGUAAAGGAUGUAGAUACCUUUAUAAAUUUGCACCUUUUAUUUUAUAGUUCAGUCAUUUCUUAAUUUCAUUUAGAGAUUUAUUGUAUACAGUGACGGAGCAUAGUGGAGAUCCAGGUAGCAUGGCAUCCCUUAAAAUGGUAAAUUUUUUAUUCAAGCCCUUUAUAAUUUAUAAAAUAUUAAAUUAGUAAUGGUAAAAUUGUAUUUUAACCCCCCUAAAGAUGAUAAAGUUUUGAUUUAACCCUUUAAAAAUUACAAAUUACAAUUUAAUUCCAACCCAAAAAAAUUUAGGCUCCGCCACUUAAAUAAUUAUAUCAAAUUCGAUAAAAAUUUUAAACUUCACAGGUAGAAUUGAAAAAAUAUGUGCUUUAUUUAAUAAUAAUACUUUUGAAUGGGUUGAAUUUGGUUGAAUUGGCAAGAGAUAAGGUGUGGAUAAAAUAAUAAAUUUAGUAGAUUAUAUGCAGAACUUGGUCAUAUCAGACUCAGUGCCAUGAACUUCACUAGCAAGCUUGCUAACACAGCUGCAGCAUAAGCUAUUAACUGCUUAAUCACUAUUUUUAUUACAACACUCAAAGAUGAAGAAGAAGAUUCUAUAUUUAAUUUCUUAAUGUUAACCUUGCAUUUGCAUUUCCUUGAUGGCGCUUCUAUACCAACUUUCAAGGAGAAUAAAACAAAAUAAUAAUAACUUUUUAGUUAAUUUGAUGGCAUAAUUGGUAAGGUUUUUUUUUAUUUUUUUAUUUGGGGUCGAUUUUGCAACGAUAUAGACAGGUAGGUAGGCACAUUUUAUUCUGUUGAAUAACUAGUUAUAUGGUAUAAGAGUGGUACCUAAUUGAUUAUUAAUGUCUUAAGGUCGAAUAUCGAAAAAAAAAACAAUUCCCCUUUAGAAAAAUAUUUAUUGGAAUUUAUUAUUUUGAAAACUAAAAAAUUUAAUCAUCUUGCUUCAAUGAAGAAAUCGAAACCCUGUAAGUUAGGGUAUGAUUCUUUGAAGUUCCGAUAACAACAUGAAUUUGCCUUUAUUAGAAAACUUCAUCUCGAGAUAAUAAAAUGUCAUAUCCAAUUAUUUAGGACCCAACGUUUUGAAUCCUCGAGAUAAGCUUUAAUUUUGGAAUUUUUACGUUCUUCGGAAAGAAGGAUACAGGGUUACCUAAAUUCAUCGAGGAAAAUUGAAACCCAGUAAGUUAGGGCACAAUCUUCUCGAGAAUCUUGGAUACCGAGUAUUGUGUUAUUUUGAAAACCUUUGAAUAAAACAAUUUAAUUACUUUAAUUAAGCAUAAUCCUUUAAGAAAAAAAACGAUGGAAUGAUAAUGUAUAACGGGAAAGGAUAGUUUGUAAACUAAAGUGCACACUAAUGAGCGACAAAUAAAUACAAAUAAGCAAUACAAUACACAUGAGAGCAAUCAUCUUUAUACAAAUACUAACUUUAAAAGCUAAUGAAUCAAAAGUCUAUUUUGAAAGAAAUACGAAGCAAAUUAACACAAAUAAAAUGUAACAAAUUUUAAAACAACUAAAAAAACAAAUGACAUGAAAGAAGGGGAAUUAUGUAAAUUUAAAAUAAUAUAUACAUAUAUCAAAGUUUGAAAUAAAUCAAAAACAUAGUUCGAAAUAAAUACUACAUAAAAUAAUAGUAUCCAAAUAAAUUUUAAAAUAAAUAUUAUAUAAGAAGAAAAUCAAAACACACAAAAUAAUAUACAUAUAUUAAUUUAAAAAAGUAAUACAUAUGGAAUGAAAAACUUCAUAAUAAUAUAUAAUAAAUUUAAAAAUAAUAAUAAUGCAUGAAAAGCUUAGAAAAAUAAUACAUAUAAAAUUAAAAUAAUAAUAUACAAUAAAUUUAAACAAUGUUAAUAAUAAAUUUAAAAUAAUAUUAAUUUUAAAAUUAAAUACAUUAAAAAUAAGGGAAUAAUAGAUGCUUAAAUAAAAUUUUAAAAAAAAAUCAAGCACAGUAAAUUAGUAGGGAUUAAAUUGAACUCAAAAUAGAAUUAAAAGGGAAAAAAGUAAAACAAAAUGAAGGGCCAGAGCAUAACGCGCGAAUAACAUGAGGGCCAAACAGGAAAUAUUGCCUUCUCUCAAAACGCUGCAUUUUGAUGUGGACCAAAAUGAUACAAAAAGAAAAUGUCAAGCAAAAUUUAAAAGCCAUUAAAGAAUUGAUUUGAAUACGUUAUAAACGUGGGGGACCAUUUGCACAAAUUCCCCAUGCGCUACAAAAUGCGCGGAUCUUUCCCCGGGUCGGGUCACUACGCGGGUAUACAUGGCGGUAUGGCGUCGUUUUGGAGUCAUUAAAACAGACCCCAAAUGGCGCCGUUUCUUUUAUCAUAUACAAACCAAUUUUAACCCUAAAAUUAGCAGCCAUUUAUGAUUUAAAAAUCAAUCCCUAAAAAAAACUUGUCUCACCCUCUCCGAGCGCCGUUCAACAAUUAGGCCGUUCAAAGGUCCUCCGCCCUUCGCCCGCCUCCGAUUGCGAUGUAGCGAACCAAGGUUCGACUACCAGGUAACCGACUCUUAACUGUUUCUUUUUUCUUCAUUCACGAUAAAUAAAUAAAAAGAUUCAAGAACAGAAAAAAAUUAUUGAGAGAGGAAAAAAAAUGAAAAUCACCUCUGGAUUUCUGUCUUUUAGCAAUUUUUAUUUCUUUUCGUAUCCCCCAUUUACAAAUUUUCAAUGGCUUUUUAUAGCCGAAAUGAAACAAGAAAAUAAAAUAAAAAGAAAUCUAUUCUGUCAUCUGAUGGUCUUGAUUUGCGAUUUUUUAUUUUCUUACUAUUUUUUCCUACCUCUGCUGUUUGUUCCCAUUUUUGUUGUGCAGGUACAACCUCGGAGGGGCGCACGUGCGCGGAGGAGCAACAUGCGCGGGGGGCCUAGGUUCGGCUGCAGCGCAAAGGCAGAAAGCUACUAUUGCUGCUAAGGUUUCUGUUUCGUGGUCUAGGGCUAGGCAUUGGGCCUCUGUAAUUGGGCCACUAUUUAUUUGGUUAAGGAUUUAGAUUGGGUCUUAGUGUAUUUUGUAAUCGAGUUUGGGUUUGGGUUGGCAAUUGGACUGUAUUUGGACUUUGAAUUUUUAUUUGGUAUUUGGUUUUAUUUAUUUACAUACGGGCCAGGCAAAUUGGGCCAAUUAUAGCUGCCCCUCUUUGCUCGUUCUCGUGUAACAGGAACGGAGCAAAGAAUUUAGCAAUGGCCAAUUUUUAUUUCUUUUCGUAUCCCCCAUUUACAAAUUUUCAAUGGCUUUUUAUAGCAAAAAUGAAACAAGAAAAUAACAUAAAAAGAAAUCUAUUAUGUUAUCUGACGGCCUUGAUUUGUGAUUUUUGAUUUUCUUACUAUUUUUUCCUACAUGUGCUGUUUGUUGCCAUUUUUGUUGUGCAAGUACAAGCUCGGAGGGGCGCACGCGUGGGGGGCCUGGGUUCGGCUGUAGCGCAAAGGCAAAAAGCAUCUAUUGCUACUAAGGUUUUUGUCUCGUGGUCUAGGGCUAGGCAUUGGGCCUCUGUAAUUGAGCCACUGUUUAUUGGGUUAGGGAUUUAGAUUGGGUCUUAGUGUAUUUUGAAAUCGGGUUUGGGUUUGGGCUAGCAAUUGGACUGUAUUUGGACUUUGAAUUUUUAUUUGGUAUUUGGUUUUAUUUAUUUACAUGCGGGCUGGGUAAAUUAGUCCAAUUAGAACGUGUUAAGAACUUUCUUAAUGAACAAAGUAAUGCUAUAUUGAUCAAGAAAAUAGGUGAUUUCCCUUCCUCUACCAUUUCACAAUAAUAGAGUACAUGAGUUAGCUAUUAUUUAUAAUUGCUGCUAACAAAUUAAUAGAUUGAUGAGAAUAAAAAAACUAAAUGUUGCCUAUCAAUACUAACAGCUAUUAUUUUAUAUUUUAACAUUAACUUAUCUUUCCGACGGGUAACACCUGAAGAAGACUUUGAAACCGAGCGAAAGAUGAAACAGAUAAAGGCUUAGUAAGAAUGUCAGAAAUUUGAUCGCACGCAAGUAUUUCACCCACAACUAAAGACCUAGCAGCAAAUCUUUCACAAAUAAAGAACAAAUCAAGCUCCACGUGUUUAAACUUAGAAUGUAAAACCGGAUUCACAGCAACUGCAACUGCACUUGAGUUGUCAUACCAUAUAGUAAGGAAAUCAUUAGACUGAAGUUCUAAUUCUUUUAAUAAUGAAGUCAGCAAAAGGACAUCACUCGUUACUGCAGUAAGACUCUGAUAUUUAGCUUCGACUGUGGAAUGAGACACAACUUGUUGUUUCUUUGAACACUAUGACACUAAGUUGUGACCAAAAUAUACACAAUAGCCAGUUGUGGAUCAACUAUCAUCAAGAUCCAGCCCCCAAUUUGCAUCGGCAUAACCAACUAAAGAGAGUUGAGUAGACGAACGAAACACAAUCCCAUAGUCUAGAGUACCACACAAAUACCGCAAUAUGCAUUUUAAAGCAACCAGAUGUAUAGUAGUGGGUGUAUCCAUAAAUUGGCAGAUGCGAUUUACUGCGUAGGCAAUAUCAGGUCGAGUUAGAACCACAUACUAUAGCGCCCCUGCAACACUUCUGUAUUCAGUGGGAUCAAAAAGUCAUUCCCCGCCAUCCUUAGACAAAGAUGAUGAGCUAAUCAUAGGAGUAUGAACACUCUUUGCAUGAGUCAUACAACACCUGUUAAGCAAAUCACGAACGUACUUUUGCUGGCAUUGAUGGAUACAUCCAUCAGAGGAACGAGUCACCUCAACUCCAAAAAAGUAAUAAAGAUCACCCAUAUCUUUAAGAGAAAACUCCUUAUGCAAUUUCUGAACAAAACUUUCAAUACAUGUAGGUACACUUCCAGUAACAAUAAUAUCAUCCAUACACAAGAACAUAUAGAGUGACAGAAGGUAUGACUUGAAUAAAUAAGGACGAACUCGACUUGGAUAUAUGAAAUCCAAUUGAAAGUAGGAAACACUUUAACUUUUUAAACCAAACACGUGGAGCCUGUCACAGUCCAUACAAUGCCUUCUUAAGACGACACACCAAAGGUUCACCAUUAGGACUAAACUGAACAUACCCUGGAGGUUACUGCAUAAACACUUAAUCAGUAAGAUUGCCAUUUAAAAAAAACAUUAUUAACGUCUUGAGACAGAGACUGAUAGUAUAACUCGAAUAGUAGCAUGCUUGACCCCCGGACUAAACGUUUCCUUAAAAUCACAUCCAAGUACCUGAGAACAUCCUUUAGCCACUAACCGAGCUAUCCGACUUGCAAUCGUUCCAUCCAAAUUUUUUUUACUUUGAAGAGCCAUUUACACCUGAUUACCUUUCGACCGCUUGGUGACAGAAUAAGUUUCUAGGUGGAAUUAUGUGUAUUUUGGAAAUACGCCCAUCUCGUGUUGUUCAAAAAGGCAACAAGUUAUUUCUCGAUCAACAGCAGAAGUAGAAUAUUGAACUCUUACUGCCGCCACCAGUGAUAUAAUAUGGUUAGUCUCUCUGCUAACGGAGUUACAACUUCAUUCUGCUGACUCUCCUACUAUUUGGUGUGACAAUUCUAGUGCAGUAGCGAUUGCUGGCAAUCUGGUUUUACACUUCAAGUUUAAACAUGUUGAACUUGACCUUUUCUUUGUCCGUGAAAAGGUUGCUAACAGUUCACUCGUUGUUGGUGAGGUACCAGCCUGUACCAAGUUGCUAACAUUUUAAGGAAACCAUUGUCUGUCUCUUUGUUUACUCAGUUUUGUAAUUUCCUUCGGAUCUUACCUAUUGAGAAGCUGGGUAAAUGUUAGAGUAUGUGAAUGUAUUAGGCUAUUAGUCUGUUAUCAAGACUGGUAUAUUGUUAGUAGGUUAGUUAGUAGUAGUUAGAUCAAGUCUCAUGCAUAUAAGUAUUAUCUCUAUACUGAUAGAAAAAGGUUAACAAUACAAACAAUUUAAUUAGUCUUUUCUUUCAAUAUUUUUCAGUAUUAUAGAGUUAGUAACAUGUUCAUAUUAUUUGUUCCAGUGUUGAUGGUAUUGGCAACUACUGUUUUGUCCAAAAAGCUUGACGUCAUGCUCAUGACGUUGGCUACUGUUUGUAGGCUCCGAUAUAAGGUUUCAAUGGAAAUUCCCCUAGUCCUGUAAUCAAUAGAUGGUGGUAUAGCCCUUAGAGUACUAUGGGGUCCAAUUUGUUCUUUAGUUUUAUCAAUCAGACCACCACUGUGGCAGGAAUCAGAAAUAAUUAUGAAGCUUAAUCCACUUGGUAGUCGUUGAAUCAAGUGCCCCAAGUCGACGUCUGCACAACCAUCGCAACCACCAUAUGACAUGAAUAAUAGUUCGCUUAGAUUGAGGGUGUUUCAAUAAUGUGAUAUAUUUGGCCUCUAAUAAGAAAUCAACAUAUAGAGUGGGUGAUUAAUCCGAAUUGGGAGGAGGACAGGUGUUGUGAUGGACAAAGCGUAAGACAAGGUGGUUUCCGACUGAAGCAAGAAAGCUCUAGCAAAAGGCAGCUAGGUAUUCCUUUUUCACACAAAGACGAAGAUAAAUGAUUAUAACAGCAUGAUAUGAUCUGCUUCGCCUUCGUCCACUACCUCAUCUUUAUGUUUUUGUUUUGGUCGUUACUCACGUCGGCUUUUGUCUGCAAGUGCUGCAUGUCGGUCCUACUAUCGUGAUUGUGUUGCCUAGCUUCUGAUUUCUAUGUAUUAAUAGGGUCUAUUUGAAUGUGCGGUUUGCAGAGGUAAAAUUAGAAAUUUGUUUUUAAGUGUUAAACUUUGUAUCUAUAUAGAUUUAAGAAGUGUUAAAUCAAAAUUUUAUAUUUUUUUACGAUAAAUUGUAUUUAUACAAUGUUUAACUUAUAAAUUUAUUGAUAUUACAGAGGUUUAAAUAAUAGUUUUCCAUUUUAGGGGUAUAAAGAGUAAUUUUCAUUUUAAGGGCGCUACGAUUAGACUUGAUUAUGAGUUGGGUCACCCGUCCAAGUCUAAUGGUUCUCUUGACAAGUGAGAGAGAUUGGGCUAAAAUAUAGCCCAAAAAAACAGACUUGGACAAAAAAUAAUAUCCAUAUUCCAAAGGGGCCGAGCCUCGGGUAAGAUUUUUUUGCUUGGGCCCAACCCGACCCAAAUUUGCUUAAAAAAUUUUCCUUGCUACUGUUAACUAUUGUUUGCUAUUAUAUUGUUACUAUAUUGUUGCUAUUAUUUGUAUAUUGUAUAAUUAUUGUUUUAUUGUUAAUUUUGCUACUAUUUUCAAUUAGUUGGGAAACAUUUAUUUCAACAUUUUUAGUGUAUUUGAUGUAUUAUAUUUUUUAAAAUAAAAAAGUAUAAAAUAUUUUAAUAUAGGCGGGCCGGGCAAGGCUCAGGUUUGGCAUUGUUUAUCUGGGUCAGGCUUGAUAAAAAAUUUAGGCCCAUUUUUUGGUCGGGUAGGGCUUGAGCCUAGAAAACGAGCCUAGAAUCCCAACCCGAUUGAGCCCAUGAUCAAGUCUAGCCACGACCCCUAUCCGCUAUGGUCACCGCCUUUGGAGACAAGAUUAAUUCUUGUGAGAUUGAGAAUAGGGAUGGCGAUGAGAUUAAUUACUAUAGCAGUGAGAUUAGUUACUACAGUGAUGAUGUUAAAAUUAGUGGUGAGAUGCGGAUUCAAACACAAGAAUGGCGGGAAGAUAGAUAAUAGAUUUAUAGUAAGAAAGGAAAAUGACCAUUAUAGACAUUAAAAUAAAUUAGUUUUCACCUUUCCGUAUAUUUUUCUAUGAUUAUUAUUUUAAUGAUAAAAAUGACAUAUUUAAUAUUUCAUUUAAACACAUCGUGCAUAUUUUUAACAUAAAUUAAAAAUUUCUAACUAUUUGUUUUAUUUAAGAAUAUUUUUAAUCGUUUAAUAAAUGUUAAUAUAUAUAAUAUUUUAGAUAGCUAUGACAGAAAUAUCGAAUCAAUUUAAAAUUUUACAUACAUGAAAAGUACAACAAUAUUGAUAAAUUCAAUGGUGGGUGUCACAUCACAAAAUCAGGGUUAAAAAAAUUAGAUUAGCGAAACCAAGUGUGGUCGUGUUCAGUUUUGAUUUGAAGUUGUGAAAAUUAAAAACCAAGAGUACGUUAACCACCGCAUCCCCAAAUAGUCAUAUGAUGUCUCAUAGGCUUCACACCCUCUUAAUAAAAUCCCAUCAUCCUCCUUCAGUGGAUCCAACACCAUUAACCCAUCUACGUAGCGAGUAUUGGGAAUUAUCCAUAUUUAUGGAAAAUCAAAGAUAUGGGUAUCAAAUAAUAGAAAGUCAAAGAUAUGGGUAUCAAAUAUUGGAAAGUCAAAGAUAUGGGUAUCAAAUAUUGGAAAGUCAAAGAUAUGGGUAUCGAGAUAUUGGCAUAAUAAAAUCUGAGAUAUUUGCAAUAUAUGGUCCCUAAUUGUAAAGUGACUUUGCAAGUUGAUCCCUGAACCUCAACUAUAAAUAGGUGCCAUCUCUCAUUCUGUAUCUCAAACUUGCCAUUCUCUACUUAAGGCAUUGUUUUUUCUCUCUCUCUCUUUGUAAAUUCUCACUUGUAUUUUGGAGUGAAAUAUAUUUGGUAGUGCCCGAGGACGUAGGCAAAAUUUGCUGAACCUCGUUAAAUUCUUGUGUUCUUUAUUGUAUUAUUCUGCAUGAAUUGUGUGUGUGAUUGUAGUAAUUUAUUGUGCUAUUAAAUUACGACUGAAGGAUAUUCUGGCUAGGAAAGACCUGGUACUUAAGCGAUCCUUGUGAUCCACCUCUCUUUCCUGGGAAUUGAACUUAGUGUGAUUUUUUAGUACAAUAAUUUUACUCUUUUACACGCUUCCGCACAACAAUUGGUAUCAGAGCUAGAUUCGUACUUGGGGAAUACGAUCGUUCACGGUACUGUUCACGUACUGUAGUUGGGAUUGAGGAGAAAAAAAUGGAAAAGUCAUCGUCAAAGACUACUGUGACCAAUGCGAAAUUUGAAGUAGAGAAAUUUGAUGGUACCAAUAAUUUUGGUAUGUGGCAAUGUGAGAUCCUGGAUGUCUUAUGUCAGCAAGAGUUGGAUAUAGCCCUUGAAGAAAAACCUGACAAGAUGGAUGACAAGGAGUGGGCCAAGAUCAAUAGACAGGCAUGUGGAACAAUUCGCCUAUGUUUGGCCAAAGAGCAGGAGUACUCUGUCAUGAGGGAGUCAUCAGCGAAGAAGUUGUGGGAUACACGGGAAGAAAAGUUUCUAACAAAAAGUCUUGAAAAUAGGCUUUAUAUGAAAAAGAAACUUUAUCGAUUCACGUAUGCACCCGGUAUGUCGAUGAAUGACCAUGUGAACUCAUUCAAUAAAAUUUUAGCAGACUUGCUAAAUUUGGAUGAGAAAUUUGAAGAUGAAGACAAGGCAUUACUGUUGUUGAAUUCUCUUCCUGAUGAAUAUGAUCAUCUUACCACCACAUUGCUUCAUGGGAAGGAUACAAUCACAUUUGAUGCAGUCUGUAGUGCGUUGUAUAGAUCUGAGACUCGAAAGAAAGAUAAAAAAGAUCACAGAGACUACAGAAGUCUUAACAGUAAGAAGUCGUUCGCACAGCAACAAAUCUGGUAGAAGGAGUAAGUCCAAAAAGAGACCUGCCAAAGAUGAAUGUGCUUUUUGUCGUGAGAAAGGGCAUUGGAAAAAGAAUUGUCCUAAGUUACAAAAGGGUAAAGCUAUUUCUGAUGCAUGUGUAGCGGAGCAUGAUGAGGAGUCAGACUUUAGCUUGGUUGGCAUGGCAAUGGCAUGUCAUACAGAUGAGUGGAUUUUUGAUUCGGGAUGUACUUACCAUAUGUGUCCUAAUAAGGACUGGUUUUCUAGUCUUAAAGAACUAGAAGGUGGAGUUGUUUUUAUGGGCAAUGAUAGCGCUUGUAAGACAAUGGGAGUAGGUACAAUCCAAUUGAAGAAUCACGACGGCUCAAUUCAAGUCUUGACAGAUGUUCGCUACAUACCUAUCUUGAAGAAAAAUCUUAUCUCAUUAGGGGUCCUAGAAUCUAAAGGGCUCACAAUCACUUUGAGAGAUGGAUUACUAAAGGUAGUAGCUGGGGUAUUGACGGUGAUGAAAGGCACAAGAAGGAAUAAUCUGUACUAUUUAAAUGGAAGUACAGUUAUUGGAUCAACAUCAACAGCUUUUACGAAAGAUGCAGAUUCAGAGGCUACCAGGUUAUGGCAUAUGCGAUUGGGACAUGCUGGUGAAAAAGCUUUGCAGAGUUUGGCGAAGCUAGGCUUGUUGAAAGGUGCAAAUUCUUGCAAAUUGGAAUUCUGUGAACAUUGUGUUCUGGGCAAGCAGACAAGGAUAAAAUUUGGUUCAGCAAUUCACAAUACAAAAGAAAUUCUGGACUACGUUCAGAGUGACGUGUGGGGACCUACUAAAGUGGCUUCUUUGGGAGGUAUGCACUAUUUUGUUACUUUUGUUGAUGAUUAUUCAAGAAAAGUAUGGGUGUAUCUAAUGAAAAGGAAAAAUAAAGUUUUGGAUGUAUUUCUUAAAUGAAAGAAGAUGGUGGAGACCCAGGCUGGUCGAAAAGUCAAACGACUUCGAUCAGACAAUGGUACUGAGUACAAGAAUGAUCCAUUUCUACAAGUAUGUCACGAUGAAGGUAUUGUACGACACUUCACUGUUCGAGAUACACCACAACAGAAUAGGGUGGCAGAACGUAUGAAUCGGACUAUACUGGAGAAAGUUCGAUGUAUGUUGUCCAAUGCUGGAUUGGGCAAAGAAUUUUGGGCUGAGGCAGUUACAUAUGCGUGCCAUCUAAUUAAUCGGUUGCCAUCAACUGCAAUAAAUGAAAAAACUCCUAUGGAGAGGUGGGCUGGUAAACCUGCUACUGAUUAUGAUUCUUUACAUAUUUUUGGUUCCACUGCAUAUUAUCAUGUAAAAGAAUCUAAGUUAGACCCAAGAGCAAAGAAAGCAUUAUUCAUGGGUAUAACUGGUGGAGUAAAAGGAUACCGUUUCUGGUGUCCUGAUACAAGGAAAAUAAUUUUCAGUAGAGAUGUGACUUUUGAUGAAUCAACCAUGAUGAAGAACAAUGAUUCACAAAAGGAUAACACAACCAGUGGCACUUUGCAGCAGGUGGAGCUUGAAAAGGUUAAUGAUGAUCCAGCUAAUAUUGAAGGAACAAAUGAUGAAGAAGUUUCGACCCAAGAACUUCUACAGCAACAUGAUUCAAUUGCAUAUAGAAGGCCAAGAAGAGAGAUUCGUAUGCCUGCUCGCUUUGAUGAUAUGGUGGCCUAUGCACUUCCAAUUGCAGAUGAUGAUGUUCCUUCUACUUACACAGAAGCAAGAAGUAACUCUGAUAGUGUAAAGUGGAAGCAAGCUAUGAAUGAAGAAAUGCAGUCUCUUCAUAAAAAUAGGACUUGGGAGUUGGUGACACUACCUAAAGGAAAGAAGGCAAUUGGAUGCAAAUGGGUAUAUGCAAAGAAGGAAGGAUUUCCUGAUAAAAAUGAAGUUCGAUACAAGGCUAGAUUGGUAGCAAAGGGUUACGCUCAGAAAGAAGGAAUAGACUACAAUGAAGUAUUUUCUCCAGUUGUGAAGCAUUCGUCUAUUCGGAUUUUGCUAGCCUUGGUUGCGCAAUAUGAUCUUAAACUAGUUCAGCUCGAUGUGAAGACCGCAUUUUUACAGGGUGAUUUGGAAGAGGAAAUCUAUAUGACUCAGCCAGAUGGAUUCAAGGUUGCUGAUAAAGAAAAUUGGGUUUGCAAACUGACAAAGUCGCUUUAUGGAUUGAAACAAUCUCCAAGGCAGUGGUACAAGCGAUUUGAUCAGUUCAUGAAAGGGCAAAGGUAUACAAGAAGUAAAUUUGAUCAUUGCGUGUAUUUUCAGAAGCUACAAGAAGGAUUUUUCGUAUACUUGCUAUUAUAUGUUGAUGAUAUGUUGAUAGCAUCUAAGAGUAAAGUUGAAAUUGAGAGAUUGAAGACUCAACUCAACCUUGAGUUUGAGAUGAAAGAUCUAGGUGAAGCUAAGAAGAUCCUUGGCAUGGAAAUAUGUAGGGAUAGAGCUCAUGGCAGAGUUAGUUUAUCUCAGAAGCAAUAUUUAAAGAAGAUACUACAGAAGUUUGGCAUGAACGAGUAGACUAAAGCUGUAAGUACCCCGUUGGCUUCUCAUUUCAAGCUUUCUGCACAACUAUCUCCUUCGACAAAUACGGAACAAGAAUACAUGUUACAAGUUCCGUAUUCUAAUGCAGUAGGUAGCUUGAUGUAUGCAAUGGUGUGUACAAGACCCGACAUUUCACAGGCAGUUAGUAUAGUGAGCAGGUAUAUGCAUAAUCCUGGAAAAGGACAUUGGCAAGCUGUGAAAUGGAUUCUACGGUAUAUUCAUAAGACCAUGGAUAUUGGAUUCCUGUUCAAGCAGGAUACUACACUUGGUAAAGGUGUUGUUGGGUACGUUGAUUCUGAUUAUGCCGGUGAUUUGGACAAACGAAGAUCAACCACUGGUUAUGUGUUUACUCUUGCUGGAGGACCAAUAAGUUGGAAGUCUACACUGCAGUCUACAGUUGCGUUGUCAACCACAGAAGCUGAAUACAUGGCUGUAACAGAGGCUGUAAAGGAAGCUAUUUGGUUACAAGGUAUGGUUAAAACCUUGGGAUUGAUCCAAGAGCAUAUUAAUGUGUAUUGUGAUAGUCAAAGUGCUAUUCAUUUAGCAAAGAAUCAAGUCUAUCAUGCACGUACAAAGCAUAUCGACGUACGUUUCCGCUUUGUGCGGGAAAUUAUUGAUGAGGGGAAAAUUCACCUUCAGAAGAUUAAGACUGCAGAUAAUCCCGCAGAUAUGAUGACCAAGGUGGUAACAACAAUCAAGUUCGAACAUUGUUUGAACUUGAUCAAUAUUCUGCAUGUUUAACAGUUGAAGAAGGCACUAUCAAGUGUUGUUGACAAAGGCAGAGAGAAUUGUGUGAAGAUAAGAUUACUCGAAUUAAAUCUUCAAGGUGGAGAUUAUUGAGAAUUAUCCAUAUUUAUGGAAAAUCAAAGAUAUGGGUAUCAAAUAAUAGAAAGUCAAAGAUAUGGGUAUCAAAUAUUGAAAAGUCAAAGAUAUGGGUAUCAAAUAUUGGAAAGUCAAAGAUAUGGGUAUCGAGAUAUUGGCAUAAUAAAAUCUGAGAUAUUUGCAAUAUAUGGUCCCUAAUUGUAAAGUGACUUUGCAAGUUGAUCCCUGAACCUCAACUAUAAAUAGGCAUAACCAUUUCUCAUUCUGUAUCUCAAACUUGCCAUUCUCUACUUAAGGCAUUGUUUUCUCUCUCUCUCUUUGUAAAUUCUCACUUGUAUUUUGGAGUGAAAUAUAUUUGGUAGUGCCCGAGGACGUAGGCAAAAUUUGCUGAACCUCGUUAAAUUCUUGUGUUCUUUAUUGUAUUAUUCUGCAUGAAUUGUGUGUGUGAUUGUAGUGAUUUAUUGUGCUAUUAAAUUACGAUUGAGGGAUAUUCUGACUAGGAAAGACCUGGUACUUAAGCGAUCCUUGUGAUCCACCUCUCUUUCCUGGGAAUUGAACUUAGUGUGAUUUUUUAGUACAAUAAUUUUACUCUUUUACACGCUUCCGCACAACAGUGAGGAUGGAAUUUGAGGCUCACAUCUUUCCCGAAGAUUCCGAAAAUCUUUUGGCCAAUAUUUACUGCGUCGUGUAGGAGGCCUGCUGCUGUAUCUAUCGCACCAUGUAUGAUAUCAAAAGGAAGACUCUUAACCUUGACCUUAGACGGUUUAGGCAUGUUGGGAUUUACUGGUGUCGUCAUAUGCUCAACACCAAAUUGUUCUUUCUCUUUUUCAAUGAGACCACCACUGUGGCACGAAUCUGAUAGGAUUGUGAAGCUUGCUCCUUCUGGUAGCCGGUUAACUAAACGGCUGAAGUCCAUAUCUGCAGAAACCAUGUAUAUAUAGGGUAUGAAUAUAUAUUGCUAAAAUAAAUAUUUAAAUUCAAACAAAAACCUACCCGUGACAAGAUUUAAAUCACAAGCCACGAUUGCUUCAUCUUGUUUGAAAGGCUGGCCAGGUUGAAAGAUUGGAAUGCGUGUUCCAUGUCCACUGAAGUAGAAAAAUAGGACAUCUCCUGCUUUAGCAUUGCACGCCAUUCUAUUAAGUGCAUCCCUAAUGUUUGCGCCGGUAGGCAGAACCGACGACCCUGGCGCACCGGUGAGGACAUUAAUAUCACUUUCCUUGAACCCAAAGUUCAGGAUCCCAUCUCCUAUGGUUUUCACAUCAUUGAUGCGUCCAUGCAAGCCGAAUUGGGUCUCGGGGUAGUUGCAUCCCACCAGAACUGCUCUCUCGUACCCUUACCCAUCUUGCUUUGCUAAUUUGACUAUUUUGUGUUGCUUGUACCCUUGUAUUAAUGUGCUUCCACCGUCUCACUAAGACCCUAUAUAUAUACACACUAAUUUACGGCCUGUGUACUGUCGAUUAAGAUGAUCAUAAAGUGGAUAGGGUUUUACUUGUUUUUUCUUUUUAACAAACUAAUAUUAUUUUUGGCUAACAUCCAAUUUAUUUAAAUACGUUAAGUAUACCUAACAUAAAUUUUUUAAAAAUGAUAAAGGCAGAUUAUGUUUUCAUAGAUGUAAUUUAGUCAUACAAAUAUUAAUAAUUAAUAAUAAUUAAUAAACACGUUCAUUUCAAUUAAUUGUAUACUCUACUAAAUGGUAAGAUGUGGCUUAUUAAAUUAAAAAAUUAAGUCUGACUUCCUCUCAACACUAUUCACACACCCUUGUUAUUUAUAUUUUUGCUCUAUAAAAAAUAAGGAUUUUGUGAUAUUUUUUCCUCUUAAAUGAUUUUAUUUAUAUUUUUAAUUAUAUUAAUUAUAUUUUAUAUUAGUUAUUAUUGAUUUAGAGAAUAAUUGGAGAAAAAAAAGAGCUUAAAGUUUAUUUUUGACACGUUUUGCGGGUUGGACUUUCAAUAUUUACAAUACAGUUUAAGUAUUUUGGUAAUAACUUAAGCUACAGGUUUUAGUUUUGGGCUCAUAAUAUACAGAUUUGAAGAAAAUUGACAUAACUAACUAAAUUUGUUUCGCGGAUGAAGCCCAAAAACAUCAAGAAGACAUCAAAAAAUGUCCUGGAAGUUUGUCCGAAAAAUUGCCAAAAUAUCUUGAAAACUUUUGCUUUAUAUAAUUAAUGGUACUUUUGUACUUUCUCUAUUAUAUUAUUUUUCUCUAUAAAUGGACAUUAUUAGGUUAAGACGAGGGGAGACCUAGACCUAGGCGUUCUUAGUUUUAUUUUGUUUUUUUAGUUUGUGGCUUUUUAAACUCUCCAUCUAGUCGAAGGUUUUAUCAGAUUUUGAUUUAAUAAAUUUGUGAGACUUAAUUUUUGCUUUAAUUUUUCUUUGUUCUUUGGUAUUCAUGCAUUUUUUGUUUUAAUUACAACUUUUCAAGUUUAUUGAAUGUUCAGUCGGUAUUUGAUAGCUUAGAAUGAUUGUUUUGUCAAUUAGAAUUCUUAAAUCCAUAAUUGUAUAAUUCAUUCUAAUACUAGUGACAAACUACAUAAUUCGUUUAUGUCGCAGUUUAUAUUUAUGUGGUGUGAAUGUGUGAUAUAGCUAAAAUGAAUCUCGCUAGGAUGAGUUUGUUAGUUAGAAUUUGGACUCUCUCGUUCUUAAUACUGCCGAUAAGUUAAAUCUAGGGCGUUGAGUUACAGGGUUAUUUAUCGAUUAGGAAAUAAUUUCAAACGAGUUUUCUCUUGGCUAUCGAACAAUGAGAGAUGGGUUGCCUUACACUGAGUCAACAACUAGAACUAAUUUAUUAAAGGUAUUGAAGUUAUUUUUGCAUUGAUGAUCGAAUCUUUGAAUCAAACAAAGAUUUUACUUCUAGCUAGAGUUUCUUCUCAUUAAUUUUCUUUUAUAAUUUAUUUUUACUUUGUUUUAAUUUUAAUUUUUAAUUUUAAAAUCUUUUUAUAUUUUUCAUGUAAGUUUUUGUUUUUAUAAAUCUCUACAUCCUUGCAUUACUUCAAUACAACACCAAAAGAACCAAAUGGCAAACACUAUAACUAAAAAUCUUGCAAAAGAGGCCGUUUUAUUUUAUCAUAAAAUUAUACAUGAAAUAGCCAUACAUGGCGAUUACAUAAGCUUGAAGGCCUUAAAACACAGACAUACGAUAGUAAUUAAUAAGCAAACACACACACAGACGCAGUAAUGAAGGCUAACUUCAACUUCGUAGUAGUGCACACCGAUGGAGCACAUUAUUAUUUAGUUUACAGUUUCGACCUCUAGUGAUCGAAAACCCUGGUUCAAAGCCGGCAGCUUAUGCACCCGUAGUGGUGUUGGGUUGGUGGCCAAGAAAAGCUGCAUCAGCAUUCUCAUCACUGCAAUAAAGGCAAGGGUGCUGCUGCCCAAUUCCUAGCUUUAUUAUUUCAUUCCUAGCCUUCACCACAAGCUGUCUAUUGGUUAAUGCACCUAAUUCGCUCUCCUUGAUGACCUUCAGAACUGAAUAGGUAAAGGCCCCAAACGCCUUUCCUCCGGUUUUCUCACUCGCUGGCAUAUCAAUUGAAAGCUCAUUGGCUUGGCACCCACUUAACAGAAUUCCCUCAUCCUCCGUCAGUGACCUCAAAUUCAAAAUAUCACGCUCAUAAUGGGGUAGGAAUUUGAGACUCACAUUGUUCCCAAAGAUUGUGGUCAAAAGAGAGCCAAUACCCGUCAUAUUAUCUGUUCCAGUGUUGAUGGCAUUCCCAAGUGCUCUUGUGGGAAAUAAGUCUUGUGUCGCGAUUAUGACGUUGGCCGCUGUUUGUAGGCACUGGAAUAAGGUUGCUAAGGAAAUGCCCCUAGUCUUGUAAUCAACAGGUGGUGCUAUACCCCUUAGAGUACUAUGGGGUCCAAUUUGUUCUUUACUUUUAUCAAUCAGACCACCACUGUGGCAGGAAUCCGAAACGAUUGUGAAGCUUGAUCCACUUGGUAGUAGCUGAAUCAAUUGCCCCAAGUCCACGUCUGCACACCCAUCGCAACCACAAUAUGAUAUAAAUAACAGUUUGCUUAGAUUGAGAGUAUUUUAAUAAUUUAGUUUACCGAGUUGAUUACGUACCAAAAAUGGGAUUGAGAUCACAAGGCACAAUUGCUUCACCCUCGUUGGGAGGCUGGUGGGGGUCAAUGCGGUGCACAAGUCCAUGUCCACUAAAGUGGAAAAGCAGGACAUCUCCUUCUUUAGCCGCGACCACCAUCUUCUUGAGUGCAGCCAUAAUGUUUGCACGUGUAGGCUUACACGUGGACUCUGGUUCAUCAGUUAGGAGCUCAACAUUUUCGGAAUCAAAGCCAAACCUGCUCACGAUCAUUUCUCUCAUGGCUUUCGCAUCGUUUACGCAUCCGCUCAACUUGUUGAUGGUGUUGGGGUAGUUGCAUCCGACCAGAACGGCUCUCUUCUUACAUUCGGUGGCCAUCUUGCUUCUGUUUUGGGUCGCUUGUCUUGUCUUGUGCUUCGGACGUUGCACUAAACACCUAUAUAUGCACACAUACACACUGUAGUUUACACUAUGCUCACUGACCAUACUCUAAUAAAUAAUACAUCAUGUUGGUAGGUACAACUGUUUUAUUUUAUUUUUUGUUUAGAAAAAAAAGGGCUUUUUUUUAUAAAAACAACCCAAAAAUAAUUAAUUACUUAAAUGACUUAUUUUUUUUGAUAAAAUACGAAAAUAACCUGAAAUCUAUGGAAAAAGUUGGUAGAGCCAAAGUGUGCCACCAACAUGCCAUGUCAGCAAUUUAUAUUAAAAAAUUAAUUUUUGAGUAGAGCUGCCACUUGUAUAAAUACUACGGAAAUAUUAUGAUUUUUUUUCUUUUUAAGUUUUUUUGAUUUGUCCCUUAUAUAUUUUAUUUAUUUGUUUAUUAUUGGUUUUAUAAAAUCUCAAAUGUAUAUUUUAAAUGUUUUAUAAUAUUAUUUUUUAAAAAUUUUAAAUAUAUUUUUCUAAAUUUAAAUAUUAUUUUUUAAUUUUUAAAUAUUAUUUUUUAAUAUUAUAAAAUAUUUAAAAUAUAUUAUUUUUAAAAAUAUGACCUUUCAAAUUUAUUAUUUGUUUUAUAAUAUUUUAAAUAUAUAUUUAAAAAUUUUUAAAUAUAUUUUUUAAAAUUUUAAAUAUAUAUUUUUUAAAUUAUUUUUAAAGAUAUUCAAACAUUUUUUUUAAUUCUAUUUAAAAUCUAAAAAAUAAUAUGUGUUUUUAGAAUGGCUUCACCACUUUAUUACAAGUGUCAUUUUUAAAAAAAUAUGUUUUUUAAAUAUAAAUAUUUAAUAUUUAAUAUUUUAUUUUGGUGGAGCCAUUCUUUAUGGCUCCACCUCUUGGUUCUCUAGCAUAUAUAGAAUGGUGAAAUUGUUGUGUUUAGUAGGAGAGUUCAAAAAUUCUGUUAAAGAUGAAUAAUGAGGUGUUUUGGUUUACGUUCUCUUUUAUGGCGAAAUUGUAGAAGGUGAUGUUGGUUGUGUAUUUCAAUGUCGGCAAAGAGUAGGGUUGCGAUUCAAAAAACUGUAAAGCUGGCAGAAAUGAAAAGGAAGAUUAGUACAAAAAUAGCUAUUUGUUGUGGAAGGGCAAUGUCCAGAUUAUUUUACAAGUUUCCAAUCUCUACAGAUCCGUUCAAAUCUGUUCCACUGCAACGUCAGUGAAAUAACAUCCGUUGGCUUCAGUCUUAACGCAAGGGUGAUAAGACUGGUGUCUUCAAUCCACUCCACUGUAACUUCAGGGAGAUAGGAUUUGUGGUUUCACCGAUCUGUUUUCUAGGGAACAUGACCUGUAGAAUCCUUUUUAUGGGCCUAUUUAUGCCUAGUGAUUAGGAUGUUAUGAUCGGAAUGAAUUAAAAUCUCCUAAUCAAAUAUGCAUGCAUGAAUACAAAAUGUCAUGAAAAUAAUCCCCUAAUGUUUGAGUUGUUAUUGUUCAUUGUUCAUUAAGGAUUUAUUACCAACACAUCAGAACGCCAUCUUGUUCGGCUAGUAAAACUCAUAUCUUACUUAACCAGAUUGCGUCCACUAUAAUCUUCAAGGUUCAAUCCAUUGUAAUCUUCAAGGUUCAAUCCACUGUGCUUUUAGGACAUAAAAUUUAAACUAUCUUCCUCCCACUAUAAUUUAGGAAUAUAAGAUCUGGCUCUUUCUCAAUCCUCUCAUCCUGCAAUUCAAGGAUACAAGACCUGAAUCUCUUUGGUCUAUUACACUUUCCUAGAGUGUCAUACCAAAUGUUUAUGCACAAUUGUAGAACUUUCUUCUCCAAGAAAACAUAUUCUUAUCACUGGGUGAUCAUUGCUUGUUUGUUCAUUGAAGCUUUGUCACCAACACGGCAUCUUGUCAUUUUGUUCAAUCAACAUUUUGACAACAAAAUUUGAAGGGAUAGUCUUAAUUUAGACUUUUCCUUCUUAGAUAUUUCAACCUUUAAACUUGGUGCGUUCUAAACAAUAGUCCUGUUUUAGGUUCUUGUAUUAUUUAGAAACUUCUAGAGUAAUAUGCAAAACUUCCUUUGAGAAAGUAUUAUUAGUCCAUUAAUCAUCAUUCCAAUGCCACAUGCUUGCAAAAGAUCAUACCAAUGGAUAAAAAUAGAAUUGAUUUGGGAGCACGGUUCGAAAUGAAUAAAUUAUCAAAGAUAGUAAAAUAAAAGAGGAAUUAAGUAGGAACAUGUAUCUUGAAAAAUAAUGAAGUAUUCUAAGAACAACAAAUUCAAUAUAAAUAGUAUGAAGACUAGAUGCCCCAAAUAUCGUAGCUUGAGUUUCUCUGUACAAACUUUCUAAAGACCAUUCCGAGUUUGACAUGUGUUUAGGAGAUCUAUAGUACUUUGUCGCUGCCCCAAUAUGUCGCCUACCCUUUCUUGUUGAUUCAGGUAUAAGAAGAUCACCACAUGCCCCAAUUUGAUCAAAAUUUCAGCUGUUCUGAUCACCUCAUGUCCCAUUCUAAUAAAAGAUUUGAGCUGCCCUUUUUGAGUUUUCAACUCAAAUCCCCUUGGGUCUCAAUGCGCCCUUUGCAGGUUUUUACCUUGGCCUCUCCUUUUUCUUUUUUCUUUAUUAUUAUUAUUAUUUUUUAUGACUCAAAGCACCCUUUGUGGGUUUUCACCUUGAUCUCUCUUUUUUUUUAGAACUUAAGGCGCCCUUUGUGGGUUUUCACCUUAGUCCUUUUUAGGACUCAAAGCGCCCUUUGCGAGUUUUUGCCUUUGUCCCUUCUCUUUUUUUCAAGUGAAGUGUGUCUUGAUUGAGUCUAAGUUUACAAGAUUUGACAAGUUUUUACCAUCCAUCUUACUCAAAAUCAAAGCUCCUCCGGAAAAGGCUUUCUUUACAACAUAAGGUCUUUCCCAAUUUGGCAUCCAUUUCCCUCUAAAAUCUUUUUGUAGAGGGAGAAUCCUCUUCAACAUUAGGUCGCCCUCAUUGUAACACCCCUAACCCGUGACCGUCGCUGGAUUGGGUUUAUGAGGCAUUACCGAACCAAAAGCUUAAUUCUAAUUUUAAUUAAUAAAUGGUAAAUCCAAAACAAAAUGAAUCAUGCACUAUGUUAUAUAUAUAUAUAUAGCAUAGCAUAGCAAAAUCAAAUAUAAAAUUCAAGUAAACCAAAUUUGCAUGCUUAACAAUCAAGUGGAAUACAUAGACUAUCCAUUCAAAUAUAGUAAAGGUGUACAUUUAUCAGAUUUGAAUAAAAUUGAUAUUUCACUAUAUUUAUUCAAAUAUAUAAUCUUACCAUUUCCAAGAAACAUUAUAUAUAUUCAUUAAGAUAAUAUAACACUCACUCAAAUUUCAUAGUCAACCACACUUUUUUGGAAUUAAACAUGAACCAAAUAAUCUAUCUGUAUAUACAAUAUUUCCUAUUACCUAUUUAAUAAAUCUCAAAAUCUUAUUCAAAUAUUACAUAAAUUAAUCAAAUACAAUUACAACUUGAAUAACAAAUUAGGUUCUUAUACUAAUAAAUAUAAUAAAUAACAUGAAUUUAACCUUUAACCGAAUAUACAUGGCUUAUAAUAAAAUCAUAUGAUCAAACUAAUUUGUCCUAUUUAAAACCGAAUGCAAACCCAUGCAUAGCAAAUUUUCUUUACUAAAUAAUUAAAUUGAAGUGGCCAAAGUAAUACCAAUUCGUCUAGCGCAUAAUAUGCCUAAAUUAAAUCUAACAUCAAUCUAACCAAAUUGAUCAUCCAAUACCAAAGCAUAUAAAUCAUAUCAUUUACCUGUUUAAAUACAUAUAAUUGAACUAUCUAUAUAAAUGCAUGCGCAUAAAUGCUCAUGCUUAAACCAUUUCCAAAAUAUAUAUUUCAUUACAUUACCUUACAAAACUAAGCAUUUCAUUACCAGUUAUAUAUAUAUAUAUAUAUAUAUAUAUUAUAUGCUAUAAAAUAAAUAUCAAAUUAUAACUAUCGGCAAUUACAUUAAUUAAUCAAACAUAUACACCUAUAAUAUCAUUUAACAUCAAUUCCCAUGAAUUAAACAUACCAUUUGCAAUUUCAUAUCCAAACAAAUCACACAUAACAUUCACAUAUAUAAUACCAUCCAUAAAAUGCUUAAUCAUAAUCAAAAUAUGCCUAAACCAUAAUUCACCCAAACCGAUCACAACAAUCUAAUUAAGCCAUUUUCGCAUGGCUUUAAUUUAUACAUUUAGCAUAUGUAAGUCGAAUAUUUUACUACUAGAAUACAAGUAUAUUCAUCAUCAUCAUCAUAUAUAUAUCACAAUUAUGAUAAUAAGCCAAAAUCACUCAUAAUUUCAAACAUAUUUACACAUUAUAGACUUACUAAAUAAUCUUGAAUCAUCAAUUCAAUAUAAAACUUACCUUAAUUUCUUAACAUGGUAAUAAUACAUACCUGAACUUUUAAAUUUGUUUUCACAUUUGUUCUUAAAUUAACGAUGCCCGUUGAGCCGUUCUGCAUUGAAAAGGAUAUGCAAAUAGUCGGAAAGCUCGUACAAUGCCAACGUCCUAGAUGUGGUCUUACAUGUAUUUACAAAUUGAUGCCACUGUGCAAGACAGGGUCAUACACAUAAACACAAGUCGAUGCCAACAUCCCAGACGUGGCCUUACACGUAAUCACAAGUCGAUGUCAACGUCCCAGACGUGGUCUUACACAAAAUCACAUAUUGGAAAUCCUAUCUAUUCCUAAGGCUCGUACGGGGCUUCUGAUUAUUGAACCUAAUCAAAUCAAACUCAAAAAUACAUAUUUCUAGCUUAAUCAUAUUCGGCCAUCAUCAAAUAAAAUUCAUAAAAUUGAAUUUAUUAUGUGACCUAUGUAUAUAAUUAAAUUUAACAACAUUUAUAUGCUUACAGACUUACCUCGGAUGUCGUCGAAUAAUAAAUCGGCUACUCGACCACUUUUGUCUUUCCCCGAUCCAAAUCCGAUUUCUUUAAUUCUUGAUCUAAACAUAUUUAAAUUAAGCUUAUUUAAACACGAUUCUAUUCAAUUUAGCCUAAAAACACAUGAAUGGACAAAUUACAAUUUUACCCCUAACAUUUCCCACUUUUUACAAUUUAACCCUUUUUGCUCAAAACACAAAAUACACAAAAUUUGACUACACUCUUUAAGGGUCGAAUAUUCCUAGUGUCCACACAACUCCAUAUUUUUCAUUUAUUUAGCAUUUGACCCCUCAAUUUACGCUUUUCUUAAUUUAGUCCUUAAUACACAUUUUUAUCAAAAAAAUUACUAAUUAAAACAUGAAAAUCUAACUACAUAUAUUUAUUUUCCAUCAUCUAAAAACAAAAACAACAAGUUCUCUUCAAUGGCAUCUUACAAAAUACACAACAAAUACAAAAUUUCAAGCAUGGGCUUUAUAGUACUCGAAACAACGAUAUUAAAAACAUAAAAAUUAUCAAAAAUCGAAACAAAAUCUAACCUUAAUUAAGACUUGUAAUUGCCGAAUGUUCAAAGCUUUUUCUUUCUUUAUUUCUUUUGUAGUUUCGGUGAAAACAAAGAUGAACAAUAGCAUGGUUUUCUUAUUUUAUGUUUUAUUUUAUUAACAUAUAAUAAUAACAAACUAUUAUGUUACCAAAAUAACCUUUAAUAAAGAAUAUACAAAACAUAUAAUAUAAGGUCAUUCUUGACCAUUGCCAUCCACUAACUUAUAUAAUGUGCUAAUUGCAUCAUAGUAUAAAGACAACAACAAUUAGACACUUUCAUAUUUAACCACUAAAUUUUCAUUUUACGCGAUUAAAUCCUUUUUCUCAAAUUAAGCACUCAAACAAUAAAAUUAAUUCACGAAACUUUCACACAUGUAAAUUCACACAUAAUAAACACAGAAUAAAAAUAUUAAAAUAUUUUUUAGACUCGGAUGUCUGGUCCCGAAACCACUGUUCCGAUUAGGGUCAAAAUCGGGUUGUUACAACUCUCUCCCUUUAGGGAUUUUCGUCCUCGAAAAUCUUACCGGUGAAUAGCUGUGGGUAACAUUCUUUCAUUGCAUCCUCUGGCUCCCAGGUUGCUUCCUCAACUCUGUGCUUAUGUCACAGUACUUUGACUAACGGAAUUUUCUUAUUUCGUAAUUCUUUAACCUCACGAGCCAGAAUAUUAAUCGAUUCUUUUUCAUAUGACAUAUCAGACUUAAUUUCAAUCUCGGUAGGACUAAUCACAUGCAAAGAACCGGAUCUAUACCUAUGAAGCAUCGAAACAUGGAAUACAUUGUGAAUCUUUUCUAACUCAGGUGGCAGCAGCAAUCAAUAAGCAACUGGCCCGACACGCUUUAUAAUCUCAUACGGUCCAAUGAAUCUCGGACUCAAUUUGACUUUACGACCGAAUCUGAGUAUUUUCUUCCACGAUGAUACUUUUAAAAAAACUUUAUCUCCAAUCUGAAACUCUAUAUAUUUUCUUUUCAAGUCUGCAUAUGAUUUCUGACGAUCCGAUGAUGUUUUCAGAUUAUCGCGAGUCACUUUCACUUUCUAUUCAGUUUCUUUAAUCAAAUCGACCCUGUGUAUCUUAUUUUCACUGAGUUCAGUCCAAUACAAUGGUGUACGACAUUUACGACCGUAUAAAGCCUCGUAAGGUUGCAUUUUGAUACUAGAUUGAAAGCUAUUAUUAUAUGACAAUUCAAUCAAAGGUAAGUAUUGUUCCCACGUACCUUCAAACUCAAGAAUGCAACUUCUCAACAUAUCCUCAAGUAUCUGAAUGAUUCGUUCGACUGUUUCUGGAUGGAAAGCUGUGCUAAAAUGUAGUUUCGUACCUAAAGCAUCUUGUAGUUUCUUUCAAAACCGCGAUGUGAACCUCGGGUCUCUGUCCGAAACAAUAGAAAUAGGCACACCAUGCAACCUCACAAUUUGAGAAAUGUAUAAUUCAGCAAGUUUAUCAAGUGAAUAAUCAGUAUGGACUGGAACAAAGUGAGCUAAUUUUGUCAAUCUAUCAAUAAUAACCCAGAUUGCAUCUUUCUUGCUCGGUGUCAACGAUAAACCAGAUACAAAAUCCAUCGUGACUCGGUCUCAUUUCCAUUCAGGUAUCAUGAUCAGCUGAAGCAACCCAAAAGGUAACUGAUGCUCGGCUUUUACUUGUUGACAUAUUAAACAUUGUGAAACAAAGUCAGAAAUAUCUCGCUUCAUACCGCGCAACCAAUAGUGCUAUUUUAGAUCAUUAUACAUUUUCGUGCUACCCGGAUGAAUAGAUAAUCGACUAUUAUGAGCUUCAUUCAAGAUCAUAUGAAUUAAGUCUGAAUUUUUCAGAACACAUAGUCGGUUUCUGAAUCUCAAACAAUCCUCAGCAUCAACUAGAAACUCUGAAUCAACAUUCAAAUCACACUGAGCCCGUUUUGCAAUUAAAUCAUUAUCAUCUUUCUGAGCUUCACAAAUAUAUUGAACAAAUAGCGGUUUUACUUUCAACUCAGCUACCAUUGCACCAUCAUCAGACAUAGCUAUAUGCGCGUUCAUUGCACGCAAAGCAAAUAAUGAUUUUUGACUUAAGGCAUUCACAACAACAUUAGCCUUUCCCGAAUGAUAAUCAAUCACAAGCUUAAAAUCUUUUAGCAACUCUAACCACCGUCGCUGUCUCAAAUUUAGGUCCUUCUGAGUCAUCAAAUAUUUCAAGAUUUUGUGAUCAAAAUAAGCAUGACAUUUUUCACCGAAUAAAUAGUGGCGCCACAUUUUCAAACCAAACACAAUAACGGCCAAUUUGAGAUCAUGCGUCGGAUAGUUCUUUUCAUGUGGCUUCAACUGUCUCGAGGCAUAAGCUACAACUUUGCCUUCCUGCAUCAAAAUAUAGCCCAAACCGUUCAAAGAUGCAUCACUAAAAAUAACAAAUUCUUUACCUGUCUCUAGCUGAACUAGUACUGGAGCUUCGGUCAAAAGGACUUUCAACUGAUCAAAUCUUUUCUGACACUUUUCUGACCACUCGAACUUAACAUCUUUUUGUAGCAACUUCGUCAUCAGGGUCGCAAUCAUAGAAAAACCUUUCACGAACUGUCUAUAAUAACCAACGAGUCCCAAAAGACUUCAAACUUCAGAGACAUUUCUCGGAGGUUUCCAAUCAAGUAUAGCUAAAAUUUUACUUACAUCAACCCGAAUACCCGAUGCUAAUACAAAAUGGCCCAAAAAACUGACUUCGCAUAACUAGAACUUACAUUUACUAAACUUUGCAUACAAUUGUUUAUCUCGCAAAGUUUGUAACACAAGUCUUAGAUGUUCAGCAUGUUUGAUUUCAUCACGAGAGUAGAUCAAAAUGUCAUCUAUGAAUACUACCACAAACUGAUCCAGAUACUAUCUAAAGAUUCGAUUCAUCAAAUCCAUGAAAACAGCAGGUGCAUUAGUAAGCCUGAAAGGCAUAACCAGGAAUUCGUAAUGUCCGUACCUCGUUCAGAAAGCUGUCUUUGGCACAUUAGAGUCUUUAACUCACAACUGAUAGUAACCCAAUCUCAAAUCUAUCUUCGAAAACAUUGAAGCCCUUUUUAGCUGAUCGAACAAAUCGUUAAUACGUUGCAAUGGAUAUUUAUUAUUUAUAGUCACCUUAUUGAGCUGCCGGUAAUCAAUACACAUUCUCAUCGUUCCAUCUUUCUUUCUCACAAAUAGUACUGGUGCACCUCAAGGAGAGAAACUCGGUCGUGCGAAACCUUUAUCUGUCAACUCUUACAACUAUUCUUUCAUCUCUUUUAAUUCAGUCGGUGCCAUACGGUACGGAGCUGUCAAAAUUGAAGUCGUCCCUGGUACUAAAUCAAUACCAAACUCUACCUCUCGAAUAGGUGGCAAACCCGACAAUUCUUUGGGAAACACAUAUGAAUAGUCACACACAAUCGGCAAGGAUUCAAUCUUUUUUCAGUCACUUUACUAUCAAGAAUAUAUGCAAGGUAAGCUUUACAACCUUUUCUCACAUACUUUUGAGCCAACAUCGAGGAUAUUACUGCUGGUAAACCAUUUAGAUCUUUAGAUUCAAUCUAAAUAAUCUCGUCGUUCUGGCAUCUUAAAUCGAUAGUCUUUCUUUUACAGUUAACCACAGCAUCGUGUAAAGUCAACCAGUCCAUACCCAAAAUAGUAUCGAACUCGUCAAAUGGCAACAACAUCAAAACAGCCGUAAAACGUAAAUCUCGAAUCAUCAACGGACAAUUCUUACACACUUUAUCAACCAAAACACACCGGCCCAAGGGAUUUGAUACUCUAAUCACAAACUCAGUAGACUCAACAAGCAAAGUCUUACUAGAUACUAAAGUCUCACACACAUAUGAAUGAGUCAAACCAAGAUCAAUCAGUCCAAUAACAUUAGUAUCAUAGAGAGUGAAAGCACAGUAAUAACGUUUGGGAAUGAAGCCUCUUUACGAGCGCGUAUAGCAUAUGCUCUGGCAGGUGCGUUAGCCUCAGAUCUAACAGUUGUAUCUUUGGUCCCCCUCUGACUGCCACUCAUAUUACCUGUGUUUCUGGGUGGUCUACCUCUAGCUGCAGUGUUACCCGAUCUCGUAUUUUGUACCGAAUUUUGAUCCACUAACUCUGGGCAUUCACGAAUGAAAUGAUCCCUCGAUCUACAUUUAAAAUAGGCUCGAUCAUGUAAUCUCUAACUACCAGAAUGUCGUUUACCACAAUGUUCACACUCGGAUUGAUUUGACCUGACAUUACCCACACUCGCUACUGAAGUAGCUCUCGAGCUCACAGGUGGUCUAUCCAAAUCCCAUCGUGAAUACCCCACAACAGUCUUUGAACGGCUAGUAUCAUCUCGAAACUUCUUUGAGGUCGACUGAAAUGGCUUACAAAAUAACCUUUUACAAAAAUCUCUGGCUUCAAAGUCAGCUUUUCUCUUCUCUUUCCCGAGUUAUUCGGCUUUGUAAGCUCGUUUAACAAGUACCACAAACUAUUUUAUCUCAAGUAUGCCAACUAACAGUUUAACAUCUUCAUUCAGCCCAUCUUCAAAUCUUUUACACAUAAUAGCUUCAGUCGAAACACACUCUCGGGCAUACCUACUGAGUCUCACAAAUUUCCGCUCAUAUUCUGUCACUGUCAUCCGACCCUGUUUCAAUUCAAGAAAUUCCUUGCGUUUCUGAUCAAUGAAUCUCUGGCUGAUGUAUUUCUUACGGAACUCAGACUGAAAGAAUUCGCAGGUCACUUGCUCUUUCGGACCCACUGAUACUAGUGUAUUCCACCAGUGAUAUGCAGUGUCCCGUAGCAAAGAUAUGACACAUUUUAAGCACUUGUCAGGGAUGCAAGAUAACUCGUCAAACACUCGAAUAGUAUUAUUUAGCCAGAAUUUAGCUCGCUGAGCAUCAUCAUCAUCAGUGGCUCUGAACUCUUUGGCCCCGUGUUUUCGGAUUUUAUCAACAGGAGGCUUUAGUAAUCUCAACGAAUCACUCACUUGAGGUAUAACAGGAAUCAAAGAUGGAUUAAUCGAGGGUGGAGGGCAAUCAUAUAACUACAAAAAAUACAUAAAACAAAAAAAAUAAUGUCCUAAAAAAACAUAGGUGGUAUAGGUAAUAUAAAUAAAAAAAAGACUUAUUUUUAUUGAAUCAAUAUCUAUAAUAAUAUAUAGAGUUUUACAUAUAAUAUAAACUAGGCAUAUUCAAACUCAAAAUUUUAUCUACAUAUGAGAACUUUUAUAAAAAAAAAUAUAUUCACUCAUUAAAGACAAAUGUAAAUUUUUUGUACCCCACAAAUGGAACUAAGCACAAUAACAAUGCAAAAUUAAGCAGAAAGGUCGUCAUAUUAACAAAAUUAAUAUAUAAAUUUAUGAAUGUGUCAUAAAUUUAAAAUAUAUAUAGCUAACAGGAAAAGAUCAAUUUCAUGCAAAAAAACAGUUAAAAAGGGAUAAUAACAACCAAAUAGAGAUCAGUUUCAUGCAAUCAAAAUGAUUUCUUAUUUAAUUUAUAAUUAAUUUAAAUGUUUCAUUGAUACUCGAUGAAGUGUAAUCCGUAUUUGCUCCAGAAAGCAUUUUGAUAUCUGCAUAAUUUAAAAAAAUUACAUAAAAUAAAUAUAAUUAAUUACUAUAUUACAAUAACUAUAAAAUAUAAAAUUACAAAAUAAAAACUAUAAAUAACUUACUUUUUUUUUCUCUUUUCUUCCUUCCUUUUACAAAAUAUUUGAAGGGGCGACCAAACCCCACCUUCUUAAAUAGAAUGUUCUUCUUCUUAAAUAAUGUUCUUCUUCUCUUUUUUUCUUUUUUAACUAACAAUUAAGCUAAUGACUAGUCACAUCGCUAAUGUCACUUAGAGGUGUGCAAAAUUUGGGUAAAAUCGAAAAAAUUCGAUUAAUCUAUCGAAUUCGGUUAAUCGGUCGGUUAACCGAAUUUUUUCGGUCGAGGCUCGAUUAAUUAUUUUUUAAUUUUUCAGUUAACGGUUAAUUCGGUUCAAAACCGGUCGGUUAACCAAAUUUUUUCAGUUUAACCGAAAAAAUUAAUAAAUAAAAUUAUAAUAUAUAAAUAAGCCCACUAUUCACCUAAAUCCAAUCCAAACCCAAGUAUCCAACCUAACCCAAUUACCCAAUCAUAAAAAUUACAAAUAAAUUAAUAAAUAAAAAUAAAAAAAUAUAAUUUUCGGGUAAUUCGGGUAAUUCGGUUAAUUCGGUUAAUUUUUAACCAAAAAUAAAAAUAUAUAUAAUUUCGGUUAACCGACCGAAUUAACCGAAAAAUUUUGGUUUGAUUUAUAUUUUUGAAUAAAUUUCGAUUCGGUUAAUGUUAUUUUAGGUCAGUUAACCGACUGAACACCCCUAAUGCCACUGACACGAUGUGACCAGUUAAAAUAUAUAUUUUUUUAUUUUCUAAUAUAUAAAAAAUUUCUAAUAUAUAUUUUUAAUCCUUUUUUAACCAAUAAAUUAUUUUUUUAUUUUUUCCAAUCAAUUCAAUUUUCACUUUUUUAAAUAAAAUAUUUUUUAAAAAAAUUUAAAUAGAAUUUUAGAAAAACGUUUGAAUAUCUUUAAAAAUAAUUUUAAAAAUCAUAAUUUUAAAAAAUAAUUUUAAAAAAUAUAUAUUUAAAAUUAAAAAUUAUAUUUAAAAUUUUUAAAAUAUGCAUUUAAAAUAUUAUAAAAUAAAUAAUAAAUUUGAAAGAUCAUAUCUUUAAAAAUAAUAUAUUUUAAAUAUUUUAUAAUAUUAAAAAAUAAUAUUUAAAAUUAAAAAUAAUAUAUAGUUUUAAAAAAAUAAUAUUAUAAAACAUUUCAAAUAUACAUUUCAAAUUUUAUAAAACCAAUAAUAAAUAAAACAAAUAAAAUAAAUAAAUAAAGGACAAAUAAAAAACUUAAAAAGUAAAUAAAUAAAAAGUUUAAAAAGAAAAAUGAAAAAGGACAAAGAAUCAGAGAAAAAGAAGUAACGAAUGAAAAAAAAAUAUUUAGGUUGUUUCAAUAGGACAAGGAACCCGCUAGUAUCUUAGAAUUUGGUAGCAUAAAUUUAUUUGGAUCACCAGAAAAGGAUAAAAUUGCUUAAAUAUUUUACUUUUAAAAAUUAUAAUAUUUCUCUAAUAUUUAUACAAGUUGUGUUAUUUUACAUGGCUCCACUAAAAAAAAUGAUUUAUUAAUGUAGAUUGCUGACGUGCAAAACACUUUGGCUCCUCUAACUUGUACCGUAAAUUUUUUAUUAUUUUCAAUUUUUAUGAAAAAAGGGUUAUUUAAGUAAUUAAUUAAAUUUUUGAGUUAUUUUUAUAAAAAAAGAGCAUAGUAAUUAAUUAAGCUAGGUAUUCCUUUUUCACACAAAGAAGAAAAAUGAUAGAAAAUAUAGGGUUGUGGUCGUAGAUAAAUGAUUAUAACGUGAUAUGAUCUGCUUCGCAUUAGUCCAUCACCUUAUCUUUAUGUUUUUGUCUUGGUCAUGAAUCACUUUGGCCUUUGUCUGCAAGUACUGUCUGUCCUACUAUCCUGCAUCUGAUUUUCUCUGUCUUUUGGGUCUAUUUGAAUCAUGCUGAAGUAAGAAAACUGUUUUUAAAGUAUAAAAGUUGAUAAUUAUAUUAGUUUAUUUCUUUAUAAUUUUUUAAAUUUUUAGAGAUAAUAAAUUAAAAUUUUAUAUUUUUGAGGAUAAACUAGAAUUUUAUAAUGGCUUAAAUAAUAGGUUUUCAUUUUAGGAGGUCUAAAGAGUAUUUUUCUUUUUAAAGGAGCCACAACCCUUGCUUACUUUGGUCACCUUCUAUGGUGACCAGAUUCAUUCCAGUGAGAUUAAAAACAAUAGUGGUGGUGAGAUUAAUUACUAUAAUAAUGAGAUUAUUAAAAUGAGAUAGAUUAUAGAUUUAUAGUAAAAAGGAAAAAUGACCAUUAUAGACAUUAAACUAAAAUUAAACUAAAGAAGUUUACACCAUUCCGUAUAUUUUUGUACGAUUAAUAUUUUAAAGAUAAAAACACCAUAUUUCAUAUUUCAUUUAUAUAAAUCAUGCAUGUGAAAUUUCACGUAAAUUAAAAAAAUUUAACUAGUUGUUUUAUGUAAAAUACUUUUAAUCUUUGAAUGAAUGUUAAUACAUACAAUAUUUUAGAUGGAUAGAUAAAAAUAUCGAAUCAAUUGAGAAUUUACAAUAAUAUCAACAAAUUCAAUGAUUGGAUUGUUAAGUUAAGAAUCAUGUAAAAAUAUAUGAAAGCGUGUAAAAUUACUUUAAUUUCGCAGUAGUAUAAGCAAAUUCUUUUUUUAAUAUAUAAAAUUAAUUAUAUAAUUUAAAUUUAUGUAUUUAACAUUAUUUAUAAAUAUAUUAUUUGAAAGUAAUGAAAUAAAAUAAAUAUUAUAAAUAAAAUUAUUAAAAAAUAGUAUCUAUUAUUGAAUUAAAUUAACCAUUCUUUAAAAAAGAGUGAAAAUUAUUUUUUUAAAUGCAUAGGGUUUUAUUUUUAAAAAAAUUUAAGAUUUAGGUAUAAAAGAUAAACAUAAAGUGCAUAGGGCUUUAUUUUUUAUUUUUUAAAUAAUAUUGUUUUCGGCUCACAUGCAGUUUAUUUAGUUAGGUGAAGUAUACCUAACUCAAAUUUUAUAAAAAUGAUAAAAGGCAUGUGAUUUAGUAACACAAAUAUUUUAUUCUCAAUUUUAAUUCGGUUUUUUUAUUUAAAAUAGUAAAGGAUGUAGAUACCUUUAUAAAUUUGCACCUUUUAUUUUAUACUUUAGUCCUUUCUUAAUUUCAUUUAGUGAUUUAUUGUAUACAGUGACGGAGCAUAGUGAAGAUUAGGUAGCAUGACAUCCUUUAAAAUGGUAAAUUUUUUUUAUUUAAGCUCUUUAUAAUUUAUAAAAUUUUAAAUUAGUAAUGGUAAAAUUGUACUUUAACCCUCCAAAGAUGAUAAAAAUUUGAUUUAACCCUUUAAAAAUUACAAAUAUAUAGACUAUUAAAAAUUACAAAUUACAAUUUAAUCCCAACCUCCAAAAACAGUUAGGCUCCGCCAGUUAAUUAAUUAUAUUAAAUUCGAUAAAAAUUUUAAGUAGAAUUGAAAAAAUAUGUGUUUUAUUUAAUAAUAAUACUUUUGAAUGGGUUGAAUUGGCAAGAGUUAAGGUGUGGACACUACACCAAAACAGGUCUUUAGCGGCAUAUUUUGUGGCGCUUGGACGAAAAACGCCGCUAAAAACCGAUCAUUAGCGGCGCAAAGACCUAAACGCCAUAAAAGAACAUCAUUAGCGGCGUUUACCACAAUGCGCCGCGAAAUCUCUUAACCAAAACGCUGUGUUUUCGUCUUGAUGUAUCUUAAAAUUAGUGGCGUUUACGCGAAACGCCAUUAAAGGACAGUAAUAGCGGCGCUUUCUGGAAACGCCGCAAAAUAGCUUAACCAAAACGCAGAGUUUGGUCUUGAGGUAUCUUAGAAUUAGUGGCGUUUAUAGGAAAACGCCGUUAAAGUACAGUAAUAGCGACGCUUUAUGGAAGCGCCGCAAACUAUCUUAAGCGAAACACAUCGUUUUGGUCUUGAUUUAUACUAGAACUAGUGGCGCAUAUGGUCAAACGCCGCUAAAGAAUAGUAUUAGCGGCGAUUUGUAGCUAGCGCCACAAAAUAUCUUAACAAAAACGCAGCGUUUUGAUCUUAAUGUAUAUAAAAUUAGUGGCGCUUACGGUAAACCGCCGCUAAAGAAUAUUAAUAGCGGCGCUUUGUGAGAAGCGCCGCAAAAUAUCUUAACCAAAACGCAUAAUUUUGGCCUCGAUGUAUAGUAGAAUUAGUGGCGCUUAGUGAAACGCCGUUAAAGCAUAGUAUUAGCGGCGAUUUGUAGCUAGCGCCGCAAAAUAUCUUAACAAAAACGCAGUGUUUUGAUCUUAAUGUAUAUAAAAUUAGUGGCGCUUACGGUAAACCGCCGCUAAAGAAUAUUAAUAGCAGCAAAAUAUCUUAACCAAAACGCAUAAUUUUGGCCUCGAUGUAUAGUAGAAUUAGUGGCGCUUAGUGAAACGCCGUUAAAGCAUAGUAUUAGCGGCGCUUGGAUAAAAGCGCCACCAAGUAUCUGAACCAAAACGCAUCGUUUUGGUCUUGAUGUAUACUUGAUUUAGUGGCGAUUUCGGUAAAACGCCGCUAAAGCAUAGUAUUAGCGGCGAUUUGUUGAUAGCGCCGCGACUUACCAUAAACAAAACGCAACGUUUUGGUCUUAAUUUAUACUAAAAUUAGUGUCGCUUUGUUGAAAGUGCCGCAAAAUAUCUUAACAGAUUUUUGGGUUUUAACCAUGCAUUAUGUAAUGUAGGUUACUAUAUAUUUAGUUUAUCAUAUUUGGUUUAGGUAUAGGGUAUUAGGGUUCAUUAUAUAAUGUUUAGUAUUUUUGGAUUACAGUGUAAAGUUUAAAGUUUAGGGUUUACGAUGUAGGUUUAAGGUUAGGGUAUUAGGGUGUUUAGGGUUUAAGGUUUAGGAGUCUGGGGUAUAAGGUUUAAAGUUUGGGGUUUAGGCUACUUUAGUCAUGUUAAUAGGUUAAUAUUGUUUCGGAUUUUGGGGUCUGGUUGUUGGUUUUAGAGUUUAGGGUUUAACGAUUUAGUAGCUUAAGAUUUUAGGGUUUAAAAGUUUAGAGGUUUAGGGUUAAAUCCUAAAAGCGUGCAUGAACAACAGUUUAAUGUUCAAUUGUAUACAUGAACUUUAAUUUGAUCUAAAUAUUGUAAAAUAUUAACACAAUUAUUGAUAUAAUUAACAUCAUUUUAAUUUACGUAUAUUGCAUACAUAAAUAUUUAUAUUUAUUCAAUAUAAAAAUAUAUUUUGAUGUAAAAUUUUUUAUAGAUCAUGAAAUAAAUUUUUAAAAAUGCAUUAUUCUCCCAUUUUUUAUUAAUUGAUAAUUUCAUUUUAUAAAUUUUGUUUUAAUUUUGGAUCAAUUUGGCUUGAAUCUUGGAUGAAGGCAUUAGCGGCGCUUGAGCAAAAGACGCCGCUAAAGGUGAUGUAUUACCGGCGUUUUAUGAAGAAACGCCGCCCAUUUCCUUAAGUGUAACAAAGACACGGUGCCGUUUUUUGUUUUCAUUUAGUGGCGCAUUUGGAAAACGCCACAAAAAUUUAUAACGAGUUGAGGAAACGGCGUCGUUUCCUAUUUUUAUUAGUGGCGCUUUUGCUAAUGCGCCGCAAAAAUGUUACGGUAUAUAAGUGAAAACGGCACUGUUUUAUUCUGAACUUGGAAUUUUAGUGUCGUUUUUAUUUAAAACGCCGCAAGUGUGGACUCAAUAACGGCGUUUGUUCUCAACGCGCCGCAAAUCUGACUUAAAAAUUUCUUAAACGGCGUCGUUUCUUAAGGGGACAUUUAACUUAAUACCCUUCUCUCGUCCUCCAAAAACAGAAAGAGUGAAUUUGCAGACCUCAAGUGUCGAAAGGGAACAAAUUUCAGACUUCUUACAAAGGAAAAAAGAAGGUUGGGGUCGGUCUUGAAAGAAGUUUGGCACAGCUGCGAGAUUUUUCGAUUAAAUAGGUAAGGCGUUUCUGUUAUUUUUGGAUUAAAUUUUUAGGGUUUUAGGUCAGUCAUAGUUAUUUGGGGUUUUAGGGUUUCGAUUAAACAACUUCAACAAUGUACUAUUCCGAUUAAAUAUGUAAGGCGUUUCUGUUAAAUAGGUAAGGCGUUUCUGUUAUUACAGCCACUUAUGGAUUUGAGUUUCAUAUUCUGAUUUCUGGUAUUGAUUUGUGGUAUUGAAAAAAUUUAUAUUACAGCCACAAUAUUGAUUUGUGGUAUCAAUUUACUAUUCUGAUUUAGAUUAUAGCACAUGAGAGGGUGGCAAAAUUUAUAUUCCGAUUUAGAUUAUAGCACAUGAAUUGGAAGGGAUGGAUAAAAAUAAAUAAAUGAAUUGCUAUGGAUUCUCUUGAGGAUGUAAAAUCCGAAUUGGUUGGUCAAUUAGAAUUAGAUUAUGUUGUUAUGUGCAGAAAUAAUUGAGUGGAUUUGAAAUAAUUUGUUUUUGAUUAUGUUGUUAUGUUCUGAAAUAUGCUUUGGAUUUGAAAUAAUUUCUGAGUCUGAAAUAAUUUGUUUUUGAUUAUGUUGUUAUGUUCUGAAAUAUGCUUUGGAUUUGAAAUAAUUUUUGAGUCUGAAAUAAUUUGUUUUUGAUUAUGUUGUUAUGUUCUGAAUUAUGCUUUGGUUCUGAAAUCUGGAUCUGGUUUUUGUCUGCGUUGCUUUCUUAGCUUGCUGGGUUGGAGCUCGUUUCAUUGCUGCCAAAUUUGGAUAUUCUUUGGCGUGGAGGUAAAUUUUGUAAAGGCAAAUUUUAUGUUGCAAAUAAAAGGUUUUUAGUUAAUCAUCUUUAGUUAAUCAUCUUGCUGUUCGUGGUAGUUAUAUACCCGUUGCAUUUUGGUCAGCCUGUCAUGUAUUAUGCAAAUCCCGAAAUGGUUUUAAGCAAGUGGACUUUGUUUAUUUAGUUAUGCACAUAAUACUUUCAUAUUUUAUUUGUUGUAGAAGUUGGUAUCUCACAGUUUCUCAUCAAAUGUAUGCGAGUAGUAUCGAAUGCAAAUUGUUUUAACAGCCAUUUGAUCAAUUGUUCUGUUUUUUUCUAAUAUUCCUUUAUAACAUAUUGGAAGAUAUGUUAUGUUUUAACUUAAUAUAUUUGAAACAUAAUAUCUUAUGCCUCACAAAAUCCAAUUUUUGAUGAUUGUCUUAUUUUAAAUAAUGCUUCCAAUCAAUGGUAUGUGUAUUAUUUAAACAAAAUCCACGAAAUAAAAAUUACUUACUAAAACUUGUAAUUCAAAAUUUAAUUUCAAGUCCAAAUUAAUAUUUUACUUAAAUAUAUUACUUACAAUUUAAUUUAACUUAUUAAAUAUAUAUAUUGUUAAGUAAUAAUUUUUUGAAAUUUAUAUCUUAGAUUACUUAAAUAUAUAUUUUUAAGUAUAUUUUACAUGACUUACAUUACUUACUAAAACAUAUUUUUUACUAAAAUUUACUUGAAUAUAUUAAUUAAAUAAAUUACUAAUAAAGAUUGCUUAUGUAAGCUAUAUUUAAAUUUUAAAUUUAAUAAAUUAUUUAUAACAAUUAUUUAAAUUUAAUAAAUAAUUUAAAAAUUAUUUAAAUUUUAUUAAUAAUAAAUUUAUAACUUAAAUAAGUAUUACUAUUUUUUUAAUAUUAUACAUAUAUUCAUUUAGGUAUGUAAGCUAUAUUUAAAUUUUAUUAAUAAUAUUUAAACAUAUUUUGUUGUCAAAUUAGUGACACAUAUACCUCUCCACGAAUUAUUCAGUGGAAGAUUAGUUUAAAAGCAAAGAUUGCUUAUAUAAGCUAUAUUUAAAUUUUAUUAAUAAUAAAUUUAUAACUUAAAUAAGUAUUACUAUAUUUUUAAUAUUAUACAUAUAUUCAUUUACAUAACACAUAACUUACAUAACUUUCAUAAUACACAACUUACGCAUCUUACAUAAGACAUAACUUACAUGUGUAAAUAAUACAAAAAUUACAUAACUAACAUAAGACAUAACUUACAUAAGUUUCAUAAUACACAUCUUACGCAACUUACACAACUUACAUAACUUACAUAAGUUUCAUAAUACACAUCUUACGCAACUUACACAACUUACAUAACUUACAUAAUGUAUAUCUUGUUGUCAAAUCCUAAACCCGUGCAAUUUAUUGUCAACGUCAGACUUCAAGAAUUAAAAAAUGGACCGGUCUUGGAUGAAUUUGUCAAGGGUAAGCGACGGUUAUCGAAAUGGGGUGCAGAGUUUUCUAAAUUUUGCAUUUCAAUAUGCAAGCCAAGAGAACAUGAUUCUUUGCCCGUGCAAGAAGUGUGUCAACAUAAAUUGGCAUUAUCGUGAGGUUGUAUACGAGCAUCUAAUUGUUGAUGGGUUUGUUCGGGGUUAUAAACAAUGGUUAUUUCAUGGUGAAUGCCCGCGUAGUACUUCCUCUUCAAGUAUGGAUGUAACUUAUCCUGAUACUGCUUACCAUCAGUCUGGUAGAGGGGAUGACAUGGAAGGUAUGUUGCGGGAUGCAUUUAAUAUGCACAAUCAUGGUGUUGAAUCAUUCCCAGCGGACUUUAUGGCCUCUGAUGAUUGUAAUAUUGGUGGAAAUACUUUUACCGAACCGGGAAGUAGUGUACGUCAUGAAGAGCCGAAUGGAGAAGCGGCGAAGUUCUACGCGCUACUUAAUGACAUGAACGAAGAACUGUAUGAGGGAUCAAAAUUUUCAAAGAUGUCCUUCUGUGUUCGUCUUUUUCAAUUAAAGUGUUUGGGAGGGUGGACGGGAAACUCGUUGACGAUGCUGUUAGAGUUUUUGAGAGAAAUGUUCCCGCUUGCAAAAAUCCCUCGGUCCUGCAAAGAUAUGAAGAAGAUGAUAAAAGAUUUAGGCCUUGGGUAUAACAAAAUCCAUAGUUGCCCAAAUGACUGCAUGUUGUAUUGGGGCGAUCGGAGAAACCAACAGUGCUGUCAUGUAUGCGGCCACUCUCGUUGGACAAGUAGAAACACAGAAGAUGGGAACGACGAUGAAAAUGAUGCACAGUCACGGAAGAAGCCAGCCAAGAUUUUACGGUAUUUUCCGUUGAUACCAAGGCUUCAAAGGCUUUUUUUAUUGUCGAAGACAGCGGAGUCAAUGACAUGGCACCAUGAUGGACGAACCGUUGAUGGAUUACUAAGUCAUCCGGCAGAUUCUUUAGCUUGGAAAUCAUUUGACAAUAAAUUUACAAGCUUCGCAAGCGAUCCUAGGAGUGUGAGGCUUGGGCUAGCAUCUGAUGGAUUUAAUCCUUUCAAGAUCAUGAGUACAAACAAAUAUUGAGAUCUCGUUUGCGCUCCCGAAGAACACAACAUCGAGAUAUCAAUAAGUUGUUUACAGAAUCAUUUUAUGAAUGGUUAAGCCAAAUGGUAUGCAGUUCGAGCUUCCGCUUACAAAUAAUAAUAUUUUCUCAUAACAAAUGAAUUACUCAGUUUACUUUCCAUUCAAUAGGUUUGGAGCGGGAAGAACAUAAACGACGAUGUUAAAUGGCUCUCCCAAGGUCCAAAUCGAGUGGUUAAAAGAUAUAGUGCGUUCCUCAUCAACGGAUUCAGAUUUCAUACAAAAUAUCGCGAGAGGUUGAGGAGAACGCAAAAUUGUGGAAUUGUUGUCAAUUCUGCAAUUACGAGUUAUGCUAGUGCUAGGGACAAUAAUCCUGUCGAGGGAAAUGUGGAAUAUUUCGGACAACUUACUGACAUAAUUGAGUUGGAUUACUACGGCAAAUGGAAAGUUGUCUUAUUUCGUGGUGAUUGGGCCGAUGUUAAUACAGCUCGUGGAAUUAAGCAAGAUCAAUUUGGUUUUACAAUGGUGAACUUUGACCGAUUGAUUCACACAGGACAACAACUGAUAGAUGAGCCGUAUGUAUUCUCAUCUCAAGUCAAACAAGUUUUUUACUCAAAAGAUCCAACUGAUGAGGGUUGGUACGUUGUACUCCGUAACAUCCCUAGAGACUUGUUUGAUAUGGGCAGUGGAAGUAGAGAUAACAUCGAAGAUAGAUCAGUAACUUUACCCUUUCCAGAACUAAACUUAAACGAUAAUAUCCCUAGUACUAGUGCACAAUUUGGAUGGGUUCGUCAGGAUACCGAUGAAGAUAUUUACGAAUAAUGAUGUAGACACAUUUUACGAUUGUUUAAUUAUAUAUAAUAUCAUAAUUUAAAUCUUCGUCUUAUUAUAUGUUUCAACUGUUUUAUAUGUGCUGUUAUUGUUGUAAUUAGCUAUUAAGUUAUUAACUAUUUUAUGUGUAUUGUAGAUAAAAUGCCUAGAAGAAAAAUUCUAAGGGGAAGCAUUGUUCAAAAUAAUCCAAACUCGACAGAAACUAAUAGUACUGAACAACAGACAGCAGUUGGAUCUUCAAAUGUUCCGAUUACAGCUGAGGAUCCUACAGAAGUUCAAAGUAAUUUUUCAUUUAAUUUACAUGCGUGUUUCUGUUAUAGUUGAUUUAUUUUUCAAAUUCUUAUAUUAUAAUAUACCAUUUGUAGCUGAAAAUGGUGGGACGCGCAGAGGUCGAGGACGUACGCUACUUAGAGAGUUGUACGAGUUAGAUUCAGUCGAGCGUGUCAAAGUUGGACGAAACAGUUUUGGUCAGCCUGUUGGAUCAGAAGCUCGACUUUUAGCUGGAUACAUGGGCAUUUUAGCACGAAAUCCGAAUAUGUUACCUAUAAACUACGAGUCAUGGCAUCAAAUGCCCGAUAGCAACAAAAACCAAGCCCUCGAUAAUAUUAAGGUAACAAAAUGUUAAUGUCAUCUAUAAUGCUUGGGAAAUAGUUUCAUUUAUAUUUAUUUUAUUAACUUGUGUUUUUUGUUUUUUGCAGGCGAGGUUUGCUUUAGAGGUCUCGGAUGCUUAUGUAAAGAAGGCAUUGGGAAAAAGAUGGAGAGACAACAAAAGUACUUUGAAGAAAAAUUAUUAUAAGACAAAAACAACCCUCGAUGAGAAAUUGCAAAAUGUCCCGCUGGGUAUGUUGAGGUACCAAUGGGAAGAUGCGGUUAGAUUUUGGCAUUCGAAUAAAGGCGAGGUCUUCUAAACUAUUGUAAUUAUUUUGGUUUAUAGUAUUUUCUAUUUACGUACUAAAAAAUUUCAUAAUGUAGGAUCGUGAUCAAGUUGGAAUAAGCAGCAGGCAGAAACAAAAAUUCACCCACACAGCCGGGUCGAGAAGUUUCGCAUGUGUAGCUGAGGCGGAGGUAUUUUUAAAUUUUUUAAUAUUGUCGAAUAUGUAUAACUUUCUAUUAAAUAAUAUUUAUACUACUAUAUUGUAGGAACGGUCGUCCGGUCAAAAAGUUGGACGCCUUCAACUUUUUGAAAUUACACAUAGGAAGAAAGAUGGAUCUCCCAUGACUCCUGAAGCUGCUGAAAUAAUGGUACGUUUACUUAAUACGAUUUGACUUAUUUUAGUUAUUUAUAGUGUUUAUUUUCUAAUGGUUUAAUUCAUUGCAGUUAAUGCGACUAUUGUUAUGUUGCAUAUGUUUUUCAAUAUAUAAUAUUGUGUUCCUAACUAUGUGAUAUAUUUAUUAGGAAAAACUAAAUGAUAAAAAGGCGGAGUACGAAGCAAUUGCUUCUAGUGAUAGUUCGGUUCAUCUUGAAGAUAUUGAUAAUCGGAUUAUUACUGAAGUUUUGGGUCCUGAAAGGUAUGGUCGGGUUCGAUUUCAAGGAUCUUUUGUUAGCCCAACCCAAUAUUUUGGAUCCAGCUCCCACAAAUACAUGGCUUCGGGGAGUCAGGCUCAAGCUGAAGUUCAGAGGUUAAAAGACCAAAUGGCUCAGAUGCAAGCGACUACAAUUGAGGUUCAAAGGAAAUAUGAAGAACUCCAGCUACAACUUAAAGCAGAGGCGGAAGCGAGGGAAGCAGCGACUGCAGCGAGGGAAGCAGAGGCUGCAGCAAGAGAAGCAGAGCAGAGCAAAAAGUACGACGAACUUCAGCAGCAGCUUCAGAUUAUGAUGAAGAUGUUUAAGUCGCAACUUCCACCUUCAUAGUGUAUGACAUAAAUAUUUUUAUCAUUUUAACAUUUAACAUUUAACAUUUUUUGCAAAAACAAUAUGAAUUCACUUUUAUUUAUUGAUAUUAAUAUUAUUUUAUUCCCUUAUGUUGAAAUAUUAUAUAAAUUUAUUGCUAUUGGUUGCUUUUGAAAUGUUGCUUUUGAAUUUUUGCUACAGGAGGGCAGAAAAAAUGAAAAAUUUAAUAAAAAAAAAUCCCCAAAAUAGUGGCGUUUUUGUAUAAAAGCGCCACUAAAGAACAUGUUCUUUUGCGGCGUUUUUAAAAAAUGCCACUAAAGAACAUGUUCUUUAGCGGCGAUUAGAAAAAAAACGCCGCUAAAGAACAUGAUCUUUAGCGGCGUUUUCCCUUAAGCGCCGCUAAAGAACAUGUUCUUUAGCGACGUUUUUUCCUAAGCGCCGCUAAAGAACAUGGUCUUUAGCGGCGUUUUUUCCUAAGCGCCGCUAAAGAACAUGGUCUUUAGCGGCGUUUUUUCUAAGCGCCGCUAAAGAACAUGAUCUUUAGCGGCAUUUUUUUCUAAGCGCCGCUAAAGAACAUGGUAUUUAACGGCGUUUUUGUUUGUAAACGCUGCAAACAUUUGCGACGUUUUCGUUAGCGGCAUUUUUUUCCGGCGCUUGAAGAAGCGCCGCAAAUAUCUUUAGUGGCGUUAAAAAGCACCGCUAAAGGCCUAAAAAAACGCCGCUAAAAACCUGUUUUGGUGUAGUGUCCUAAAAUAAUAAAUUUAGUAGAUUAUAUGCAGAACUCGGUUAUAUCAGACUCAGUGCCAUGAACUUCACUAGCAAGCUUGCUAUCACAGCUGCAGCAUAAGCUAUUAACUGCUUAAUCACCAUUUUUCUUACAACACUCAAAGAUGAAGAAGAAGAUUCUAUAUUCAAUUUCUUAAUGUUAACCUUGCAUUUGCAUUUCCUCGAUAGGGUUUUUAUACCAAAUUUCAAGGAGAAUAAAACAAAAUAAUAAUAACUUUUUAGUUAAUUUGAUGGCAUAAUUGGAUAAGGUUUUUUUUGGGGGGGGCGAUUUUGCAACGAUAUAUACAGGUAGGUAGGCACAUUUUGUUUUGUUGAAUAACUAGUUAUAUGGUAUAAAAUAUUUGGCUCGUGGUCGAUUUUUAAUUUAUUUAAAACUCAACAUGCAUGAUUUAUAAGAAUGGAAUAUUAAAUAUGAUGAUAGGAUUAUUAAAAUAUUAAUUAUAUAAAGAAUUACAGAAGUACAUAAAAACCACUUUAAUUUUGUAAGUAUUUUGGCAAGGCAACAAUGGAAAGGGCUCUUGCGAUGAAAGAAGUGAUUAAGGGCUACGAAAGCAUGUCUGGACAGAUGGUGAAUUUUAACGAAUCCCUGAUUUAUUUUAGCAUAAAUACAAGUGAGGAAGACAAUGUGCAAAUUGGGAGUUAGAAUGUCUAAUAAUCCAGAGAAGUAUCUUGGGUUACUAACGAUGGUCAGAAGAACAAAGAAGAACGCAUUCGUCAAUUUAAAGGAAAGGUUCAUUAAUAUAAUAAAAGCAUGGAGUGUACGCAAUCUAUCAAUAGGGGGAAGGAGGUAUUUAUCAAAUCCACUUUACAAGUCAUUCCAAUUUAUGCAAUGCAGUGUUUUUUUAUGCCAAUUUCUUUAUGUUGAGAAUUAAGAGAUUAUGAUGUGCAAAUUCUAGAUACGCAAUUCGAAAACAAAUAAAGGAAUUCAUUGGUGCAAUUGGCGUUCUAUAUAUAUGUACCCCAAAGGCACAAGGGGGAAUUGGUUUUAGAGAUCUUUCAAUUUUUAAUAAAACCCUUUUAGCGAAGUAGGGUUGGAAACUAAUUACCAAUUCUACCAGUUUACUUGCACGAGUAAUGAAAGGUAAGUAUUAUCCAAGGAGUGAGUUUAUGAAUGCAGGUUUAGGAUAUCACCCUUCUUUUACCUAGCGAAGCAUUUGGGGUGCUCGUAGCAUUUUGGAAGAUGGUACUGGCUGGAGAAUUGGGAAUGGCAUGACAAUGAAUAUAUAGAAGAUGCUUGGAUUCCAGGACCUGGAGACAGAAAGGUAAAAAUUAAGAAUAUUGACAUUAGAUGCUCGAAGGUUGCAGACGUCAUUAAUAGUGAAACUAAUACCUGGAAAAUGGAUCCAGUAGAAAGAUUGUUCAUGAAGAAGCAAGCCGAGUUGAUUUUAACCAUCCCACUGGUGAACAACUCUUAUCAAAUGCUUUAAUCUUAAAGGGUGAUAAUACGGGAGAAUACUCGGUCAAAAGCAAGUACAAGUGGUGCAUUUCUGGUGGCCAAGACGGGACAGAGGACGAUAAUAAUUUACAAGACAUUGCUACAAAAAAAACUAUUACACAAAGCUCUGGAACCUCAAAAUUCCAAACAAAAUCAUAAUACGCCUAUGGAAGGUUUCUAAAUAAUUUUCUUCCUUUGCUAAGUAAUCUAAAGUAUCGAAGACUAAGGGAGGAGGCCCUCUACUCGAUCUGUAAGAAGGAAGACGAAAUGGUGGACCAUCUCUUUCGAGACUAUGCUUUUAUGAAACAAGUGCUUCAGGAGAUAGGAAUGGUACCCUUGCACACAAACACAAAUCAAGGAUGGAAAAUUUGGUUUGUGUAUGUUUUCGGAAACUGUAACAUUUUGCAAAACAUAAACAUAACCAUUGCAUAUUAGGCCAUUUGGCAUAAUAGAAACAAGUUAUAUCAUGAAGGUAAAAGAGAAAGAGUAUGUGAAGUUGUCAGUUUCAUUAAGGCAUACAUUGUCGAGUUAAAACAGUUAAGAGGAAAUCUCACUGAUCCGAAAUAAUAUUGAAGAAAUACAGUGGAAACCUCCAAAGGGAGAUCAAAUGAAAGUUAAUUUUGAUGCCUCUUUCCAACAGCAGUGUUGGUGCAAGAGGCAGCAGCAAGCUUGUUUCUACUUUGCUUGGACAGCAAGUGUCGAGCCUUGCUGAAGAAACUAUCGAAGAAGAAAGGAAGAAAAAAAAGAAAUUUGCAAUGGAAAACAGAAAAGAAAGAGAUAAAUUUGAAUGAAAAUGAGUUGAAUUUUCAUUAACCACUUCACAAGGCAUAAUGCCAAUACAUAUAUGAGAUAACAACAGCAAAACAAACAAGUUACCACCUAAUAACAUACCUAACACCACUAAAUUGCCUAGUAACUUGGUAAACUUGUUUGAACAUAUAAGCAACUACCUAAACUUGUCAUUCAGGACCUAAUUACAUCAAAAUGCAGCUACCAACUAAGUUCAAAACAAACUAAAAUACAAAAUGUUCAUUUGAGUAACCAAAUGAAACAAUGCAGUUUCGGUUUGAUGUUGAAGCACGUUCCCUGCAUGCCCACCUUGCAUGGCCACCUUGGCUGCUGCAUGGGGGCUGACUUCAACACUCCUCCUCAGCUUCUAUGCAGUAGACUCCUAGUUGCUUCCUUAGGUUUAGAAAUCUCGAUGUACCAAGUGAUUUUGUGAAGAUAUCGGUAAUCUGAUUUUCUGAGCUGCAAUGAAUCAGCUCGAUCUCUCAAGCUUGUUCCAUUUCUCUUAUCACAUGCAGUUUAAUGUUGAAAUGUUUUGUCCUGCCAUGGAAGAUAGAAUUUUUAGCAAUAGCAACUGCUGACUUGUUGUCAUAAUGUAUCACAGCUGCUUCAUUCUGCUGUAGGUUCAAAUCGCUCAAAAUUUUUCUCAGCCACAUAGCUUGAUUAAGAGCAUUGGCAGCUGCUACAUACUCAGCUUCAGCUGUCGACUGAGCCACCAUUGUUUGUUUUCUUGAACUCCAACAAAUCAUAGCUGAGCCAAGUGUAAAAGAAUAACCAGAGGUGCUCUUCAUGUCAUCUUUUGAACCAGCCCAAUCGCUGUCAGUGUAGCCAAUCAGUUUCAAUUCUUUAGCCCUACUGAAAUGUAUUCCAUGGCUCAAAGUGCCUUUGAUAUAUCUCAGCACCCGUUUUCUAGCUUUGUAAUGCUGCUGGUUGCAGCAAUGCAUGAAUCUUGAUAGCAUGCUCAUAGCAAACAGAAUAUCAGGUCUUGUUGCUGUCAGAUACAGCAAACAACCAACAAGGCUUCUGUAAUCAGUUUCACAGACAGAUUCAUGGUCUUCUUGGCUCGAUAGCUUCAUGCCAACAGCCAUAGGUGUGCUGGUUGGUUUACAAUUCUCUAUUGAGAAUUUGGCUAGAACUUUCAAGGCAAAUGAUUUUUGUCUCAAGAAGAUUCCUCCUUCUACUUGAUUUACUUCCAUUCCUAGGAAAUAUGUCAUCAAUCCCAGGUCUGACAUCUCAAACAUUUCCUUCAUUUUUGUUUUGAAAUCAGCUAACAUGAACUUGUCUCCUCCAGUCACUAGAAGAUCAUCAACAUAGAGUGAGACAAUGAGCUAUGUUUCAGCUCGAUUUCUUUUAACAUAAAGUGUUGGCUCACUAGCACUCCUUUAAAAUCCCAAACUGACCAGGUAUGAGUCAAUCCGAGCAUACCAGGCUCGAGGGGCUUGUUUUAGGCCAUACAAGGCCUUUCUUAGCCUAUACACCAAAUGUUCCUUACCAGGCAUUAUGAAUCCUAGAGGUUGCUCGAUGUAUAUCUCUUCUUCCAAGAAUCCAUUGAGGAAUGCAGACUUGACAUCCAUUUGAUGGAUUGUCCACUGGUUCUGAGCAGCUACAGCAACCAGCAAUCUGAUUGUAUCGAGUCUGGCUACUGGAGCAAAUGUUUCCAUGUAGUCCAGACCAUAUCUCUGACUAAAGCCCUUCACAACUAGCAUGGCUUUCUACUUGUUUAAACCUCCAUCUACAUUAUGCUUCAUUCGAUAGACCCAUUUUACACCAAUGGUCUUUAUGUUAGUUGGCUUUUCAACCAACUCUCAUGUUUGGUUCUUCUCAAUCAUGUUGAUUUCAUCAACCAUAGCCUGUUUCCAACCCUCAUUUGCCUUAGCCUCUUCAAAAUAGGUAGGUUCAGCUAUAGCAACCUGUGCCCUUUCAUAAAUCUCACCUAGGGGCCUUGUGCCUCUCACAGGCACAUCAUCAACAUCCAUCUCAGGACCAAGCUGCUCGAGUUCAGCUUGAUCAGGCACCAGGUCUUUUGAAGCAGCUUCUGGUUCACUCUUUUCCCAAUUCUAGCAAGCUUUUUCAUAAAAAAUGACAUCUGUGCUCACCUGGACUGUGCUUGUCAAGGGAUCCAAAACCCUGUAGCCCUUCUUGACUGAGCUAUAACCCACUAGGACACCUGGUUGAGCCCUUUCAGAUAGCUUAUCCCUCUUUGCUGCUGGUAUUUGUGCAUAGCACAGGCAACCAAACACCUUCAGAUAUGCCAAGGAAGGCUUGAAUCUAAACCAAGCCUCGAAAGGUGUCUUGGAUGCAAGAGCUUUGGUAGGAAGCCUAUUCUGAAGGUAGACAGCAGUGUUUACUGCCUCAGCCCACAUGGUCUUGGGAAAUUUCUUCUCAAACAGGAGACAUCUGGCCAUAUCCAUCAGACUUCUGUUCUUUCUUUUAGCUACCCUAUUCUGCUGAGGUGUGUAGACAUUUGUAAGCUGGUGUUUGAUGCUAGCAUCAUUGCAAAUAGCUUGAAACUGAGCUGAAGUGUACUCAGUGCCAUUGUCUGACCUUAUCGAUUUCAGCUUGCAACCUGUUUCUGUCUCAACAGCCAUUUUAAACUUCACAAACACUUGAGCUACCUCAAACUUGUGUUUCAGAAAGAAAAUCUAGCAAAACCUUGUAAAAUCAUCAAUAAAGAGAAUGAAAUACCUAUUUUUGCUGAGUGAUUCAGUUCUCAUAGGUCCACAUACAUCAGAGUGCACCAGCUGCAGUCUUUCAGUGGCUCUCCAUACUGAGUUUGUAGGAAAUGGCAGCCUUGCCUGUUUUCCCAUUUGGCACACUUCACACACAUCAUCAUGCUCCAUUGAGCUGGUGAAGUUCUCUACCAAGCCUUCUUUGGCCAUUCGAGCCAUUGAUCUGAAGUUGGCAUGCCCGAACCUUUGAUGCCAAAGGUUAGAAUCAUCAACAGAGGCUGUGUAUGCUAACUUUAAGUCAUUUGGCCAAUGAACCUCAAAGCAUUUGUCAGUCAUUAUGACUGUCAUAAGGCUUGAUCCACUUGGAUCAGUAAUGUGGCACUGUUUUUCAUUGAACACAAUAGAGUAGCCUUUCUCGAGCAAUUGAGCUAUGCUGAGAAGGUUUCUAUCAAUCUCAGGCACCAAUAGCACAUUUGGAAUGAUCUUGUUGCCUGUAGGAGUACAUAUCAGCACCUCUCCUCUUCCUUCAGCCCUUAUGAAUUGACCAUUUCCAACCUUGGCCUUGGUUUUGCAACUUCUAUCCAAGGUUUUAAACAAGGAGGCAUCUGGUGACAUGUGGUUAGUGCAGCCACUGUCCAAUAACCAGUCUUUUGAACAUUUCUUCUCAGCAGCUAAGCAAGAAACAGCAAAGACCUGCUCUUCUUGGUCACUACUGUCCUCAGCUACUCGAGCUUCAACCUUUGGUUGUUGAAAUUGACUCUGCCUCGGCUUGGUUUUGUUUUUGCAAACCCUUUCAACAUGGCCUUUCUUCUUGCAGUGUUGACAUACUGCAUCUAGCCUGAACCAGCAUCUGUCUUCUUGAUGACCUGGCCUCUUGCAAGGUCUGCAGGGCUGGUCAUUGCUCCUUGCAGCAUCAGGCUUAGGCCUGCUUUUCUAAGGCUUUUUGCCUCUUUGAGCAUUGAUGCUCGACACUUCUCUGGCCUUGGCAUGAAAUGCACCUUCCUGGUGAUCUUCAGCUCUGCUAGCUCUUCUUUGUUCCUGAGCAUAAAAAGUGUUAAUAAGCUCGGUCAAAGAGAUGCUAGCUAGGUCUCUUGAAUCCUCUAGGGAGGAUAUCUUGGCCUCAUAUCUCUCAGGCAAACUGGAGAGGACUUUCUCCACUAUUCUUGCCUCAUCAAAGUGCUUACCAAAGAGCCUUAUAUUGUUAACCACUACCAUGAUUCUAUCUGCAUACUGCUUCACUGUUUCUUCUUCCUUCAUCUUCAGAUUCUCAAAAUCCCUUCUCAAAUUCAACAGCUGUUGUUGCCUUGUCCUCUCAGUGCCUUGAAACUCCUCCUUAAGCUUGUCUUAGGCCUGUUUUGGAGUCUCACAGGCCAUAAUUCUGGUAAAGAUGACAUCUGACACAUAGUUCUGAAUGUAGGACAUGGCUUUGUGCCUUUUGGUCCUCUCAUCAGCAUGUUGCCUGAUCUGAGCUACUGUGGGAUUGGCCCUCAGUGGUGCUGGCUCAACAUCUGUGUUGACAACUUCCCACAGAUCAAAGGCCUGUUGGUAAGUCUUCAUCUUUACCAGCCAUAUGUGAAAGCCUUCUCCAUUGAAGACUGGUGGGGUUGCUGGUGAAAAUCCUAAAGAAGCCAUCAGGUUCCUUGGUUUGAAGCAACAGGUCCACUAAGACAAGGGCUCUAGAUACCAAUUGUUGGUGCAAGAGGCAGCAACAAGCUUGUUUCUGCUUUUCUUGGACAGCAAGUGUCGAGCAUUGCUGAAGAAACUAUCGAAGAAGAAAGGAAGAAAAAAAAAGAAAUUUGUAUUGGAAAACAGAAAAGAAAGAGAUAAAUUUGAAUGAAAAUGAGUUGAAUUUUCAUUAACCACUUCACAAGGCGUAAUGCCAAUACAUAUAUGAGAUAACAACAGCAAAACAAACAAGUUACCACCUAAUAACAUACCUAACACCACUAAAUUGCCUAGUAACUUGGUAAACUUGUUUGAACACAUAAGCAACUACCUAAACUUGUCAUUCAGCACCUAAUUACAUCAAAAUGCAGCUACCAACUAAGUUUAAAACAAACUAAAAUACAAAAUGUUCAUUUGAGUAACCAAAUGAAACAAUGCAGUUUCGGUUUGAUGUUGAAGCACGUUCCCUGCAUGGCCACCUUGCAUAGCCACCUUGGCUGCUGCAUGAGGGCUGACUUCAACAAGCAGACUCACAAAUCUAUUUUAGGAUUGGUUAUGGGCUCAUGCAUUUACCCGAUUAAAAAUUUCUAAGACCCAACAACAGAAGAAGCACAUUCAUGUUUAGAAGCAGUUAUCUUUGCGGAAGAAAUGGGCUUUGGAGAUGUUUGUAUAGAAGGCAAUGCACUCACAGUCCUAAAAAGAAUCAAAAAAUCAGAGAUUGAUAGAUCAGUUAUAGGCAACAUUAUUAUUGAGAUUACGGAUAGAGUAACCAGGUUUUGAAUUUUUACCUCUCGAUACGUCCUGCGAGCGGCAAAUAGAGCAACACGCGGAAUGGCAGCUUGGGGAACACGGCAUGAAAGGCCGAUCUACUAGGUAGAAGACGUUCCACUGGACGUUGAAGCCAUAGUCACAAAGGAGCAACGAUAGUAAGAGAAGAUUUUUUUUCAUUCUGAGUCUGGAGUGUUUGUUUUCAGUUUUGAAAACUCCAAGGAGCUCAGAAAUCUGCGGAGUUGGGAUGAAAUAAGAGACAUUUGUGAAACGGGUGAGGGUUUCAACUCCCACAGAGGAAUUCCUCCAGUGUGUCGGGAGUGGAUGAUUUUGCAGGGAAGAUUUAGAGGUGCUCAUAGGCCGGGCCGAGCCGGGCCCAUAAAAAAUUUUGGCCCAGGCCCGGCCCGACCCGAAAUAUGGGCCUAAAAUUUUACCUAGGCUCGGCCCGGGAAAAAAUUAUAAGCCCGGGACCGGCCUGGUGUUGACACCAUUUUUUGGAUGAAAACGGGGUCGACUUGGAUUUUGGAAAAAAAAGAAUGAAAAUGGGAGUCGCCACCAAUCCUUUUUUGAAGAGGUGUGAUUGGGUCACCUCAAAAGGUGGUUGUUUUUAAUAAAUGAUUUAAUUUUAUUAAAACAACGAUUUUGGUCUACGAAAUUCAGAAAAAUGAGUUCGGGAGUCGGUUACGCACGAGGAAGGAUUAGCACCCUCGAUACGCCCAAAAUUGGUACCUAGUUGAUUAAUUAGUGUCUUAGUGUCGAAAAUUUGAAAACUUGAAAGAAUUUAAAAUACGAUCCCUCUUUGUAAAGAAAAUGCUCAAAUGUUAAGGACCUUCUCGUCUCACAAUAUAAAAUGUCACAUCCAGUAAGUUAGGACACGACAUCUUGAAUUUUCGAGAACGAGCUUGCCUUUUAUAUAAAAAUUCGUGUAUUUCAAAAGGUUAUUCAGUUAGUUAAGGUGAACGAGGAAAAUCGAAACCCAGUAAGUUAGGGCACGUUUCCUCGAAUUCCCAAACACCGAAUAUUGCCUUUACUUGCAAAAAUCUUAUUUCGAGGUAACGAAAUGCCAUACCCAGUAAGUUAGGGAACAACACCUCGUAUCUCCGAGAAUAAGCAUUUUUCAAAACUCAUGUCACGAUUUAAAAGAGUAUUCCGUUAUUUAGGUUAAAGGAGAAAAAUUGAAACCCAAUAAGUUAGGGCACGAUUGUCUCGAAUUACCAAAUACGGAAUAUUACUUUUAUGAAAGAAUUAUUAUUGGGUUGGAUAUAAUGAUAAUAAGAAUAAUAUUAAAGUAAAGUAAACAAUAAUACUAUAUAUAAAUGUAUAUAUAUGUAUAUAAUAGAAAUACACACUACUAUAUAAUAAUAAUAAAUAUAGAAAUACUAAAAGCAAAUAUAAUAAAAAUAUUAAAUUAAAGUAAUAAAAAAUAAUACUAUAUAUAAAAUAUAUAUACAUAAAAAUAUACACUAAUAUAUAAUAGUAAUAGUGAUAGCAAAAAUAAUAAAAAUAUAAGUAAUAUUAAUAAUAUAUUAGAAUACAAAAGUAAAGUAAUAACAAUAGGAGUGAUAAUAAUAAUAAUACAAACAAUAAUACAUAUAUAUAAUAAUAGUAGUUAGAAAUAAAAAAUAAUAAAAGUAACAAUAAUGAUAGUAAUAAUAUAAAUAAAUAUGGAGAGGGCAUAUAUAAUAUAAUAAUAUAAAAAAAAUAAUAUAUACAUGAGAAAUAAUAAUAAUAAUAUAAAUAAUAGUAAAAAUAAUAAAAUAAUAAAACAAAGCUCUCAACUCUCUUUCUCCCUCUUUUCUAAAUCCGGCCGUUGGUCCGGCUUUGCUUCGGUCAUGGACCCCCACGGGCCGCCAUCGGCGCCACCGUACACGGCGGCCGGACCUCAAAAAAACCUUUUUCGAUAAUGAAAAUAUAGGUAAGCUUCUUACUUUUAUUUUUACUUUCGUAUAAAAAAACAAAAUAAAAUUGAAAGGAAAACAAUAAACAAACAAAGAACUAAAGAUAAGAAUAGACAAAAGAAACCUCUUUUGCUUUGAUCUUUGAUUAAUCUCCAAAAACUAGCCUUUCCAAGAAACAAAAAUAACCUUUUUUACAAAAAAACACCUCCAAAAAACAAAAAAAACCUCCUCCAAAACAAAGAACAAUCCUUCUCCAAAAAACCAAAAACCCACCCCUAAAAACAAAGUCUUGAAUGGCUUUUAUAGCCAAAUUUUACAAGUGGAGUGGUUGGGGUGGUUUAGGUGGCCAAGGGUGGUGGAGUUGGUGGCUAAGGUGGGUGGCCAACAAAGGUGGUGGAGUAGGUGGCCAAGGUUUUUAUUUAUUUAUUUAUUUAUUUUUUGUGUUUGGGUUGGGAUUAGGUUGGGCCAAAUUGGGUUUGGUUAGGGUUGGUUUAAGUUGGGCCAAAAUUGAGCCUUUACAGCUGCCCCUCUUUGCUCAUUUUCGUGUAACGAGAAUAGAGCAAAGACAUCAAAAGGGCCAAUUUUGCCCGGUCUUGCCGAGUCUUGACUUUUUGGUGCUCAUCUUCUUCCAGUAGCCUUAUUCCAGUCUGCUACGUCUUGUUGCUUCGAUCCACUCUACUGCAACUUCAGAUACGCCUUGUAGCUUCAAUCUACUCUGCUACGACUCCAUGGGGAUGAGAUUUGUGUUUUUAGUCUGCUCCACUACUACUUAGGGAGAUAAGACUUGAUGCGAUCUGCUUCACUAUUUCUUAGGGAAAUAAGAUCUGUGGUUUUAUCUGCUCCACUACUGCUUAGGGAGAUAAGACUUAAUGCGAUCUACUCCACUACUGCUUAGGGAGAUAAGAUUGUAAUCUUCGAUCUAUUCCACUGUUGCCCAAGGAGAUAGAACUACUGGCUUUAAUGUACUCCACUGUAAUCGGAGAGGUAAAAUCCGCCAUCUUCGACCUGCAAUCUAUUCCACUGCUAAAUACAGGGAAAUAGAGUCUGUUUUCAAUCCACUUCCUACCAAUAUAGGAAGGCAGGAUCUACAAUCUUCAAUCUAUUCCACUGCCAGAUACAGGGAGAUAGAGUUAUCGGCUUCAAUGUACUCCACUGUAGUCACAGGGAGGUAAAAUCUGCCAUCUUCGAUCUGCUUCACUGCCUAAUACAGGAAGGCAAGAUCUGCAAUCUUCAAUCUAUUCCACUGCCAGAUACAGUGAGAUAGAGUUAUCGGCUUCAAUGUACUCCACUGUGGUCAGGGAGGUAAAAUCUGCCAUCUUUGAUCUGCUUCGCUGCCAAAUACAGGAAGGCAAGAUCUGCAAUCUUCAAUCUACUUCACCACCAGUAUGGGAAGACAAGAUCUGCAUCUUGGAUCCACUUCCUAUCAAUAUAGGAAGAUAGGACCUGCUAUCUUCGAUCUACUUCACGCCAAUACAUGAAGGCAAGAUCUGCUUUCUGCGAUCUACUUCGCCACCAAUAUGGGAAGACAAGAUCUGCAUAUUGGAUCCACUUCCUAUCAAUAUAGGAAGAUAGGACCUGCUAUCUUCGAUCUACUUCACACCAAUACAUGAAGACAAGAUCUGCUUUCUGCGAUCUACUUCGCCACCAAUAUGGGAAGACAAGAUCUGCAUCUUCGAUCCACUUCCUACCAAUAUAGAAAGAUAGGAUCUGCUACCUUCGAUCUACUUCACGCCAAUACAUGAAGACAAGAUCUGCUUUCUGCGAUCUACUUCGCCACCAAUAUGGGAAGACAAGCUCUGCAUCCUGGAUCCACUUCCUAUCAAUAUAGGAAGAUAGGACCUGCUAUCUUCGAUCUGCUUCACGCCAAUACAUGAAGACAAGAUCUACUUUAAUGACUUCAAUCCCUCCCAUUGCAACUUCAAGGGUAUAGGAUCUGUUUCUUUGAUCUGUUCUCUGGGGAAUAUGACCUGUAAAAUCCAUUUUAUGGACCUAUUUAUGCCUAGUGUUUAGGAUGGCAUGAUCAGAAUGAAUCAAAUGCUUCUAACUAGAUGUGUAUGAAUGAAUGCAGAAUGUCAUGAGAAUGAUCCAUUUUUAAUGUUUGAGUUGUCAUUGCUCAUGUUUUAUCACUGACGUGUUACAACGCCUUCUUGCUCGGCUGGCAUAUCCAAAGAAACACUUAGUCAGAUUGCCCCCACUGCGAACGUCAAAGUUUAAUCCACUGGGACAUAAAAUUUGUACCAUCAAUCUCCCACCGUAAACUAAGGGUAGAAGGAUAUGGCUUUUUCUCGAUCCUCUACUAUCACAAUUCAAGGAUACAGAAUGUGAAACUCUUUGAUCUCCUACACCAUUCCCAAGGUGUCAUACCAAAUGUUUAUGUACAAAUGCAAAAUUUCCUUCUCCGAGAAAACCUUUUCUUAUUACUUGGUGAACAUCGCUUGUUUGUUCAUUGAAGCUUUGCCACCAACACGACAUCUUGUCAAUGUUUGGACAACAAAAUUUGAAAGGAUAGUCCCGACUUGGACUCUUCCUUUUUGGACACUUUGAAUUUGGUGUGCUCUAAACAACAGUCCUGUUUCAGGCUCCUUCAUUAUUUAGAAAUUUCUAGAGUAAUAUGCAAAACUCCAAUUGCUUGAACAUUCAGUUUAUUAAUAGUUAUUCUAAAUGUUUUUCGAGAAGGUUACCACAACGAACAAACAAAUGUUAUUAAGAACAAAUCUCGAGAUGAAUGAGUUAAUCGAGAUAGCAAAUUUUGCUAAGGUAAAAAAUGAAAUAAGACAAUAGACAAGAAUGAAAUUUUAUUGGGGAGCAAAGCUUGAACUGAAUACAAUAAUCAAGACAACAAGUUUUGCCAAGAUUCAAAGUAUAAGAUGACAACAGGUGCCCCAGAUAUCACAGCACGAGCUUCCCUGCACAAGUUUUCUAAAGACCAUUUAAUAUGUGUUUGGAAUCUACAGUAUUUUGUCGAUACCCCAAGAUGUCACCUACUCCUUCUUGCGAUUCAGGUGUAGUAAGACCACCACAUGCCUCAGAUCCUGCUCAAAAAUUCGAGCCGUACCUCACGCUUCAAAAUUCGAGCCGCCUUUUUCAGGUUUUCAACUCAAAUCCCCUUUGGUCUCAAGGUGCCUUUUGCGGGUUUUCACCUUGGCCUCUCCCAUUUUUUUUUUUUUUAAGAAUGCCCCCUUUUUAAGUGAAAUACUUCUUGACUGAGUCUGAAUUUACAGGAUUUGACAGGCUUUUACCAUCCAUUUCGCUCAGGAUUAAAGCUCCUCUUGAAAAGGCCUUUUUUACCACAUAAGGACCUUCCCAAUUUGGCAUCCACUUUCCUCUAAAAUCCUUUUGUAGAGGAAGAAUCUUUUUCAGCACCAGGUCCCCCUCGUAAAAUUCUCUGGGACAAACUUUUUUGUUGUAAGCUCGCAUCAUUCGUUUCUGAUACAUCUGACCAUGACGAAUAUCUUUUAACCUCUUUUCUUCUACCAAGUUUAACUGGUCAUAUCUGGAUUGAAUCCAUUCAGCCUCAUCCAACUUUAGUUCAGUUAAUACUCGGAGAGAAGGAAUUUCAACUUCUAUGGGUAAAACUGCUUCCAUCCCAUAGACUAAAGAAAAUGGUGUUGCCCCGGUAGAGGUUCUAACAGAAGUACGAUAUGCCAGGAGAGCAAAAGGUAAUUUCUCGUGCCAAUCUUUGUAGGUUUCAGUCAUUUUUCCUAUAAUUUUCUUGAUGUUUUUGUUAGCUGCUUCCACGGCACCAUUCAUUUUUGGACGGUACGGUGACGAAUUGUGGUGUCUGAUCUUGAACUGACUACAAACUUCCGCUAUUGAGUUGUUGUUUAAGUUCAGCGCAUUAUCGGAUAUGAUCCUUUCAGGCAUCCCGUAUCGACAUAUGAUCUCUUUUUUCAGAAACUUGCUAACUGCCGACUUCGUGACAUUUGCAUAUGAAGCCGCCUCCACCCAUUUAGUGAAGUAAUCAAUAACCACAAAGAUAAAACGAUGCCCAUUGGAAGCUUUUGGAGAUAUUGGCCCGAUAACGUCCAUUCCCCACAUGGAGAAAGGCCAUGGAGAAACCAUAACAUGAAGGGGUGAAGGUGGUGCGUGCAUUUUGUCACCAUAAAUUUGACAUUUAUGGCACCUCUUGGCAUAAUUAAUGUAAUCCCCUUCCAUGGUGGACCAAUAGUACCCAAAUCUCAUAAUUUGUCUGGUCAUCGUGAAGCCAUUGGCAUGCGUUCCGCAGAUACCUUCAUGCACUUCUUCCAAAAUUUCCUUUGCCUCAACAGCAUCCACACACCUUAACAGUACUUGAUCUUUUCCUUUUUUAUACAAAAUUUCCCCAUCAAGGACAUAGUCAAUGGCUAAUCUCCUUAAUGUCUUCUUAUCAUUUUCUAUCGCAUGGUCAGGGUACUCGCGACUCUUCACAUAUCGCAAUAUGUCAUGGUACCAAGGGUGAUCAUCCUUUCCCUCUUCAUUGUCAAUGUGCAACAAUGGGCUGGAACCUCAUAGAUGCUGAUCUGGAUAGGCUUCAUAUAUUCUAAUUUGUUCACUUUAAACAUGGAGGCUAAAGUGGCCAAAGCAUCUGCCAUCUGAUUUUCAUCUCGUGGGAGGUAACUAAAGGUGACACUAUCAAAUUCCUCGAUCAAUUCCAUAACCAAUUUUCGAUAGCGAACCAACUUCGGGUCUCUUGUUUCCCAUUCCCCCUUGAGCUGGUAAAUUACUAAUGCAGAGUCCCCGUAUACCUCUAGCACCUUAAUUUUCCGCUUUAUGGCUGCCCGAAUGCCCAUAAUGCAAGCUUCAUACUCAGCCAUAUUAUUUGUGCAGUCAAAGUCCAAUUUGCUAGUGAAAGGAUAAUAAUCUCCACUAGGGGACACGAGUACUGCCCCAAUUCCGUUGCCUAUAGCAUUUGAAGCUCCGUCAAAACUCAACUUCCAAGGACCACCUUCUUGGAAAUCUUUCUUUACGGUUGCGGCAUACAUCAAAUCCUCAUUUGGGAAAUCGAAGUUCAAUGGCUCAUAAUCAUCGAGAGCCCUACUUGCUAGGAAUUCCGCUAUUGCACUCCCUUUGACCGCCUUCUGGUUCACAUAGACUACGUCAAAUUUAGAUAGAAGAAUUUUCCAUCGAGCCAUUCUUCCAUUCAGAGCGGCUGACUCCAUCAAGUAUUUCAGAGGGUCUAAUUUGGAGAUUAACCAGGUCGUAUAGUACAACAUGUACUGUCUCAGUCUCCGAGUUGUCCAAAUUAAAGCACAACAUAAUUUCUCGAUUGGCGAAUAUCUUAUUUCGCAUUCGGUGAACUUCUUACUGAGAUAGUAGAUCGCUCUUUCCUUUCGUCCUGAUUCGUCAUGUUGACCAAGCACGCAUCCCAUGGAAUUUUCAAAUACUGCCAAAUACAGUAUGAGCGGUUUGUCUGGGCAGGGUGGCAUCAGUACUGGGGCGUUGGAUAAGUAAUGUUUGACUUUUUCAAAAGUUUUUUGACAUUCCUCAUCCCAUACACCUGGAUUAUGUUUCUUGAGGAGGCGAAAUAUGGGGUCGCAUUUCUCAGUUAGCUGUGAGAUGAACCGAGCAAUAUAGUUCAGCCUUCCUAGAAAACCUCGAACCUCCUUUUGAGUACGCGGCGGGGGUAAUUCUUGUAUUGCUCUUACUUUGUCAGGAUCAAUCUCAAUUCCUCUUUCACUGACCACGAAUCCAAGUAAUUUUCCUGAUCUGACCCCGAAUGUGCAUUUUGCUGGAUUUAGCUUUAGCUGAAAUUUCCUCAAUCUCGUAAAUAAUUUCUUAAGGACCUGCACAUGUUCCUUUUCUGUUUUAGAUUUUGCAAUCAUGUCAUCAACAUAGACUUCUAACUCCUUAUGCAUCAUGUCAUGGAACAGUGUUCCAUGGCCCUCUGAUACGUUGCCCCUGCAUUUUUCAACCAAAAUGGCAUCACCUUAUAACAAAAAGUUCCCCAUAGGGUUAUGAACAUAGUUUUCCUCAUAUCCUCGGGAUGCAUCUUAAUUUGGUUAUAUCCCGAGAAGCCAUCCAUGAAAGAAAACAGUGAAUGUCCUGCUGUAUUGUCUACCAAGGCGUCGAUAUGCGGCAAGGGAAAGUUAUCUUUUGGGAUAGCCUUAUUUAGAUCUCUAUAAUCCACACACAUUCGUACCUUCCCAUCUUUCUUAGGGACAGGAACAAUGUUAGCUACCCACUCGGAGUAUUUGACCACCUUCAGGAACCCAGCGUCAAAUUGCUUUUGCACCUCUUCUUUUAUUUUUAACACGAUAUCAGGCCUUAUUCUUCGGAGUUUUUGCUGAACUGGUUUGCAAUCCUCCUUUAUAGGAAGUCGGUGAACCACGAUGUCAAUACUUAACCCCGGCAUAUCUUGGUAUGACCAUGCGAAGACAUCUUUGAACUCUCGCAGCAAUUCAAUGAGGUAUUGUUUUACUUCUUCAGCUAUGCGGAUACCAAUCUUUAACACCUUUCCCUCUUCCAAGAUCACUGUCUCUAUCGUCUCUUCGUGGGGUAGAAUCUGUUUCUCUUCCUGCUCUACCAUUCUCAACAAGUCCGGAGAUAGGUUGCAAUCUGUGUUAUCUUCAAAAUCUUGAGAUUCCUCUGGACACAUAUCUCGUUCAAAAAGAUUUUCUAAGUCCAUAGUAGAGUCACUCAUAUCAUUGAUAUCUUGGGACCUGUUAUAGGUAUCAAAGAAUGUACAGGGAAUGUAUGAAUUUAAGGAUUCUUAUUUAGUAUGACCAUGAAUGUAUGAAAAAAAGAAUUUGAAAAGAAUAUAUACUCAAAAUGCGAAGAUAUAUUUCAUUGAAAUCACAAUGUCCACAUAUAAGCCUAUUUCAGUUCACAAAAGUUUUCAUUUUCUCUAGGCUUAGAAUAAUUAAUGUUUUGAAUAUUACUCUGGAAAAGCUCUAAAAACUUCAGGCAUUUCUUCCGCAGUCCAAUUGUUUAAAACACUCCCAGGUUCAACGGGAUAGAUGCCUGACGUACUUCCUCCUUCAAAUUCUUCUUCACAUAUGGCAUUGAUGCUUAAGUUUCUUAACAUUUCCUCUGCGGUCUUCUUUCUUGGAGCCCUCAGUUCAGAAUACAUAGUUCCUCCCGACAUGAAUGUCCUGGAUAUGUGGGGGAAAGCCAUAGGUUCCCAGUCGACUUCUUUUCCGUUCAAACGCGCCUUCCUUCUAUCUUGUCUCUUUUCUAACUCUUUCCUUCUCUGUUUGGUAUUUGGUUUAAAUCCUAAACCAAAACGAUCUUGUUUGUAUUUCACUACUGGUGCCCCCAUCCUUCCCUGAAGGCAUCUUCCAAGUCCUCUUCCAGGCACAGCUCCUUUCCCAACUGUCGCUUGUAAUCCCAUCCUUGUGGCUUUAGACAUGCUGGGCGUCGGAAUCUUCUUUCCCCCUAUGACAAAGGUUGCAUUUACGAACUCCAAAGAUCGAAAAGAACAUUCAACUGCCUCGUCGUCUAUUCCCAAAUAUGGUGUAUCAUUGGUUACCAAUGCAAUGAUAUCUUCCUCGGCGUCAAUUGUAAUUAACCGGCCUUCUAUUACCAAUUUUAACUUCUGGUGCAAUGAUGAAGGCACCGCCCCUGCCGAAUGAAUCCAGGGUCUUCCUAAUAAGCAAUUAUAUGACGGCUUGAUAUCCAUCACUAGGAAGUCCACAUCGUAUGUAUUUGGGCCAAUUAAAAGAGGUACUUCUAUUCUUCCUAUCACCUUUCUUUCGGUACCAUCAAAUGCUCUCACUAUAUUUUGGCAUGAUCUCAUGUGAGAGUUAUCCACCGGUAACCUACUUAAGGUAGAUAGGGGUAAAACAUUCAAGGCUGAUCCAUUGUCAAUUAGCACUCCAGCUAACAUAUACUCCCCGCAACGAGCAGUGAUGUGUAAUGCUUUGGUAGAUCCUCUUCCCCCUGGCGGUAUUUCAUCAUCAUUAAAAAAGAUGAAAUUAUUGGCAUUGAUAUUAUUAACCAAGCGGUCUAACUUAUUCACCGAGAUAUCUUUAGUGACAUAAGUUUCAUUUAGCACCUUAAUCAACGCAUUACGAUGUAUCUCUGAACUUAUAAGCAACUCAAGUACGGAGAUACGAGCCGGUUGCUUAUGUAAUUGUUCUACCACGCUGUACUCGCUAUGUUUCAAGAAUUUUAGAAAUUCAUUGGCUUGAUUUUCAGUUACCGGCUGAUUGACACUCGAUUCAAUUUCGUCUGUUUUUGUUUUUCCUAGCUCAACUGCUAAAGCUUUUUCUUUUCCAGAUUCCACUAUCGCGUCUGCCGGAUCAUAGCGCUUUCCACUUCGUGUAUAGAAUCCUUCCUUCUUUUUUGAAGCAUUUACCGAGCUCUCUUUUCCUGGAAUCGUCACAUUGCAAUCGUAACUCCAAGGAACCUUUUUGUUACCCUUGUAAGGAAAGGAUACAGGUUUUUGGAUUAUAACUUUUGGCCCUAUUUGUAUUCCAGAUUCUUUGUUCAUUGGCUUUGAAAUGAUAACCACUGGAUGACAAAGCUCUUGGGUUCUCCUUGCAGAUCCUUCUCCUGUAGCACAAACUUCUUCCUCUUUUAACCCUUUGAUUUCUUCAUAAAACUCCAUUUCUUUGCUAUCCAUAAAGUUUUGCACCACGAUUCUGAACUCGGUGCAUUCCUGGAUGUCAUGAUCUUCUUCUGCGUGGAACUUACAAAAUCUCUUUGCUUGUUCAGGCCUUUCUAUCGAAUCUUGCUUGAUAAGACCUCUUUUUACCAUUUGUUUCCAAACCCAUCCAAGAGGGGUUUUUAUCUCUGCCACGUUGGCUUUGACUCUUCUUCCUUCAUUCUCACUUAUCGCGUUUACCCUAUUAUCGUCAUGAUUGGGCAACGGAUUUUCUGCUACAUUUGGCCCUGAUGAGUCGCCAAUCUUUACGAUCCCCAUAUUGAUAAGUUUCUCCACUAACUUCUUGAAUGCAGUGCAGUUCUCAAUCGAGUGCCCCUUAAUCCCCGCGUGGUACUCGCAUUGGGAGUUUAUGUCAUACCAUUUGGGGUACGGAGGUUGCAUGGGUUUUAGGUAAAAUGGAGAUACCACAUGUGCAUCAAAUAAAUUCUGAUACAAUUCUUUAUACGUCACCGGGAUGGGUGUGAAUUGAGGUCUUUCUAUAUUUGGCCUUGAAUUGGACUCCCGUCUCGAAGAACCUUGCUGAUUAGUGGUUGUUGCUCUGGCUUGUCCCACCGUGAUUGAUCUAGAAUGGUCCUUGUUAAACAUGUUUGUGUUGUUUAUCUCAUGCUCCUUCUUUCUCAGUGCUGACCUUUUAGCACUUUCUCCUGCUUCUAUCUUGCCACUCCUUAUGGCAUUUUCUAUCAUUUCUCCAGACAUCACUAUGUCUGAAAAGCUUUUGGUGGCACUACCCAGCAUGUGAUUGAGAAAUGGAGCUUUCAAAGUAUUGAUAAAAAGCAUGGUUAUCUCUUUUUCUAAAAGUGGUGGUUGAACUUGUGCUGCUACCUCCCUCCAUCUUCGAGCAUACUGGCGAAAGCUCUCAUUAGUUUUCUUUUCCAUAUUUUGCAAUACAAUUCGAUCGGGUGCUAUGUCCAUCACAUGUCUGUAGUGUUUUAUAAAGGCCUGCGCCAAAUCUUUCCAAGAGUGGAUUUCAGCUCGACUCAAUUGAUUGUACCAUCUAACAGCUGACCCGAUCAAACUAUCCUGAAAACAGUGAACCAACAGCUGCUCAUUGUUGAUGUACCCGGUCAUUCUUCGGCAAAACAUAGUGAUAUGAGCAUCGGGACAACUUGUCCCGUCAUAUUUUUCAAACUCCGGCAUUUUAAACUUAGGAGGGAGGAUUAAAUCAGGCACCAAGCUCAGAUCUUUAGCAUCCAUUCCUCGGUGGUAAUCAGCACUUUCCAUGGCCUUAAACUUUUCCUCCAGCCAUUUACAUCGGUCUUCCAAUUGCUUUGAUAGAUCCACUUUCGUAUUUUCCACUUCUGCCACGUCAUCGAGGUCAGGGACUAUGAGAUUGGUGGGAUUCUCUCCGGAAUUGUUACUUAUUCCGAUUGGAGGACUCGUUUGGAAUUGUUGGGGUCUAAUUGUAACAGAGGGUCUUUGUUGAUACAUUUCAGCUUGAGUAUGCGCGUGCAGAGGGGUAAAGCCUGGAGGGUAAAGGGGUUCAUCACUAUUUCCAUCUUCAACAUUAACAAUAGGGUCCUUUCCCUUGUCUUUUCCUCCUUUCAACAGUUGCGUUAACUUUGCCAUCAUGUCGUCUUGGGAUUCUCGCAUCUCUCGCUGAAUCUUUUCCAACCGCUCUUCUAUCUGAUCUUGCAUAUCUCUUUGGAGCUGCUCAAGUUUUUCUAGUCUUUGAUCCAUGUUUCUUGACUUCGCUCGAGUUCCGUAAGAGUGACGGUUUUCCAGGUUAACUGAAAUAAUUUUAUUUAGUUAGGGUCUUUUAAUGGUCAUUAAUGCAUAUAAUGCAAUGCAUGAAAUGAAUGCAAAAGGCGUUAAUUCUAGUUCAAUUUCAUUAUGAAAACUUUACUAGAAAAUAAACUUUUUUACAUAAGGUGGAUUACAUAUACGACUUAGCCCUAAAACUCAAAAUUCUAAUCCUCCUAAGCAACGAGUCUAGCUCCUGUCCUCGACUCGACUCUAAUUCGUACUUCACGCUUAACACAUCAGCUUGUACUGCUAACGUCUGCAAGUGAUCAGCCACCUCUCGGAUUUGAAGCACGGCUUCUCCCAUGAUUUGAUCUCUAUCUCUUACUUGGUUCUGAAAGUAGUGCAACUGCUCGGUUUGACGAUCUUCAUUAGAUCUCAUGUGCUCAAUCCGCAUCUCGCAACUUCCCAAUGCUGCUUCUAACUCUUCAAUUCUUCGUUUCAUCUCUUCAAUUCUACUUAGGCUUACUUUUAAUUCCAUCACAGAAUUUCGAUUUCGAUGCCGAUAGAGAGAUUCUUCUAACUCGGACACUCUAUUUUCUAGUUCCCCUUUUUCUUUCUGAUUCUCUGACAGACUCUUCUUUAAAGUCUCGUUCUGGGUUUGAACUUCUUGAAACCUUGUUUCCCAUCUAUCAGCUUUGUUCUUUUCUUCUUGAACUUCCUUGCGCCAUUGUUCAGAAGUCUUUCCCAACCCGGCGGUUCUCAUUGAUGAUCGCAACUUCUUGUAAUCUGUUUUCAGACUGUUCAGAUCUUCUUCAGCCCUAGCUUUUCCUUUUCUUAAUCGCUCCAUCUCGAGCUUCUGGACAUCUACAUCCAACCUUAAGUUUGUUUUUUCUUCCUCCAUUUGCUCUAUCUGUUUUUCCAACUCUGCAUUUCUUCUUUCAAAAUCUUGCUUCAAAAUUUCUAGUUCAGAAAGGAUGACCCGUAAGUGCUCCUCUAUCGAAUGACUGCCUUCGAGGCUUGAUUUGGGGACAUUGUCAUUGAUUCUUCUGACCCUCCAUUCUUUAUAUUCGGGGGUUGUCAUUGGUCCUACAGCUAAUCGCUUCAUUUGGCGAGUCUGAUUCCACGCAUUGGAUAUCUCUCGAAUCCUCUUUUUGUAGCCAUCACCCCCAUACGAGAAUUCACACUCGGCCAGCCCCUGGGUUGCGGGUAUAAACUGUCUUGAUCUGUACUGUCUGAGCACUAAUAACGGGGCAUAGCCAAUAGCUCCCCAGAUUCCAAGCAAAGGGACCCAAUCAAAACUACCACAUCGGUACAAAAUUUCGUCUGGAAGUAACCACGGAGCUCUCCAUUCAAUGUCUUCUUCAUGCAAGUUUUGAAGAAUUGCCAUCCAUUUUUCCAUUGAAAUGUCGUCCCUUCUCGGUGUAGCUAUCGUCUCCUUUAGCGGCGAAUAGUUUUCAGAGAAGACCCGAUAUGACACCUUAUCCACUUUCCAAAAAUGACUGUGGAACCACGCAAGUAGCAACUGUGCACAUCCAAUGAACCUGCCUUCGCCCGCUCGCCGACAGGUACUCAAUGAUCUGAAUGUCUCCGCUAAAAUUGCUGGAAUCAGGGUAACUCCUUUAUCAAGGCGGUCGAACAAAUCAGUAACCGCCUCAUCAAUAUGCCCCAAAGCUCUAGGAAAGAUAACUAAGCCAUAUAUGCUUAGGGCGAAGAUAUCUACCCUAUUUUUUAUAUCCGGGUGCACCAAAGCCACAUCUUUCAAACUCCUCCAAGAAAUGCACUUGUUAUCCCCUUUUUGUUUAAUUCGGGCCGUAACCCACUGCUCACUCAUGCCUGUUAUGUUCAUUAACCUUCUCAAAAAGGGUACAUUUGCGGCUCUUGAGUAGAUUCUGUCGACUUGACUCUUUGAACACCGAAGUAAAGCCAUAUAUUCUUCUAUCGUAGGCACCAAGUCAACUUUCCCGAACGAAAAACAACUAUAGGCGGGAUUCCAAAAUUGUGCGAGAGCCCGGAAUAGGUGCUUAUCUACCUUCAUAUCUAGCAGGUACGGCAAGUCCCCGUAAUGGGAAUAAAACAACUGUCUGGCCUCCUCGUCCCAAUGGUCCCAAAUUCCUUUCAACUCUUGUAAAUCGUUCUGGGUUAUGCUAAUGCGGGUAAAGUCCCAUAGCUCUGAUAUAUAUCCUUCAGCCAAACUAUCCCCUUUCUCUUGUUGUGUCGUUUCCGACCAAAUUCGGACUGCCGCAUUAUCUUCCACCUUAUCAAGAAACCUUCUUUCCAUGAUAAGCUUUCUUUCUAGAAACCGAAUAUGAACCAACGCCUUGAAAUAAUGAAAUGCCAUGCAGUUGAAAUGUCAUGCAUCCAAAGUAAAACAACAAAUAUCAGUACCAGAUAUAAACAUAUAAUCCAAGAUAAUUCAAAAAGAAUAAAAGCACAUCAGGGUAUUUACUAGGGUUUGGUGUAGUUCUACUUAAGGUGAGUUCCUAAGGUUUACUACAUGGGGUUUGGUUCUAAAGCAAAGGUACCCGAACCAGCAGAUUCCUCGAUCUUCACCCAUUAUAGUCUCAUAUAGACCGAGUUCGGUUUAGGGGAAUACAUUUCCCUAUGGCUGCACGGAGAUGAAAAUCUCACGAAGACAUAGGUACGGAUGUAUCCCGAAAGCGAUCCACUAUCCUGCACGGAGGUGAAAACCUCACGAAGGAGUAGCUUCUCACUCCCACUUAAAAGGUGUGACCAACGGUCAUGCAAUGCAAUGCAAAGAUAUAAAAGUUUAAAAUACGAAACAUGAUGAAAACUAUAGCUCAAAACAAAUGAAAUGCAAUGAGAAGAUCGUAUAUUUAAAUCAAAUUUUCAACUUUCGACAAAAAGACAAAAAAUAAUCAACUCGUGGCUUGACUCACUUAUUUUGAAAAAGUCCCCAGUGGAGUCGCCAAGCUGUUGACACCAUUUUUUGGAUGAAAACGGGGUCGACUUGGAUUUUGGAAAAAAAAGAAUAAAAACGGGAGUCGCCACCAAUCCUUUUUUGAUGAGGUGUGAUUGGGUCACCUCAAAAGGUGGUUGUUUUUAAUAAAUGAUUUAAUUUUAUUAAAACAACGAUUUUGGUCUACGAAAUUCAGAAAAAUGAGUUCGGGAGUCGGUUACGCACGAGGAAGGAUUAGCACCCUCGAUACGCCCAAAAUUGGUACCUAGUUGAUUAAUUAGUGUCUUAGUGUCGAAAAUUUGAAAACUUGAAAGAAUUUAAAAUACGAUCCCUCUUUGUAAAGAAAAUGCUCAAAUGUUAAGGACCUUCUCGUCUCACAAUAUAAAAUGUCACAUCCAGUAAGUUAGGACACGACAUCUUGAAUUUUCGAGAACGAGCUUGCCUUUUAUAUAAAAAUUCGUGUAUUUCAAAAGGUUAUUCAGUUAGUUAAGGUGAACGAGGAAAAUCGAAACCCAGUAAGUUAGGGCACGUUUCCUCGAAUUCCCAAACACCGAAUAUUGCCUUUACUUGCAAAAAUCUUAUUUCGAGGUAACGAAAUGCCAUACCCAGUAAGUUAGGGAACAACACCUCGUAUCUCCGAGAAUAAGCAUUUUUCAAAACUCAUGUCACGAUUUAAAAGAGUAUUCCGUUAUUUAGGUUAAAGGAGAAAAAUCGAAACCCAAUAAGUUAGGGCACGAUUGUCUCGAAUUACCAAAUACGGAAUAUUACUUUUAUGAAAGAAUUAUUAUUGGGUUGGAUAUAAUGAUAAUAAGAAUAAUAUUAAAGUAAAGUAAACAAUAAUACUAUAUAUAAAUGUAUAUAUAUAUAUGUAUAUAAUAGAAAUACACACUACUAUAUAAUAAUAAUAAAUAUAGAAAUACAAAAAGCAAAUAUAAUAAAAAUAUUAAAUUAAAGUAAUAAAAAAUAAUACUAUAUAUAAAAUAUAUAUAUACAUAAAAAUAUACACUAAUAUAUAAUAGUAAUAGUGAUAGCAAAAAUAAUAAAAAUAUAAGUAAUAUUAAUAAUAUAUUAGAAUACAAAAGUAAAGUAAUAACAAUAGGGGUGAUAAUAAUAAUAAUACAAACAAUAAUACAUAUAUAUAAUAAUAGUAGUUAGAAAUAAAAAAUAAUAAAAGUAACAAUAAUGAUAGUAAUAAUAUAAAUAAAUAUGGAGAGGGCAUAUAUAAUAUAAUAAUAUAAAAAAAAUAAUAUAUACAUGAGAAAUAAUAAUAAUAAUAUAAAUAAUAGUAAAAAUAAUAAAAUAAUAAAACAAAGCUCUCAACUCUCUUUCUCCCUCUUUUCUAAAUCCGGCCGUUGGUCCGGCUUUGCUUCGGUCAUGGACCCCCACGGGCCGCCAUCGGCGCCACCGUACACGGCGGCCGGACCUCAAAAAAACCUUUUUCGAUAAUGAAAAUAUAGGUAAGCUUCUUACUUUUAUUUUUACUUUCGUAUAAAAAAACAAAAUAAAAUUGAAAGGAAAACAAUAAACAAACAAAGAACUAAAGAUAAGAAUAGACAAAAGAAACCUCUUUUGCUUUGAUCUUUGAUUAAUCUCCAAAAACUAGCCUUUCCAAGAAACAAAAAUAACCUUUUUUACAAAAAAACACCUCCAAAAAACAAAAAAAAACCUCCUCCAAAACAAAGAAUAAUCCUUCUCCAAAAAACCAAAAACCCACCCCUAAAAACAAAGUCUUGAAUGGCUUUUAUAGCCAAAUUUUACAAGUGGAGUGGUUGGGGUGGUUUAGGUGGCCAAGGGUGGUGGAGUUGGUGGCUAAGGUGGGUGGCCAACAAAGGUGGUGGAGUAGGUGGCCAAGGUUUUUAUUUAUUUAUUUAUUUAUUUUUUGUGUUUGGGUUGGGAUUAGGUUGGGCCAAAUUGGGUUUGGUUAGGGUUGGUUUAAGUUGGGCCAAAAUUGGGCCUUUACACCUGGCCCGGCCCAUUUUUUUAAUAAAUACCAUAAAUUUAUUUUAAAAAUAAUAAAAAAGUAUUUUAAAAAUAUUUUAAAAUUAAAAAAUAAAUAUAUUUAUUAUAUCGGGCCAAGCCGGGCAGGACCCGGGCCAAAAAAGUGGUGCCCGAGGCCCGGCCCGUUUUUUAAACGGGCCUCGUUUUUUUAUCCAAGCCCAUAUUUCGAGCCUAUAUUUUUACCCAAACCCUCCCAUAUUUCGGGCGGGCCGGCCCGGCCCAUGAGCACCUCUAGGAAGAUUGAAGGACUUGGGUUUUUUUCUUUGCUUUUUGUUUAAAAGUUUUUUGUUUUUUAGGUUUUUCAUUUUAGUGCUUUAAGUUUUCUCAGCCUUUUUAGGGAUACCCGAGGCACCACCCAUUAGCAGCAAUAGGCUUCUGCCAGCUAGCUAGUGGGCUGAAACAUUGCAGGGUUUAGGAUUGUGUUCCAUCCUUUAAUCUUCAAUUUUAAUGAUUUUACUUCAAGUUUUUUUUAAGUAAAUCCCUUCCCAUAUAUAUAUUAUGCAUAUAUUAAAGUUAGUUUCUAAAGGGAAAGAGUUAAUAUUCCAUUUGGUAUGUAGGGUUUUUUUUUAAAAUUUAAUAUAUGAGUUUUACUUCAAUUUGGUAUCCAUACCAAACAAAUGUGCUUAAUGAAUACUUGGCACGUAUGUUCUAGUAAAAAAAUAUAAUUACCCACAAAACGAUCUGAUAAAAUUGUCACCCUGAAUUACCUGACAACGAUGACUCAAGUAUGAAAUUACCACCCAGAUUUCCGAGCAACGAUGGUUUCCAAAUAAUAACCUGACCCUAUGUACGCCAACUAACUCGGUCCGACAAAUAAUAGGGUAACCAAAUUUCAAUUUCAAUAUACAACCUGAUUCAUGUUUAUUCAUUUUGAUUUUCAUCAUCAGUUUACCAAUUCAAUACAUAACUUAUAUAUAUAUCAACCGAAUUUCACAUAUCAAGUAAGUCAUAAAAUUUUCUAUUCUAUUCAAUUUAGUCCUUGCUUCGAUAUUCAAUUCAAAUCAUAUCAAUUUAGCUCAAAAAAUUAUCAAUAACUAACCUCCAAUUCCAUAUAAUGUAGAAUGAUAUAAAUAUGCAACAACUAAAUGGUUCCCAAAUCAUAGAAUUACAAACCAAAAAUUUUGAUCUAAUUAAUAGCUUUGGAUUUUCCUUUUCCUCUCGAUGAAUCUAGGUCGACGUUAGUUAUGGAUUAACAUAAACACAUAACACUAUCAAUAAACAACCAAUUCACAAUCAAUUGUCAAUUUAUACAAAAAUUUCAAUUUAUUCAAUUUAGUCCCUAAAACUGAGACUAACAUAACUUUCAAUUUAAAACUCCAAAUUAAAAUUUGAUUUCACUAUGGUCCAUUAGAGACCUCCUAUUUCUUAUUUAUAUAAUCAAUUUUACAUUUAAUUCAGUUUAGUCCUUAUAAUCUUGUGUUUGCGAGUAAUUUUAGGGUUGCUUUUGUCGUUGUGCCCUCUAGUUUGGUGGAUGCUCAGUUCUUUUGUCGAUUUAUGCUCACUGUUUUGGACCAUCCGGGGUUGAUUUCCUUAUUGUAUUAAGUGCUUGCAAUCACUCCUUAUGUUGUGCUUAAGUUGUGACAGAGUCGAUUGUCAACGUGCCAUAAUGUUCUAUUGAUGUUGAAGCUAAAGCUUUUGUUAUGUUGAUGGAGCUUGUACUUUAGCGCGUUCAAUGGGUGUUUGUUACUUUUUUCCCCUGAAUUGUAUGGUCUUAUUUAUUGAAUGAAUUAAUAAAUUUCUCUUUAAAAAAAGAAAUAAUUUAUAAUAAAUAAUUAAAUGUAUUAUUUAAAACUAUUUAAUAAUAGCGCAUUAAAUAUGUAUGCUAUUAAAAUGAAAAAAAAAACAAAUUAAAUUGUUUAUCAUAAUAUUGACACUUUUCAUCAAUCUUGAGUCAAUAUCGAGUUAACUUGUGACACCAACUCAGCUAAAUAUAUUAUUAAUAUAUACAAUGAUGGGGCUAAUAAAGUGUGCACAAAAAAAUUAAAAUGUAUAAAAAUAUCAAAAUAAAACUUUAGUUGAGUAGUAAAUAUAAAUUUUAUUAAUGCAAUUAGCAAGAGUUCGAAUCUCACCAUAUACAUAUUUUAUUGGCUUUUUUUAAGUUAAAAGAUUAGAAUAUCCUUGAAUAAUAUUGUUUAGUUUAAUUACAAAAUGACAUUUUCUUAACUUUUUAAUCGAGUUGGUAACCCGAUUAAAGGUGACAUUAACUCAAUCAAGAACUUAGAUAAAUAUUAAUAUAAAAUAUAAGUUUUUGCUAUAAAAUAAAAGGACAGAAAGUAAAGAACAAAGAAAAUGAGAAAGCAAAGAGAGAGCGUAUUUUAUUGAUCAAUUGAAAUAUUUACAAAGUUUCUCCAAAAUUUCUAUUUAUAGACAUAAGAAGUAUAAAUGAAGUAUAGACCUACUUCUAAUGGCUAUAAGAAUUUAAAGUACAUCAAAAAUUAUCUUGAUCUUGAUGGACAUCCACUUAAUAAGAUAUUCAUAACACCCCCUUGGAUGUCCAUUGGUAGAUAAUGUGCCUCGUUAAAACUUUACUAAGAUAAAGAUCUUGUGGGAAAAAAUCCUAGUGAAGGAAAAAAGUAAACAUAUCUAAAUGCGUAUAUUAUGCUGCACCAUUAAAAACUUUACCAGAAAAACCCAAUGGGAUAAAACCUCGGUUAAGGGAAAAAUAGUACAAUGCAUAGUUACUCCCCUUCAUAAAAACAUCAUAUACUUUCUCAUAUUCUAUUGAAUUGAAUACUAGUUUUCAAAUGACUAUAUUAAUGAAUUUGCUAAGCAUUUAUAUCACCGUUCUUUUGGAAGUCAUGAGUGGGGAAAUUUUAGGGGAAAUAUAUUUUGAUCUCUUGAAGAGUCUCAACAAUUUUCAUAACAAACUUUAAUCAUAAUUCCUCUAUAAAAACACAAAUAGGUAUUUUGGAUCAUUUUAUAAUCCUCCUUCAACUACUAUUCGCUGAGUCAAAUUUACCACAUAUGUUCCAAUUAUUUCAAUUCAUAUAAAUGAACAAUUUCCCGACAAUUUCGAUAUGCUUCUAUCAUCCUAAAUCCUUCAAGGAUUUGAAUAUAAAUUUUACUAUAUAGUGGUUCAUAAAAAGGUUGUAACAACAACCAUUAGACAUAAGUUAAAUCUUCUAUGAAUUGUCAAAAUAAUAUAUCUAAAAAUUAUUGCAUCCACCACAAAAAAAAUAUUAUUUCUUUUCAUAAUAAAUGCCAGGACUUAGCAAAAAACUUCAUAUUAUAAUUUUGCUUUUGCAAAACUACUUCAUUUGCACCCUCACUGGCUUUAUACCUUGAGAUAUUUGGACUACUGGUCCAAAAACUCCACAAAUUUAAUUGUACUUGAAUUGCAUCUUUCUAUUUUGAUUAAUUUAUUCUAUAUCUAUAUUUCUCAAUAGAUUUAUUAAAGAUCCUCCUUUUGUUUCAUUAUAUCAAUAAUAACAUUGCAUGCAAAAUUAUUGUCAACCACUUUUAUUAUUUGGUUUCACAUUUUCUCGAAUUGGCAUAACUUAUUAAGAUCUAUUAUUUUAAUCUUCAAUUUCAGGUACCUGAAUCUCUUCUGGAGUUUUACUUAUUAGUUAUGUCUUGGGUCUCUUUUGGAGCACUUGUCUCCACUAUUUGACCAUCUAGAAGAAUUUUCAUCUUUGGAAUCGAUCAAUCUAUUAUUUAUUCUAACUGAUUGUCCUGCCGGGACUUUGAUUCAAAUUAAAAUAUUAGAUGUUAUAUAAUAUUUGGUUAUUCUUAUUAAGUUUUUAAAUACAUCUGACAGUUAACUUGUAAUGAGUUUUCCUCGUUGAGCUACUAGUUCAAAUUACGUUCCCCCUAACUCAUUACAAGUUGUUAUUUCUCUCCCCCUCAUGUUGGGAAAACUAUCGAAUCAAAAUAGUAAUCACAAAUCAUGUCAUAAUUGAAUCUCCAAUACAUACAAAGAGACUUGUAAUUAAUAUAUAUUCCCAACUCUAUUUGAGGAUUGACUCAUCUUUUUGCGUUGUGUCGGAGUAAUUGGAAUAUAUACACACAUACAAAAAUUCAAAGAUGAGAAAUAUUUAGCUCUUAAUAAAAAACUUAUCAUAAUGGGAAGUAUUUAUAACUUAUUGGUUUGAUGCGUACAACACGUAAAUCAACAUAAUCUCAUGUUGAAAUAGGAAGUUUAGUUUUCAUAAGUAAUGGUUUAGGCAUUAAUCAGAGGCAUUUAAAAAAUAAUUUCUCUAAACUAUUAUGUGCAUAAAUAACAAACUUUUACAAAAGUUUUUCAAACUUCAUCAAUAAAAUACUAAGAUAUAAAUUCAUCAGUAUUAGCAAGAUGAAUUAUCUUAAUUGCAUGAUCUGGAAUUAAUUAUUUAAAUAAACAAUCUUGCAAACGAUAGGUUGCAAGUUGAUAACACAUACGUGAUUAUUUUGUAGAUGCAUCUACCAAAAUCAUAUAAUAUCAAAAUCAUUCACAUAAUGGAUGAAUGGGCCCAUAUUCAUUUCAAAAAUGUAAGACAUUAAAUCUCAACUUUAGCUAGUGAGUUUCUAACAAUCAAUUUUCAUUGAGAACAAGCAUCAAAUGAGAAUUCUUUAAAUUAAAGAAUAUUAUGGUUCUUUAAUAAUAUCAUAUGAAUUCUCAAUUAAUUUUCACAUCAUAUUUGAUCUAGGAUGGUUUAACUAGUCACGCCAAGUAGUACUUGCAUUUGUAUUAGUAAACUUUUAGUUUACUUUAACAUACGUUUCAAUUGUACUAAAUUGUAACAAAUUGAUAAUUUUACUAUCAUUCAUUUUACUUUGUAUCUACAUAUAGGUACUAUCGUGACAUUUACUACUGUAAAUGUCUAAAUCAAUGUGAAGUCUAUAAUGUCACUAAGUCAAUAAAUAUAAUUUUCAAAUAAUUAUAUGCAAUAUUUGCUUCAGUGAAUAUGCCAAAAUCUUGAAAUGAAGGGCAUUUGGUCUAGUGGUAUGAUUCUCGCUUCAAAUGCUAAAAUUCUUGAGUUUGAUUCAAAAUACUUUUAAAACCCUUUUAACAAAAUUUUUGCAUAAUCAGUUAACUACCAAAAAUAACUACCCAGGUCAUGUAUAAAAACAAGUCUAUACUAAAUAUAUCAAUAAACAUCACAUCUCAAGCAUAAAAAUAUGACAUAAUGAAAAACUAGCAAUUUUUUUCAUAAUCAUCAUCAUAAACAUGCAUGGAAUUUAAAUCAAAAUCCAACCAUUCAAGCUCAUAGAACUUUUCAUUUACAAUUGCUCAUGUUAUUUCCCUAAAUAAUUAGCAAAUGAAAUAAUAUAAAACGUAUGAACUACUACCUUUAACAAUUCUUUGAACUAAACCAAAUCUGAAUAACCAUAAAAUUCAUUGGUUUGUUAACAUAAAUUUGCAUACUAGAUAUGUUUUAAUCAAAUAUAUUAUUUAAUUAUAAAACCUACUAUAACGAUAUAAAUAAAUCAAUUAAUUUUCAUUUUCAUAAACAAAUGAGAUGCUUAAAACAAUAUGUAACACAUUUAAUCAAAACUUAAAAAGAAUUACAGUUAUUAUUGUUUGUCCCCAUCCUCGUUGUUUGGUUUCCAAGUUGUGACCCAAAGUCGAGAUUGAUUUGGUUGUUUGGUUUCUAAGUUGUGACCCAAAAUCAAGAUUGCUUUUGAAUUUUUGGUCUGUCUCCAUUGUAAAGCACAUCAAACAAAGAUACAAAUUGAUACAACUAUUCUCAAGUUCAAAUAAAGCAUUAUCUUGUUAGGUAGAGUGAAUAAAAUCACUAAGUUAUUUUUUAUGUCAAUUAAAUUUAUGGUUUUUUUCAAUUAGUUGGAUUGAUUAAAUAUUAAUAAUUUAUAAACACAUUCAUUUAAAUUAAUUUUACACUGUAAUAAAAAGUAAGAUGUUGUUUAAUAAAUCAAAAAAAAUUAAGUGAAAAAUAAAAAAAGGUGUUAUUUAAUAAUUCAUAAAUUGUACGAGAGUGAAGUGUUAGAUAUUUUUGGAUAUGUUUAAUGUGCUUGGGUUAGGAUAGAAAUUUCAAAAUCCGAGAAAAUAUAAAUAGUCAAACAUAUAAAUCAAAUCCAACUAAAAAUGCUAGAAAUUUGAUUUAUCAUACUCCUAUUAGAAAAAGAUAGAAAUGACGUGAAAUCACAAUUUCAUACAACCCUUUCUCCUCACAGUGAUUAUUGUUUGUCCCCAUCCUCAUUGUUUAAUUUCCAAGUUGUGACCCAAAAUCAAGAUUGACUUUGAAUUUUUGGCCUUCUGUCUCCAUUGUAAAGCACAUCAAACAAAGAUACAAAUUAAUACAACUAUUCUCAAGUUCAAAUAAAGUAAUAUCUUAUUAGGUAGAGUGAAUAAAACCACUAAGUUAUUUUUUAAGUCAAUUAGAUUUAUGAUUUUUUAUUCAAUUAGUUGGAUUGAUUAAUUUGAUAAAAAAUAAAUAUAAUUUUAAUUUUAAAUAAGUAUUAAAAAUAUUAAUAAUUUAUAAACACAUUCAUUUAAAUUAAUUUUACACUGUAAUAAAAAGUAAGAUGUUGUUUAAUAAAUCAAAAAAAUUAAGUGAAAAAUUAAAAAAAAUGUUUAAUAAUUAAUAAAUUGUACGAGAGUGAAGCGUUAGAUUUUUUUGGAUAUGCUAAUAAUUAAAAAUAUUGUACGAUGCUUGAAAGUUAUCUGAUACACAUUGUACCAAAUUUCAAUACCACAUAUAUGUUAUAAAAUCUUAUGAUGCUCUAAUCAACUAUUUAUAAAUUCAAUUUAAAAGAUAUUAUACAAUAAUUUCAAGCAUAUUUAAUAACAAUAAUUUAAUCAUAAAAACUUUUAAUCAUCCAAAUAUCAUACAUACUAUAAUUUAAUAAAAGAAUCUUAGUUUAAAAGAAACUAUAAAUUAAUAAUAUUUUUUUACCAAAAAUCAAUCAACAAAGGAGAAAAACAUACCACUUAAGGAUUAUAUAAUUUUUUCUGUAUAAUAAUUACCCAUAAUGUGCAGGCCCCAAUUGAAGACUGAAAUAACAGUAGCUCUAGAAGGCAAUUGGCAACAGCUUGAGUAGCAAAUUUGAGUGACCGACUAUUGCAUUGGUUGUUGCUUGAAAGGGGUAAGGCUUUGUGAAAGGGAAAAAAAAUUGUGACUUAUGGAGAAAAACAAUUAAAAGAAAACUGUGCUAAUAAGGUGUUAUAAAAUAAAAGGACAGAAAGUAAAUAACAAAUAAAAUGAGAAAGCAAAGAGAGCAUAUUUUAUUGAUCAAUCGAAAUAUUUACAAAGUUUCUUUAAAGUCUCUAUUUAUAGGCAUAAGAAGUAUAAAUAAAGUAGAGAUCCACUUCUAAUGACUAUAAGAAUUUAAAGUACAUCAAAACUUAUCUUAAUCUUAAUGGACAUCCACUUAAUAAGAUAUUCAUAACAAAUUUAUUAUUUUAUUAUUUUAUAAACAAUAAUAUAAGCUUUUUGGACAAAUUGAGUCGAGUUUAAACUUAACCUAAAUUUUUAAAAAAAAAGAGUCUAGGCCCAAUUUAGCUCAUGAAUAUCUUUAAUGGUUAAUUAAUUAUUUAUUUUAAUGAGUUUAUCUAAAUGUAUUUUAGUUUAUUAAUUUGAGUUUAGUGAUUCAAUGUAAUUUUUUUUAUAACUUUUAAUACAACUAUAAGAUGUAACUUAAAAAAAAUAUUUAUAAUUAUAAAUAUAAUUAUCAUCAAUUAGUUACUAAUAUGUUAUUUUGUUGUUCAUUAUUUACCAUUAAUUUUUUCAUAAUUUAAUAGUGUUUUCUAUUUAAAUAUUUUUAAAAAAUAUUUAUUAUAAUAUGCUUUUUGGAAAGUUAUCUUAUAGAAUAUGUUUUUUUUACCUCAACACCUAUAGAUCGAGUUUAGUGAUGUUUAUUGUACCACCAAGUUUUUGUGUCAUUGAAAUUAGAAUAAUUAUUUUGAAAUUAUUACAACACAUUAACACCCAGAAUCUUAAACCGUAAUAAUAUGAUUUAAUUUUCUAAUAGCUUUGGAUAAUAUUUAAACAAAACUCGGACAUUUAUGGAUGUUGAAUUUUUUUGUAAAAUUAAAAAAAACAUAUAUAGUAAUUCGUAACCAUUAAUUAAAUUUUUUGUAAAAUUAAAAAAAACAUAUAUAGUAAUUCGUAACCAUUAAUUAAAAAGGAGACACAAAAAUUAAUUGAUCUCGCUGCCCACGAGAAUAUUUAAAAAAAUACUAAUAAAACUCUAAUUUUUAUAGGUUUUAAAAUGAUUUUAAUUUUCAUAAAAAAUAUAUAAUUUAAUUAUGACUUUUCAAAAAACAAAUUCUUACAUCACCCUCAUUCCAACUAAAAAAAUUACCCGAAUAUAAAAAAACAAAAAAGGAUAAUCAAAGGAGGAAAGUUGUAUAAAAUGUAUGUGGUAGCGGGGAAGAUAAUGGUGGUGACGUUGAGGGAUUAUAUAUUUAUAAUUUUAAUUUAUGUUUUACUAUUUAAUUUUUUAUUUUACAUUUCGUUAAUUAAAUGAAUUAAAUAAGAUCAUUUUUUCUAUUAAUUUUCAGUUUUUUUUUAAAUUCAAAUCUAAUUAAAAAUACUAAAAAUCUGAUUUAUCAUCCUCCUAUUAAAAAUAAAUAGUGAUGAUGUGAAAUCACAAUUUCAUACCAUCUUUUUUCCUUACAGUUAUUGUUGUUUGUCCCCAUCCUCGUUGUUUGGUUUCCAAGUUGUGACCCAAAGUCAAGAUUGAUUUGGUUGUUUGGUUUUCAAGUUGUGACCCAAAGUCAAGAUUGAUUUUAAAAUUUUGGUUUGUCUCCAUUGUAAAGCACAUCAAACAAAGAUAGAAAUUGAUACAACUAUUCUCAAGUUAAAAUAAAGCAUUAUCUUGUUAGGUAGAGUGAAUAAAAUCACUAAGUUAUUCGGUUAACUGAAUUAACCGAAAAUUAUAUGUUUUUUUAUUUUUGGUUAAAAAUUAAUCGAAUUAACCGAAUUAACCGAAUUACCCAAAUUAACCAAAUUAUCCGAAUUAUCCGAAUUAUCCGAAUUAAUCGAAUUAACCGAAUUGAAUCACUACAUAAUUAAAUUAUUUUUAGACUUUUAGACUUUAGUUUUAAUUUUAGUUUUAGAAUUUUAUUUUUAUUUAUUAAAUUAUUUGUAAUUUUUAUGAUUGGGUUGGGUUGGGUAAUUGUGUUGGGUUGAAUACUUGGGUUUGGAUUGGGUUUAGGUGAAUAGUGGGCCUAUUUAUAUAUUAUAAUUUUAUUUAUUAAUUUUUUCGGUUAAACCGAAAAAAUUUGGUUAACCGACUAGUUUUGAACCAAAUUAACCGUUAACCGAAAAAUCAAAAAAUAAUUAAUCGACCCCUGACCAAAAAAAUUCGGUUAACCGAUCGAUUAACCGAAUUCGAUCAGUUAACCGAAUUUUUUUGGUUUUAUCCAAAUUUUGCACACCCUUAGGUUAAUGUACUUGUGUUGUUGUUUCGACACCAUAAUCAAUUCAGUUUUGCUUCAUCCAUAAUAAUUGUGCACAACUCUCAAGUACAAAACUUAAACCGUGGAUUAUGAGAUAGAAUUUUAUCUUUGUUUUUUGUGGGCAAAUAACCAAUAAAAGCCCCUUUAUUUUUAAAUUUAUCGAAAUGGGCUAGGUUCUGAAUUAAUUACCGAAAUGGACCAUUUCUCCCAAAAACGCGUCCAUGUCAGCGCGUUGUCAGGGGAUCAAGCAAGAAAACGCUUCCUCAAGGAAAAAAAUUAGAUUUAGGGUUUUUGCAAUUAGAUUUAGGGUUUUACGGUUUUUGAGUUUUUAGAUUUUAGGGUUUUAAGGAAAAAAUUAAAUAAAUAAGGGUUUAGGGUUUCUUAAUUAAAUUAAUUAUAAAUUUAAAAAAAAUUAGAUUAGGGUUUAGUGUUUAUGGUUUUUAAGGAAAAAUUAAAUAAAUUAGGGUUUAGGGUUACUUGAGUAAAUUAAUUAUAAAUUUUAAAAAAAUUAGAUUAUGGUUUAGUGUUUAGGGUUUUUAAGGAAAAAAUCAAAUAAAUUAGGGUUUAGGAUUACUUGAGUAAAUUAAUUAUAAAUUUAAAAAAUUAGAUUGGGGUUUAGUAUUUAGGGUUUUUAAGGAAAAAUCAAAUAAAACUAGUUGUUAUUCGUUAUAUAUUUUAAACUCUGGCCCAUUUCGGAACCUGACCCAUUUCGGUAAUUUUAAAAAUAAAGGGGCUUUUAUUGGUUAUUUGCCCAAAAAAUAAACUAAUAAAAUUAAAUGUUUUUAGUAAAAAUUAAAUUUAUUAAAAGAAUUUUUUAAUAAUAAAUUAAAAAUAAAAUAUAUAAUGAAUUUUUGUAUUUUCAAAUUUUAAAAUAAAAAAGAGUUUUUUUUAUAAAAACAUAAAAAGAGUUAAAAGUUUAUAUAUAUAUUAAAUUUAUCUUUUGCUGUAAUUUUAAAUUUAUAAUAAAUUAAAAAUAUUAAUAUAAUAUAAUAUGCAAAAAAAUACUUGAAAUUUAAUAUAAUACAAUCAUAUUAAUAAUAGAAUAUUUUAGGGAUAAUAAUUCCUUAAUUAAGGUCUUAAGAUCAUGGGUAAAUAUUUUAUUGAUUGUUAGUGAAUGAUUUACAAAAAAGUAUUAUUAAUUUUAUUUAAUGGAAUUUAACAUAAAUUUUAAUAUUUUAAUAUUUAAUAUAUAUAUUAAAUUGUAGAAGUUUAAAUUUAAAAUUCGAGAAAAAAUAUAAUAAUUGUAAUUAAUAUUUAACUAUAUUUAAACAAAGUUAGACUUAAUAAAUAAUUUUUAAAUAAUUUUUAAUUUUUUUAAAAUUUAUAAUUAAUUUAAUUAAGAAACCCUAAACCUUAAAAUCUUAUUUAUUUAGUUUUUUUCCUUAAAACCCUAAAAUCUAAAAACUCAAAAAUCCCAAAACCCUAACUCUAAUUGCAAAAAACCCUAAAUCCUAAAAAACAAGGAAAGCGCUUCCUUGAGGAAGCGUUUUUUGUCCACGUGGACAAAGCGCUUCCUUGAGGAAGUGUUUUCCUGCUUUAUCCUCUGACAACGCGCUGACGUGGACGAGUUUUUGGGGAAAAUGGUCCAUUUUGGUAAUUAAUUCAGAACCUGGCCCAUUUCGGUAAUUUUAAAAAUAAAGGGGCUUUUAUUGGUUAUUUGCCCAUUUUUUGUAGUGCUAUGAAAUUUAGCUUAAUAGAUAAUAGCAAAUUUGUGGAAAUACAAAAACUUAGCUUAACAUAUUUAAUAACUAGUGAUUGGGUUAGGAUAGAAAUUUCAAAAUUUGAGAAAAUAUAAAUAAUCAAACAUAUAAAUCAAAUCAUGCAUUCUAAGGCAUAAAUAAUAAACAAGUUCUCGAUGAUGUGGUAUUUAAUAUCUAUCAAUUUUGUACGAGAGUAAAGCAAGUAUAAAGACUUAAAAAUGAUUAAAUUAAAGUAAAAAAAUAAUUCUACAACUUGUACCAACGGAAGAUUUUUUGAUUAGGUGAGGGAUACAGUUGGAUCCGUUAUCUAGUGGCUGUCCAUGGUGUGAUAGAGUUAUAGAAAAUGUUAAUCAUUUGUAUUUUCUAUGUCCUUUUAUUAAUAUAUAGUUUUUGGUCUCGCAUUUCUAAUUGGUAGAGUUUUGAUUGGAAGAAUGUGGUGAAUUUUGAAGAAUUCUUUACUUUGUACUGGAACAUGCCCCUGAUAGGUCUGCAAAAAAGCUUUCGAUUAGUGGCGAUUGCGGGAUCUUGUUGGAUAGAAGAUAUCAGAUCUUGUCUUCCUGUAUUGGCAGUGAAGUAGAUCGAAGAUAGCAGAUCUUGUCUUCCUGUAUUGGUAGCAAAGUAGAUCGAAUAUAGCAAAUCUUGUCUUCCUGUAUUGGCAGGGAAGUAGAUCGAAGAUAGCAGAUCUUGUCUUCCUAUAUUGGCAGGGAAGUAGAUCGAAGAUAGCAGAUCUUGUCUUCCUGUAUUGGUAGGGAAGUAGACCGAAGAUAGCAGAUCUUGUCUUCCUGUAUUAGCAGCGAAGUAGAUUGAAGAUAGCAGAUCUUGUCUUCCUGUAUUGGCAGCAAAGUAGAUUGAAGAUUAUAGAUCUUGUCUCCCUAAGCAGUAGUGGAGCAGAUCGAAGAUGAUAAAUAUUAUCUUCCCAAGGUAGUAGGGAACCAGAUUUAAGCCACCAGUCCUAUCUCCUUGAGUAGCGGUGGAGUAGGUUGAAGAUCGUAGAUCCUGUCUCCCUAAGCAGUAGUGGAGCAGAUCGAAGGCAGCAAAUCCUAUCUUCCCAAGGUAGUAGGGAAGCAGAUUUAAGUCACCAAUCCCUUCUCUCUGAGUAGCAGUGGAGUAGGUCGAAGAUUGUAGAUCAUGUAUCCUUAAGCAAUAGUAGAGCAGAUCGAAGGCAGCGAAUCUUAUCUCCUUGGCGUUACAGUAGAACAGAUUAAAGCUCAAGGUAGCGAAUCUUGUUUCCAUAGCAUUGCAGCGGAGCAGAUCAAGACUGAAGAUAACCAACCUUAUCUCCCUGAAGUUACAGUGGAGCCGGUUGAAGAUAUCAAUCUUAUCUCCCUGAAGUUGCAGUGGAGUAGGUUAAACGAAGUGAGCCUUAUCUCCCCGAAGCUACAGUGGGUCAGGAAGAGGCUACUUGAAGAAGAAGCAUACCAAUGUCCAACACAACCGGACAAAAUUGGCCUUCUAAUUUAGUCUUUGCUUCAUUUUCAUUACACGACAAUGAGCAAAGAGGGGCAGCUGUAAUAGGCCAAUUUAGCCCGGGCUCACAAAAAAAAUAAUAAACUCAAAAUAAUAAAACAAAGUCCAAGUCCAGUCCAAAAUUGUAUCAUUUGGCCCGAUCGGAAUGACCCAUUACUUGAAAAAGGAUAUGCAAUCUUAGAUAUAAUAUGCAAUCUUAGAAGAUAAGAUUUUGUAAUCUUAGAUAUUUAAUUUGUAGAUACCAUUUAAAUCUUAGCCGUUGAUGUAAUUGAUCUAUACCGUUGGAUUUAGGGAGGCUCAACUAUAAAUAGAGACCUCUCCCUUCAUUGUAAAACACUGGAGUUGGGAGCAAUAAUAAUUCUUAAGAGCAUUCACUCAAAUUUCUCCUUCUCUUGUGUUCUUAUUUUCUGUGGCCUGUUCUUAUUUUGUUUUUUGUUCAUCUUUGUUUCAUUUUAAGUUGCUUUCAUUUGAGUUGGAUUUUGGUGGAAGAAUUUCGUUGAAUCUUCAUAUUGUGGGAGUAAGGCUGACUUAAGUGUUUUUUUUAACCUUUUUUAUUUAUCCAUUUAAUUGUUUAAUUAUUAAUUAUUCUUUUACUUUUAUUCGUUUAUUUAUCCAUCAACUUUCUUAUUUACAUAUCGUUCAUUCAUUUAACCAUUCUUAUCAUUCUUUUAUUUUUUCCAUUAAUUAUAUACUUUAUUUGUUUUUAAUAUUAUGUCACACAUGUUAUUUAUUUUUUAAAAACUCGUGUUAUAAAUCAUCUAUUUUAAAUUAUUUGAUUAUUUGCUUUAAAUUUUUUUCCAUAUAUUAUCAAUUGCAAUUUAUUUUUUAUACUAUCUAUUUUUUCCAUAUUUUGGCCCUCAGUUUUGUUUUAUUCUCAUUUUUUCCUUUUAAUUCUGUUUUAAAAUCAAUUUAAUCCUCACUAGUUUGAUUUAAUUUGCUUGUGUUUUAUUUAUUUAAGUAUUGAUUAUUAUGAUUUUUAAAAUUUUAAAUAUGAUAUUAUUUGAAUGUUUAUACUUAUUAUUAUUAAAUUAAUCAUUAAUAUUAUCUAAGUGUAUUGUAUAUUAUUAUUUUAGAUUUAUCAUGUUUUGUUAUUUGUAAUUUAUCAAUAUUAUUAUUUUAAAUUCAUUGAUAACAUUACUUUAAAUUUAUCAUGUAUAUCUAUUUCAAAUUUAUCAUUAAUAUUUUUAAAUUUAUUAUAUACUAUUAUUUUGGAUUUAUCACGUAUGAUUAUCCUAGAAUUAUCAUCAAAAUUUUUAAAUUUUACAUGUAUUAUUAUUUCAAAUUUAUUAUAUAUUAUUUAUUGUAAAUUAUCCAAUUCAUUUCAAAUUGUAGAUAUUGUUUGUUUUAAUUCAUGUAUUGUUUUAAACUUCAUCCAUAUACAUACUAUUUAUUUUGGAUUAUACAUAUUACUUAUUUUCUAAAUUAUUUUUAUUAUUUUUCUAUAUAAUGUAUAUUCUAAUUUUUCUUCAUAUUUCAUUUGCUUAAAUAUUUUUGUAUAUUGUGUUUUAUUAGUUGUUUUAAACAAUUUAUUAAAUGAUUUAUUUCAAUUCAUUUCAUGUAUUCAUUUUAUCUUAAUUAAUUGAUUUACAUAAUAGAUUUUUUAGCAUAUUACUUACUUCAUGUUGUUUCAUUUAUGUACCAUUUCUUUGGAAUUAAGUUUGUUUUAUAUAUUAUUUCGAGUUCGAUAAUUAUUAUGUGUGUUUGGGGUUUAUACGCGCAUAUUAUUUAGUAUUCUGCCCAUGUAUAUUAUUCCAUGUUCAUACAUUUACUUUUCAGUUCCGAACAUUACAUCAUGGUUAAUUUGAUUAUUUCAUUUCUUUUCAUUUCGAAUAAAUCAAAUUUAUAUCAUUGUUAAUAUUGCAUUAAACCUUCGCUUUAAUCCAAUUUCGUAAAAAAAGGGAAAAAGAAGUUUGCAAUAUGUCGUCUUUGGAACGAUGAGAAAUCGUGCUCUAACUUACAGGGUUUCGAUCUUUCUCAUCGAACUAAAAUGGCUAAAUAUCUUAGUUGUCAAAUAUACAAAGUUUCAAUAAAGAUUUUUUAGCUUACGCUCGGGAAUUGAAAUGUUGCAUCCUAACUUACGGGAUACGAUAUUUUGUCGUCUCGGGAUGAGAAGGCUUUUUUACAUUCGUUUAAAUUUAUCCAAGUACUAUUUUAAGAUAUGUUAUUAAUAAAGGGGGAUUGUUUUUAAUCUUUUCAACUUUACGACAUUCGACUAUAAGACAUUAAUAAUCAAUUAGGUAGCAAUUUUGGGCGUUACGAGGGUGCUAACCCUUUCACGUGCGUAACCGACUCCCGAACCUAUUUUCUCAAAAUUCGUAGGCCUAAAAUCGUUUUCAAGGUGAUCCAAUCACACCUCAAUAAAAGAUCGGUGGCGACUCCAUUUUUUCGUUUUAAAAGUCGACCCCAUUUUUUCAAAAUAAAAAAUGGUUUCGACAAGUAGUAUUUUGAUUAUGUUUUUAUAGAUGUAAUUUAGUAUUACUUUAUUCUUUAGCCAAAAAAGAUUUUUUUUAUAAUUUAAUUAAAAUUUACUAUUAUGAUUCAAUUUGAUGUAGCUUCUAGAGAUGACAAUAAAGUCGGGUGAGAGCAGAUAUUGCUAAACCUAUUACCACUCCAUCAUUUGCAUGUUGUAUACAUCCAUCUAAUCCCAUCCCAUCCCAUCCCACCCUGCAUUAUCAUAACUGCUUCGUACCUAUUACCCAAAAGAAAAAAUCCACCCCGUUCAGCCCUGCAUCCACUUUUCAAAAAAAAAAUCUAUUUCAAGCGAAGCAAUUCAAAAUGUAUUGGACAAUUUGAGUUGUCAUACCUAAUAACUUUAAUCUGAGUUCAUAAUUGAAUACUGAGUUUAGAUGGUAAUUUGUUUUCCAAACUUUUUGAUGUCGUGUUCUUCGACAUGCCUAUGAACCGUUUCAUCAUUUGCCUCUUAGAAAAUUAAAAAUAAGUUGUUUAUACUAUGUGAUGUAGUUUUAAAACCGUUUCUUUUUUUUUUAUUUAUCCGUUAUUUAUUUGGUGUAGGCGAAAAAUAUUUUAUGGGUUUGUGUUUUUAAAAAAAGAGUCAAAUUUUAUUUUUUAAUCACCAUUAUCAAAUGUGUUUAUUAAUUUAGCGUAAAUAUUUUUCAUAUUUAUCAUUAAAUAUUAUUAUAAUUGUUUCAUGUUACUUUACUUAUUUUUCAUAUUUUUCAACUUAAUAUUAUAAUUUACUAUAGGUAACAAUAAUUAAAAAUACAUUAUUUAAAAUUAAUUAAAAAUUAAAUACGUAAAAUCAUAGGCAUGUGACAUUAGAAAUUACUUUAAAAAUAUAUAUCAAACAAAUUUUAUAAUUUAAAUUAAAUAUUUAAUUUUUUUAACACUUACUCUCUUUUUUUUUUAAUUUAUCAACCAAUUUUUAAGUCUAACCUAAUUCAAACCAAGGAAACUUACUUGGAUUUUAUGUUGGGAAUUAAAUAAAAAAGAGAAAUAUUUUUCACUUCAAACUUAUUCAGUUUAAUUACCAAAACUCCAAAAUAUUUUUUUGAAGACACCCAAAAAAACCCCUCUAUAAAAAAUAAGGAUAAUUUGUGAUAUUUUUCCUCUUAAAUGAUGUUAUUUAUAUUUUUAAUUAUAUUAUUUAUAUUUUAUUUUAUUUAUUAUUGAUUUAGAGAAUAAUUAGAGAUAAAAAAAAGCUUAAAGUUUAUUUUUGACAAGUUUUGCGGGUUGGACUUUCAACAUUUACAAUAUAGUUUCAGUAUUUUGGCAAUAACUUAAGCUACAAAUUUUAGUUUUGGGCUCAUAAUAUAUAGAUUUGAAGAAAAUUGACAUAACUAACUAAAGUUGUCUUGUAGAUGAAGCCCAAAAACAUCAAGAAGACAUCAAAAAAUGUCCUAGAAGUUUGACGGAAAAAUUGCCAAAAUAUCUUGAAAACUUUUGCUUUAUAUAAUUAAUGGCACUUUUGUACUUUCUCUAUUAUAUUAUUUUUCCCCUAUAGAUAGACAUUAUUAGGUUAAUACGAGGGGAGACCUAAACCUAGCCAUUCUUAGUUUUAUUUUGUUUUCUUUAUUUUGUGGCUUUUUAAACUCUCCAUCUAGUCAAAGGUUUUAUCAAAAUUUGAUUUAAUAAAUUUGCGAGACUUAAUUUUUGCUUUAAUUUUUCUUUGUUCUUUAGUAUUCAUGCAUUUUUUGUUUUAAUUACAACUUUUCAGGUUUAUUGAAUGUUCAGUCGGUAUUUGAUAGCCUAGAAUGAUUGUUUUGUCAAUUAGAAUUGUUAAACCCAUAAUUGUAUAAUUCAUUCUAAUACUAGUGACAAACUGCAUAAUUCGUUUAAGUGUAGUUCAUGUUUAUGUGGUGUGAAUGUGUGAUAUAGCUAAAAUGAAUCUCACUAGGAUGAGUUUGUUGGUUAGAAUUUGGACUCUCUCGUUCUUAAUACUGGCGGUAAGUUAAAUCUGGGGCGUUGAGUUACAGGGUUAUUUAUCGAUUAGGAAAUAAUUUCAAAUGAGUUUUCUCUUGGCUAUCGAACAAUGAGAGAUUGGUUGUCCGACACUGAGUCAAUAACUAGAACUAAUUUAUUAAAGGUAUUGAAGUUAUUUUUGCAUUGAUGAUCAAAUCUUUGAAUCAAACGAAGAUUUUAGUACUUCUAGAGUUUCUCCUCAUUAAUUUUCUUUUCUUUUGUUUUAUAAUUUAUUUUUACUUUGUUUUAAUUUUAAUUUUUAAUUUUAAACUCUUUUUAUAUUUUUCAUGUAAAUUUUUGUUUUUAUAAAUCGCUGCAUCCUUGCAUUACUUCAAUACAACACCAGAAGAACAAAAUGUCAAACACUGACGCUUAUAGAUAAAAAUCUUGCAAAAGAGGCCGUUUUAUUUUAUCAUAAAAUUAUUCAUGAAAUAGCCAUACAUGGCAAUUACAUAAGCUUGAAGGCCUUAAAACACAGAGACAUACGAUAGAAAUACGCAAACACACACACAAACGAUAGUAAUAAGCAAACACACACAGACGCAGUAAUGAAGGCUAACUUCAACUUCGUAGUAGUGCACACCGAUGGAGCACAUUAUUAUUUAGUUUACAGUUUCGACCUCUAGUGAUCGAAAACCCUGGCUCAAAGCCGGCAGCUUACGCACCCGUAGUGGUGUUGGGUUGGUUGCCAAGAAAAGCUGCAUCAGCAUUCUCAUCAGUGCAAUAAAGGCAAGGGUGCUGCUGUCCACAUCCUAGCUUUAUUAUUUCAUUCCUGACCUUCACCACAAGUUGUCUAUUGCUUAAUGCCCCAUUGCUCUCCCUGAUGACCUUCAGAACUGUAUAGGUAAAGGCCCCAAACCCCAUUCCUCCGGUUUUGUCACUCGCUCCCAUAUCACUCGAUUCCUCAUUGGCUUGGCACCCACUUAACAGAAUUCCCUCAUCCUCCGUCAGUGACCUCAAAUUCACAAUAUCACGUUCAUCAUGGGGUAGGAAUUUGAGACUCACAUUGUUCCCAAAGAUUGUGGUCAAAAUAGAGCCAAUACCCUCCAUAUUAUCUGUUCCAGUGUUGAUGGCAUUCCCAAGUGCUCUUGUGGGAAAUAAGCCUUGUGUCGCGAUUAUGACGUUGGCUACUGUUUGUAGGCACUGGUAUAAGGUUCCUAAGGAAAUGCCCCUAGUCUUGUAAUCAACAGGUAGUGCUAUACCCCUUAGAGUACUAUGGGGUCCAAUUUGUUCUUUACUUUUAUCAAUCAGACCACCACUGUGGCAGGAAUCCGAAACCAUUGUGAAGCUUGAUCCACUUGGUAGUUGCUUAAUCAAUUGCCCCAAGUCCACGUCUGCACAACCAUCGCAACCACAAUAUGAUAUAAAUUACAGUUUGCUUAGAUUGAGAGAAUUUUAAUAAUUUAAUUUACCGAGUUGAUUACGUACCAAAAAUGGGAUUGAAAUCACAAGGCACAAUUGCUUCACCCUUGUUGGAAGGCUGGUGGGGGUCAAUGCGGUCCACAAUUCCAUGUCCACUAAAGUGGAAAAGCAGGACAUCUCCUUCUUUAGCCGCGUCCACCAUCUUCUUGAGUGCAGCCAUAAUGUUUGCCCGUGUAGGCUUAUACUUGGACUCUGGUUCAUCAGUUAGGAGCUCAACAUUUUCGGAAUCAAAGCCAAACCUGCUCAAGAUCAUAUCUCUCAUGGCUUUCGCAUCGUUUACGCAUCCACUCAACUCUUUGAAGGUGUUGGGGUAGUUGCAUCCGACCAGAACGGCUCUCUUCUUACAUUCGGUGGGCAUCUUGCUUCUAUUUUGGGUCGCUU
rnacentral:lncRNA from 1 species